CUCAAUUCAACUAAUUUAUACUGAUUUGUGAGUGAACCAAUCUAAUCCCUCAAACCAGACCAAUACUCCAACCAAGUUCCGGUCCAAUCCAGCCCGAUCCAACAACAUUGCAAUUUGGAACCCACUACUACAAUAUCAAUCUUAAUUGUACCUUCGUGGGGAAAAAAAGGGUGAGUUCCACCAGAAAUUACUGAGUGCAAUGCGUAAAUUCCCAUCCCAUGUAAUUUGGCCUAUCAAUUCACUGAAUGUAUAUGAGAAACCAAAACAGAAAGCUAUACAUACCAUCACAAAACUAUAUUUUUGUUAAUAUAUUUCAAGGUUAAAUACCUCCUCUUUUGCCCUACUUUCAUCAGCAAUCCUCAAUGAACAUUAUAAUUUAGAUCAAAUUAGCUUGGCUUCCCAUCACCACUUUUCAAUACCCACCAGUUACCUUUAUACUCGCAAAAAUCACUCAUUACCUGCAAAAAAACCAAAAACAAAGAUGAUAUUAUCUUAUUGCAAAGUUGGAAUGGGAAUGUUCAAUGAUCCAGUUGAAAGGAAUGAAAUGUCCUUUGAUAAUAUAUCUGAUUACAACUCAAUGCUGACCCCUCACUAUUACAACUUAACUCGAUAACCUAAAAUUAAAGCAUCCCUCACUAUUUAGAAGUACUCAUUAACCUGGUUCGGUUGUACAAAUUUGGCCUACAAAACGAAAUUAGAGACACAACUCGUAAGAUUUGGAGACAAGUCUAGAGAUCUUAACUCAUAUACCACUUAUUCUUGUAUGAUUAUCUCUAUGGUGUUCUAAAUACUUCUCAAGUUGCAAAUAAUACAUUCUUACGUCAAAUCUAUGUAUUUGGUAUAACAAUGUAAUGGAGUAGAGCAAUUUAUGUUUACAUAUACCUUCUUACAUUUAUGCAUGCCUGAUGCAAACAAAUAAUCAUGUCUCAACCUAAAGGCAAUAUAGUGAAGUGAUCUGAUCAUAUCUAAGAUUCUGUUCAAGGAAGCAUAUCAAAUUGUUAUCGGAAAACAAGAUAUUAUCUAAUUACAGAAGAUACCUUGUUAUAUUCAUUAUUCGUAAUGUCCCUCUUAAGAUUAACUUGGGCAGCAGCUGUGACCUCAGCCUUCUUGAGCUUGUCUUUCACACAAAGAAGAUUAAUCACAACUUCCCUGCAUAGAAAAUAACAUUCUGAUGAAAACAAGGAAAAUUUGUAAAAGGUACAUAGAGACCAUAAUCAUUUAUUUAAGCUUAAAUGUUUAAUUGAACAGAUUUAUGCAACCUCAAUGGAUCACAUUCUGGAUUCUCUUGGGAUGACUUCAUAACAAAAAGACCACCAUGAAGUUCUACUGCAACUUGACUAACGACAUCCUGGAGCUCAUGCUCAGGUGCAUCAGCACCAUAUGCUGCCUUAACUACCAGUCUAGCAUCUGCCUUGGGAAGGGUAGACUGGGACAGAGCCAAAUCUCGUAGACCUUUGCGAAUCAGUUGCAAGCUAAUAACAAAACAAGCAGUACAACAAAAUUAUAAAGCAGCUUUCAUCAGCUUAAAUAAAUCAUGGUUUUAUACAUUCAACAUAGGAUGGGAUGAAUGAAACUAACAGUUAUAUUGAAAUGUCUAUGGUUAAAGCCUCAAACAAUCUACCUGCAAACUUUGUAAGUUUGAAACACUUUUUUCAGGGCCUUUGGUAUAGCUUCUCGAGUUUCAUCAGACAUUGUCCUCCCAGCAUGUGCUCCAGGUGCAACCUUUCUUGCAACUUUAUCAGAGUUCCCUGCUUUUUCUGACUUUAUGACUGUGCCAGGCUUUGUUCUACCAGGGCCACCCUUUGCACCUCGCCAAAUAUGAUUAGUUACAUUGUCUUCUCCAGCUUUCCAAAUCUGUUCUUGUUUCUUAACAAUAUCUGGAUAUUCUUUUUUGAAAUUUUCAUCAGUAUUCUCUUUUAACUUCCAACCUUUCAAGGGAGGACUCUCAAUGGCUAAGAUUUUCAGAAAGCCUUUCACUUCUUCUUUGCGACUUGUGGAAAGGUGGUUUACUUUGUCGUAGCUUAUGAAUGGGUUCUUGCUGAAUAAGAGGCUAAAGAUUUAGACGGAUCCCCCGGAAAUAAUAAUGAACUCUUGGGAACCCAGAGUCCCUGCACUAAUAAAGCAUGCUUCUGAAGGACUUCAAAAACUUCUUCCAUUGGGUCAUCAGGAGCAUAGUGCCUUUUGAGAGUGUUGAAGUGGUGAAAAGGACGUCCCUAUUGACAGAAGAAAAGGAGUUGGAAAGAUUAAAUGGAAUAAUACAUUAUAAUACCCUACCAAGGCCGGCUAAACAAAGUAAAAUUUAACUGUCAAAGCCUUAAAUCUUUCUUUUCCAAAACUCAAUUUAAAUGAGAAAAAAAAGGGGGGGCGGGGUUGGGGGGAAUGCAAGAUCCUAAAGAUUCCUUAAUUCAAAUAAGAUGCUAUAUAUAUUAUAAGACCGUGAUCCUAAACUCGGGCAAGAUAAAGAUGCAUGUAAGCUAAAAGCAUAGGUUCAUUGGGAAUGGAUAUGGAAAAAGUUUAUGAUGGAUCCAGCUUGCAGAGUGAAAUUUUGUUUUUUAAACUACUAUAUAUGGGACAGCAGCCAAAUCAGGCAGAUGCCCAAACACAGAGAAAAAAAGUCAAAGGUGGAAGCUUUAGUUGAACAUACCUCGGUCAGUAAUUUCUUCAAACGGUCUUCAAGUGGAAUUGAACAUAACAACCUGAAAGAAACAAUUUCAUGGUCCUUAAAUCAUUAAACAUAAAGAUAGGAUGAUGAUGCAUUUUCCACCACCUAAUAAGGCCAUGAACAUAUCAAACACAUGAACAACUAGCAUAUAUAGAGAACGCAGAUGCAAAAUUGCAUCUUCCAAGUCUGCAUAAUUAUGUAAGCUAGUAACAUAAACUAGUUGGGUAACCAUACCUUCUGGAUAAACGUUGUGCUUUAUUGUUGUUGCUUGGUAGAGGACACAAGGAAUCAACAUAAUCAUACCUAGAGAUAAUGAGAAACAAUUCAAAGCAAUAGACAGACAGCUUAUUAAUGCUUCAAUACAGUAAUUUCGAACUUCUCUCAAAUUCUUAGCAUAAGGGGCCAACAAAUAAACAGGUAAUAAGUAAAAAACAUACGGGUUCAAAGUAAACUCAAUUGGAGAGCUUUGUUCUGCCAUCAUUUUCUGCAGAUACUGAGCAGAAAAAUCACUAAUGGAGCUAUGAUACUUGAGUGGAACCCAACACUGGAAAGAGAAGGAAAUGAAAAAAAAAGAAGGAAAAAGAAAAGAGCCGAUCUAAUUAAUUCAUGAUUUUCAGAACACGGAAAUGAAGUCCACCAGUAACACAAGAGACUACAAGUUGGUGAAAAUUUAGCAAGCAGUAACAGUAUCCUACAAUUACAAGCCAUUUUAGUUGCUCGUGUAUCAAUGUAAAUUUAACGUACAAUUGAAAAUACUUUCAUGCCGAACAAAAAGAAAGUUUAAAAUAACAAGUGACACCUCUUUAUCUUCUGCCUUUUGCUCAGUUGAGGACUGCACUUUCUGGUUCUGCAUCAAAGUAAAACUUGAAAAUCAUGUAUAGAAUUAAUAUGCAAAAGGAAACUACAGGGGUUAAACUAAAAAAGAGAUUUCCCAGUAGAAAUUGCUCAAGGAUCCAAAAGCAAGGUUCGUUUUGGACACAUAUUCUGAACCUUAAAUUCAAACAUUUCAUAACAGUAUAUCCCAAUAAUAAGUAAUUACCUGCUUGGCUGAUGGACCAGCUGCUUUCCCAUCGUUAGGUUCUACUUUAACAGCAACUUCUGCUUCAGCAGCCACUGUGUCCUUUCUUUUUGAGACACCAGACUUGAGAUGUGCCAAUGAUGGUCGGAGAUGAACAACUGCAUGAAUAGGAUUUAGGUGCAACUGCACCAUAAAAAUGACCUUAGAACAACAACAUCCAUCAAGGGAAAAAAAUAUUAUAUAGCUAAUCUCAAACAAGCUCAUAGACAAUAGAUGCACACACCUUAUCACCCAUUAAAACUCCAACAGCAUAGCCAGAUGGACGUGGUGGCAGCCAUGAAGAAGAUAAGGUCUAAAAAAGAAAUGAAGAUACAUAAUUAGGUUAUGCAGCUAAAUUUAUAUGGAAAAGACAUUAUGUAAAAAGCAAAUGCGACAAUGCAACUUAUCAACAAAUGCGGUAGCAGUAUGUAAAAAAUUUAUCAAUGCAAAGCACUCGGAACAUGUUUCCGGGGAAAAAUACAAAACCUAUAAAUAUAUAGAUUGAAAUUUGAUUAAAUUGUAAUAUCAGAGCCAAACCUGCUUCGUCAUCUUCAAUUUGCUACCAGAUUCACUGUCAUAAUUAUUCGAAUCAACAUCAACAGACAUGUCAAUUUCCACUUCCCCACUAUCAGGUUUCACCCGUACCUACAAAAUAACUAAAGAAUAAGAUUGAUUCAUACAAAGAAAAAGAAAAAGAAAUUGAAGGGGAAAAAACAGACGAACCUCCUUGCAUCGUUCAUCCAAUUCGUAUGGUCGCCAGCAAGGCCUUAGAGGAUAUUGCAAAACAUAUAACUGCAAUUUGAUUCCAAAAGGGGGGAAAACAAUAAGCAAAAAUGAAAAUUAAACAAUAAAGGAAAUAGAAAAAUGCAAUCACCUGAGCGUCGGCGUCAAUUGAAGGAGUGAAGAAGACGUCGAUUUCGCGAACAACCAUAUCUUCUUCUUCUCCUGGAUCUUCUUCUCUAUUGGCUUCAGUCAAGAUCUCAUCUUCUUUAGUUUCCUCAUCAAUCUCCAUCUUCACCGCGCCAUUUGAUAUCGAUUGUUCGGCUUUCGGUUCAGCAACCAUCGGCGGCUUGACAUCUUCUUCAUCGUUUUAUUUCUUUUUGGAAACUGCUUCCACAGGUGGUGGUUGGGGUUUGGGCGCGGAGUCUUGAGGCUCUGGUUUGGAUGAGGUUUAGGUUUUGGCUUAGAGGUGGAUUUGAGUUUGGGGGCGAAUUUGGAAGAUUUGGGCGCGAAUUUGGUGGUUCGAGUAUUGGCCUGACUUGAACCGUCGAGCUCUCCUAAAUCAUCCAGGUCCAUUUUCGACUUUUUGUUAUCAGUGUUAAUUCAGUCACCGGCUAGGGUUUCCACCGACUAGGGCUUUUUGCAGCUUGAGUCUGGAGAAAGAUUCUUAUAAGAGGCUUCAGUGAAUAUUCGACAAAAAAAUAUGACCAAGAUUUUAAAUUUAAGAACGGUUUAAUUACGAAUUAAAGAGGGAAUCGGUUUCAUGGCCAGGUUUAGCUCUUCUAACUUAAGGUUAUAAGUUGUUUAUAAGAAGAACUGAUCAUGGGUCGGGCCACUCGGCUUGGCUCGAAGGUUCGCCUGAAAUGUAGGAGGGUUGAGGCAAAAAUAUAAGUCCAAAAAAUAGGUUUGGACAUAAGGCUCGUUUAAAAAAUGGACCGGGUCUUGGGUAAGACAUUUUGGCUCGGGCCCAACCCAAAUUCACUAAAGGAUAAAAUAAUGUUUUUUCUGUUUUUUAAUAUUAUUUUCUCCCUAUUUUACAUUUAUCUUAGUGUUAUUUAAGUAUACAUAUUUUUUAAAAUUUAUUUUUAAUUUGUUGGAAAAUAUUUAUUUUGAUGUUUUUAGUAUUUUUGAUGUAUUAUAUAUUUUUUAAAAUUAUAUAAAAAUAAUAUAAAAAUUAAUAUGGGCGGGCCAGGUUGGGCCUAGGUUUUAACAUUUUUAUCCGAGUCGAGCUUAGGCAAAAUUUUAAGUCUAUUUUUCAGGUCGAGCCCGAGCCUAACAAACGGGCCUAAAAUUUUAGUUGAGCCAAAUCCAACCCGACCCAUGCACACAUCUAAUUAUAAGUUCGAAUCUCAUUAUUUGCAUCUUUAACGUUAACUCGCUUAGGGUGAGUUUGGAUGGGCGGUGUGUUUACCUCCGGCGAGGUUAAAAACAGCGGUGGCGGUGAGAUUAGUUACUGUAGCAAUGAGAUUAGAUAUUGUAGCGGUGAGAUUAGAAACAAUGGUGGAGUGUGUGUUUGGAUUCAAACGCAGCUGUAGCGAUGAGGUGAGAAUAAAAAAUGACUAUUAAGGACAUCAGAUUAGAAUUGAUGUAUAAUAGAAUUUUUUAAAAUUAGUUUACUUUUUUAAAAUUAUUAAAAUAUGUGAAUUUAUAAAUUCAUUUAAUAAAAUAUUAAAAUGUAUCUUCCAAUAUUUUAAUGAAUUAUAUAAUCAAUUUAAAUUAUUUAUUAGAUAAAAUGAUAAUUAUUUUUAAUUUUUUAUAGUUAAAUAUUUUUUUAUAACAAUGAUAAAUAUUAUUUUCACAAAUAGUAACAUUAUACUUUGAUCAAAUUUUAAAGUAUCUAAACGGAUGAUUUUUAAUAAAAAAAUAUAGUAACAUAAGACAUAACAAGUUUCAUUAUUACUAGAAAUUAGGUUAUGAUACAAAAUGUUUUUACAAAUAUGGAUUCAUUAAACUAGUUGCAAUGGUUUCCCUUAACAUCGUGAUUUCAAUGUCACUUUCUCUCUUAGAAGAACUCAGUUCACCUCUAUCAAAAUGGCCUAAAGAGACUGGCAUGGCGUGUAUAUUCUCAAAUUAUCGAAAAUCCUCAUCAUUUGACUAAGCAUGUCUUCGAAUGUAAUUAUGCAAAACCAUUGUUGCAAUAACUAUUAAAACUUGCUUGUUGAAUGAAUAACUUGGAAUAUCUCUUAAUAUUGACCAUUUUUUUUUCGCAUUCCAAACGUUCGUUCAAUCACAGAGCGUAACGAAGAAUGUGCAUGAUUAAAGAUUUCUUUUUUCCCAGAUACUUGAUGAUUACCUCGACGAAAAUCAGGUAAAUGAUAUCGUCCCCCCCUAUAUGGACCUAGAAAACCUACCAUUUGUGGAUAUCUUGAAUCCACAAGAUAAUAUUUUCCUACAAAAAAGUAAAACAUAAUAUCAAGUUUAAAAAUAAAUUAAAAUUUUUAAUAUUUUUUUAUGUAAAAGUUAAUUAAAAAAUUAAAGUUCAACCUGGUGGAGGGUGUGGAAACUUUAACUCUUGUUUUAUAAGUGCUUGCAAAAAAAUUCUACUAUCAUGUGAUGUUCCUUCCCAACCAGGAAAUGUAAAAAUAAAGCACAUGUUGAAGUCACAAACUGCCAUAAUAUUUUGAGUUGGUUCACCUUUCCGUCCGAUAUAAGGUAUUCGACAAGAAGGCGAAAUGCAUGCUUUUAUGUGUUUUCCAUCUAUGGCCCCAAUACAAUCCUUUAAAAUAAAUACAAGUAAUGAGAUAAAAGUUAGAAAUAAUUUAUAUUUUAAAAAUAUAAAUAUUGUGUAAAUUUUACCUUAAAGUGAGGUCAAUAUCUUGUAUCAUGUCAAAUAUGGUUCGGUACUUCCUCGAAUUGACCUUCAGUGGGUUUAAUCGUGUCUAUUCUCAUUCAAGCAAAUAUAUACAAUAUAUCAGUAAAAAUUCGACUAACAGUUUCCCCAGAUCGUUGAAAUCACUCUGUUGCAUUUGAAUUUGAUUCUCUAUUUCCAAGAAUGUACAAUGAUAAUGCUAACUUCUCCAUCGCCGAUACUUUCCCAUUCUUUAAGCCAUAAUUUGUUUGCAAAUCAUGCAACAAGCUGUGAAAUAUAUAUUUUUGGCAUCCUAAAACUAUUCAUGCAACUAUCAUCGUGCCCAUUUAAUACUUCGUCCACCCACAUUUGACCUGUAUAAUUUGAAUCCAUAUGCGGUUGCAUAAUGAAAUAAGUUUCAUGGUGUACCAAUACACUACUUAACGCAUAUUCUUCCUCUUCAAGAUAAUUGUUGUGCUCAACUUGGGUAAACAAUUGUGGCUAUUCUUCGUUGAGCUUCUUCACUUAAUGCAGGGGUAUCAUAAUUCAUAUCAAAACUAUUAUACAUAUUGUUAAAUUCAUCCAUAACCUGAAAAAGUAAUCAAAUGAAAAUAAAUUAAUAUUUCGUGACAUUCUAUACAACACAGAAACUUGAUUAAAAGCAUAGUAUAAAAAUACCAAACAUAAAAAGUAUCAUACAUUAGUUUUACAUAUAAAAAAGUAGUAUAGUUAUAUUACAAUAAUAAUUCUAAGGAGCUUAUGGUGGAGGUGGUUGAUGGUACGAUUAGAAGGGAAAUGAGGAUGUUGCUACCAAGGAUGAAAAUGAUGCAAUUGGAUUUUGUUCAACAUACUCAUGUCGAAGCCACCAAACCCUAUCAUCUGGAUCUAAGUUCAAAAACACUUCUCGUUUCACCGGUAUUUGAAACAUUUUGGUGGCAAAAUAGUACAGUUCAUCUUUUUUUAGAAUUUCAUCUCCCAAAGCACACAAAUCAUCCAUUGCAUUUGAAAUAGUAUAUUGAGAGUGAGGAAAAUUAAUUUCAUUCACUGACUUCCUUGGACUAGCCAUACUCUCACACAAUUUCUCAAUCUAAGUAGUUAAUGUAUUUCUUGAUGAUUUUCUACUCGAUCUUGAUUUUUUUUCCUUUACCAUGUACAGCCCCAAGUGUUUGCUUUCUUCGAUUAGGAAUUUCAUGAGAAGGGUUUGAUGGUACCUCAUCAGGAGAAAUACCUUCAUUCUCGUUACUAUGUUCAUCUGAAUCACCAAAUCCCUCAUCAGGUGUAUCAUCUCCCAUAGGAACCCCACUUGGAAGAACACCAGACGAAGGUGCCCAUGCGUUCUCUCCAGUGGCUACAAUGCCAGCAAACAUUUACCACAUUAACUCAUUUAAUCGUGGUUCAAUUCCUUUCUUCUUAAAUCCUUUAAAAUCAGGAUUUUCCUACAUAACAUGUUAAAUGUUAAAUGUUAUACUAAGAUUUUUAUAAUUGUAAAUUAUUAAUUUCAAUAAACUUUAUGCAUUAAAAUAAUGAUAAAGUUAACACUAACCUGUAUUUUUGCAGCCCACCAUUCUUCGGUAGCAUCGACUGUCUUUUUAGAUGGACACCAUCCAAUACCUGUAGAUUCCUUAAGCAACUCCCUCCAUAACCUCCAUUCCUUUUUUAAUGUAUCCCACUUAUUUUUCAAUUGAGGUUUUCCAUAAUUUUUUUUGUGUUUUUGCUUGAAAAAGAGCAAUGACAUUUUCCCAUCCUUUUGAGUUUAGAUGAGUUGUCGGUCUAUUACCAGUAUUGACUUCAUUCACGCAAAGCUCACAAAAUAUCAACGUCAGCUCAUCAUCCCAAGCAACUUUUGUUGCUAAGGUACUAUCUCCCUCCACAAAAUUUCGUGUCUUUACCAUCUAUUAUUAUUUUGAUUUUAAAUGUCAACCAACAUAAAACCAUAAAUAUAUAAUUAGAUAUAAUAAUAUAAUUUCAUAAAAAAAUAAGAAUAAUACAUCACGAAUGGAUGAAAGCCAUAAGAUGAACACUAAACAAAAAAUUCUCAAAGAUCCAUGGUAAACAAUAACGAGGAUAUAGAAAGGAUAAUUUUUUAUUUUUUAUUUUUUGAUUGUGUUUAUUUUUUAUUUUUUGCUUAAAAAUAGUCUUUGAUUCAACUGGUUCAAGUUCUGUGCACAUUUGGGGUUGUUCUAUAUCUUCACAAAAAAGGUAAUUCCCUAAUUUGUUUCACAAAUCCCAUAAUUUUUUAUUAUCAUGAUUUAAGUUCAAAAUUAGUAUCUUUCAAGAAAAAUAUUGCAUCUUCAUGCCCCAAAUAAUUCGAAUAAACAGAAGAUAAAGUUAAAUAUUUUUUUAUUUUUAAAUACACACAUAUAUUUUUUAUUUUUAAAAAUCACACAGAUAGAGUUUUUAUUUUUAAAAUACACUAAUAUAUUAUUUUUUAUUUUUAAAAUACACUACAUAUAUUUUUUUAUUUUUAAAAUACACUACAUAUAAUUUUUAUUUUUAAAAUACACUACAUAUAUUUUUUUUUAUUUUUAAAAGACACUACAUGAGAUUUUUUAUUUUUAAAAUACAUUGCAUAUAUUUUUUUACUUUUAAAAUACAGUACAUAUUUGUUUAUUUUUAAAUACACUAAUAUAUUUUUACUUUUUAAAUACACUACAUAUAUUUUUUUUUUUUUAAAAAUACACUACAUAUAAUUUUUUAUUUUAAAAUACACUACAUAUAUUUUUUAUUUUAAAUACACUACAUAUAUUUUUUUUAUUUAAAAAUACACUACAUAUAUUUUUUUAUUUUUAAAAUACACUACAUAUAUUUUUUUAUUUUUAAAAUAUACUACAUACACUACACCAAAACAGGCUUUUAGCGGCGCUUUUUUAGGCCUUUAGCGGCACUUUGAGAAGCGCCGGAAAAAAGCAGCUAAAGAAUGCAUCGCUAACUUUAGCGGCGCCGCUAAAGGUCUUGGUCUUUAGCGACGCUUUUUCUACAAACGCCGCUAAAGAACAAACCUUUAGCGGCGCUUCUCGCAAAAACGCCGCUAAAAAUAUAACCUUUAAAAAAAUUAUUUUAAUCAAAUAAUAUUUAUUUUUAUGAUAAAUAUUAUAUUAUGUUUUAUUUUUUAAAUUUGAACUUUAAAUAUACUUUUUAAGGAUAAAUAAAAAAAUAUUAUUUAAAUUAAAUUUUCUAUGAAAAUUUUAACUUUAAAACUAAAUAUAAAAAUUAAUAAAUUUAAUUUUAGAAUUUAAAAUAAUAAAUUAAUAACACAAUUAAAAUUCAAAAGUUAGAACUCAAGUUGUCAUAAAUAUUAAAAUAAAAAUAAAAAUUUAGAAUCAAAACUAAAAUAAAUAAUACAUAUGAAAAAUUAAAACACAGACAGUAACGAAAAAUUAAACACCACACAUAAAAUUUAUCAAACUAGUUAAGAAAUACAUGGUGCAGCCAUGCAGUAUAAAUACAAUAGAAUCAUAGAGUACCAAGAACAAUUUGUCACAAAAUUAUAAAACAUGAUAAAAAAAAAAGAACAGGUAGCAGACAAGCUAUUUGUUACUUUUUGUUUUGCUUCCAAGGCUUCCUCAGCUACCUUCAUCUUGGCAAUAGAAUCAUCUUCAUCAUCCCUGCUUAAGAAAACAAAGAACCUAUUGUUAAACAAUUUAGAACUUGAAAAAGAAAAGAACCAUGUUACUCGGACUUAGGUAUGAGUGUUAGGUGUCAGUAUAAAGACAUGUCAGGUAUGGGUAUAAAGGCAUGUCUGAGAUGAGUAUGUUCAAUUUUUUUUCCAAGUUUUCCCACAUCCAUGGGUUUCAGACACUGGUACUUAAAUCAUAAAGAGUCAGAAUAAAAAGCAUAACCAUAAUAAUAAAGUACGAACCUAAAAGAGCAAGUACAUUCAACAACAUAUUUUUCUUGAAAUCCCAGAGAAGCAAGAUAGCAAAUCAUGUGGCAACUCUUAUCAUAUAAAAAAUAGAGGAACUAAUAGAUCAUAAAACUAUAAAGACAACUAAGGGAAAAAGUGGACAUUAGAACCAAAAACAACAAAAUAAAGGCACUAAUAUAAUAACUUAAACUUUUAGGUUCAAUGAUUCUUUGACAUCAACAAAAUUAAUAAUACAAUUUCUAUAUGUUAAGAAACAUCCUGGCUGAAGGUUAAAUGAAGAGGCUUAAACUUAAGAAGCAGCUUACCUAUGUUCGGCACCUCUUGAAUUAUUUACCUGAAACGAAAAGCUUUUUUUCAAUAAAUCAUGUACACAUCAACUCAAGAUGAAGAAAAACAGAAAAUAUUAGUCCAAUGUUAUAACUGAAAAUUGCAUAUCCUUGUACAGCUUAAUGUGCUUGUUAGCAUGAGAAUUUAAAAAAAAAAGAAGCUCUUUAUACUUGAAGGGACAAUGGAAAUUAGAACAGAAUAAAACUAAACAGGCAAGAAAUAAAACGGAUAUCAAUGGACACCUCAUCCCGAGAACAUGAGAAACCAUAGCUUAGUUUUGAGUUAAGAUUAAAGAAUAGCAUAACCUAGGAAGUGUUACACAAUUUGAUAACAAUUUCGAACCAUUGCAUACAACAUAACAUACCAAAAGAACUUCAACAACAUUACAACAUAAGCCUAAGACAAAUUAUAAUUCACUAUACCAAAACAGGCUUUUAGCGGCGUUUGGACAAAAAACGCCACUAAAAAUCGAGCAUUAGCGGCAUUUCUAGGAAAGUGCCGCUAAAAAUUAGGCAAAAAGUCUAAGCCCAACGACAUCAUUUUGUACCUUACAGAUCUUUAGCGGCGUUUUGAAAAAAAGUGCCGCUAAUGCUCAGAUCUUUAGCGGCGUUUUUGAGAAAGCGCCGCUAAUGCUCAGAUCUUUAGUGGCGUUUUUAAAAAAGUGCCGCUAAUGCUCAGAUCUUUAGCGGCAUUUUUGAGAAAGCGCCGCUAAUGCUUAGAUCUUUAGCGGCGUUUUUGAGAAAGCGCCGCUAAUGCUCAGAUCUUUAAUUGAACAUUUUAUCUGCUAUUUACUAUUUAAUUUAUUUUUAAUUGAAUAUUUGUUAAAAAUGGAUAAAUUUGAAAUAAUGACACGUAAAAAUAAUUUGAAAUUAAAAAACAUAGAAAAAUAUUUGUUAAAAAUGAAGAAAUUAAAAUACUAUUAUUUAAAAUAAUUUUAAAAUUUUUUGUGUACAUGAUUGAUUGAUUUUUAAUUUAUAUAUUAAAUAAUUUCAAAUAUAAUUGUAAAAGAUACGAUAGUAUUAAUUUUAAAAUAUUUAAUUUAAUUAUCAUUAUAGUUUAGGGUUUUAUAUAUAUGGUUUAGGGUAUAUAUAUGGUUAAUUUAGGAUUUAGGGUUGGUUUAAGAGUUGCAAUUUUAAGGUUUAUAAAUUAUGGAAUUAUGGAUUAUGGAUUAGGGAUUCUGAUUUAAGGGUUGUGAUUUAAGGUUUAUGGGUUAGGGGUUAGAGGUUAAAGGUUAGAGAUUAAGAGUUAGGGAUUUAGGGUUUAUAGAUUUAGUGUUAGGUUAGGGUUUAGGGUUUAGAUUAAUUAGUGCAUUUUAAUUUAUAUAUUAAAUAAUGUUUAGGGGUUAGGGAUUUGGGGUCAGGUUAGGGUUUAUGAUUUAGAUUAAUUAGUGUUUUUUAAUUUCUAUAUUAAAUAAGGUUUAGAGGUUAGUGGUUUGGAGUUUGGGGUUUAAGGUUAAGAGUUAGUGAUUUAAGGUUUAGAGAUUCGGGGCCGAGUUAGGGUUUAAGGUUUAGAUUAAUUAGUAUUUUUUAAUUAUAUAUUAAACAAGUUCUUAUAUAAUUGUAAAGAUUAUUAGUUUAAAAUUGAUAUGCAAUAUACAAUAAUUGAAUAUAAAAAAUUGUAAAAUAUGCGAGCUUUGGCGGCGUUUAUAGCCAAAACGCUGCUAAUAUGAUUUAGAAUUUUUCAAAACGGUGUCAUUUCAUUACAAUAAUUUAAUUUAUUAGUGGCGUUUCUUCUGUAAACGCCGGAAAAUGUAACAUUAGCGGUGUUUAUGACUAAAAAGUAUUUAAUUUAAACCAUUUGAUAUAUUUAAAUAUUAGAUUUAAAAAAAUUAAUAAAUAAAAAAAUGUAACAAAUUGAUACGGAUAGGUAACUAUCUAUUUUAGAGAUAUAGGACCAAAUUAUAACAAAUAAAAAUAAAAUACAAAAACUAAAAUCAUUCCACAUCGAACAUCUAGCAAAAUAAUUAUAUUUUAGUUAGCAAGAAAUAUCUCUAAUAAAAUGGAGAUUAGAUCGGAAAUGAACAAUAUAAAAUCAUAAUUAACGUCUCAAUCUUUAAUAGAAAUUUGAUAUGUGAGAGAUUAUUUGAUAGUAAAAUAAUUUUACUUUAAAAAAAUCAAUUUAUAAAAACGCCGCAAAAAAAUCAAUUUAUAAAAAACAACAUAAAAAAUUAAUAAAAAAUACGAACAUUAAAGACUACAAAAUUAUUUUAUCAUUUUCUAAUUGCUACAUUGAUAAUUUUAACCGCAAAAUUAGAUGUUUAAAUUAAAAAAAUAAAAAAUUUAAUAUCUCAAAAUUAAAAUGUAGAGAUUUCCUUUUAAAUUUCAAAAGCGUAUAUAUAGGGUACUGCAUUCAUUACACCGUAAGUUCUACGAUUUUGGGCCGACUUUGUUAUACGGGCUUAUCCAUAUAAAAAUUUUAUCCAUAUAAAACUAAUAAAAAAUUCAAUUUAUAAAAAAUAAUAAUAAAUGUUUUAUAAAAUCACUUAACUAAUAAAUAUUAACAGAUUUAAAAUGAAAUAAUUUUUUGCGGCAUUUUUAUGAAAAAUGCCGCAAAAGGUAAGCAAUAGCGGCGUUUUUAUAAAAAACGCCACAAAAAAUAAUUUUACUUUAAAAUAAUUUUUAGCAGAAAAAAUAUAAAAUUUUUAACAUAGUAAAACGGCAUCGUUUUGUAUAAAAAUAAAAUAAUUUUUUGCGGAGUUAAGCAAAAAGAUAUUCAAAAUCCAAAUUUUUGGUUACCCGCUCGUUACUCCCUCUUCUCCUCAUCUCCAUCGCGCGCCCUAAAUACCCCAAAUUUUGUACUUAAUUUUUUUCCCUUUUACUCUGCUGAAAACUUGGGGAUUUUGGCCAUUCCAUUGCUUUCUUUCUGAUUCAAUCUUCAAUAAGUUUCCAAUAUGGCUGGGAAAUUAACUACAGGUUCCUCUCUUUUUCUUGAUUCAAUAUGUUCUUCUUUCAAUGCUCUGCCAUUUUCUUACUCUGGGUUUUAAGUUGGUUUUAUGCACCCAAGAUUAUUUGUGUGAAUCCCUUCACCUGUGAUUGUUUGUUUUGUUGCUGUUGACAAUUUUUGAAAUCAUACUUCUUUUUUAUUUCAUCUCCCAAACUUUGUGCUUUCUUUGUUAUCAAGUACUUCUUUUUUUGUAUUUGGUACAACAAAUCUUUAACGAGUAAUCUUAAAAAUUCUUGCUUUUGAGGUUAGGUUUCUUUCAAUUAUAAAGAUAUAUUUGAUCAUGGUAUUUUGAUUACUGUCUAAAGUUUGUGAUUUCAAUCAAAAUUGCCCAAAUUUUUCGUUUCUUGUUGUUUACAUGUUGGCCAAAUCACAUGCUUUGUAUGGUAUACUGUGCACCACAAGAUCUUACACUAAAAGACAUUUCUUUUUCAAUAAAGAUGAAGUGGGAAAUGGAUUUUAUUUUUCCUUGUUAAUCCCAGUGACAUGUUUUUAAUUAGCUGUUUAGAGAAAUCAUUGAUUGAAUUUGUUACUCAAAAUGGAUUGGGUAAUUUAGUGCUUUCAAGGUGAACAAAUUGGCCCAGGCCUAGGCCUAGGAGUUGUUAGAGAGAGUUACUCUUUUUAAGUUUUUUUUUAUUUUUUGUUUAAACACUGUCAGGAAAUAUCAUUGGUAUUGAGAAACUACAUAUUGUUGGUGGAGCUAAAGAUCGUACUGCUAUUACAAACGGUAACGCUGCAAAGAAUAAACCUCUAGUUGUUUGCUUCGGUGAAUUGUUGAUCGACUUUGUACCGACGGUUAGAGGGGUUUCUCUGGCUGAAGCACCUGCUUUUAAGAAGGCUCCUGGUGGUGCUCUUGCAAAUGUGGCUGUUGGGGUAUAACGAUUAGGAGGAUCAUCCGCUUUCGUAGGAAAGGUAAAUUCAAUCAUCACUGCAAUAAUUCUAUGAAAUAAACUUCAUUUAAGAACUUUGGCUAAAGGAUACAUUCUCACAAAUGAUAUUCUGAUCAUUGUGUAGCUCUAAUCAUUCUUUCUUCUUGUUGCAAGUUUGAUUUUUUACUUUUGACAUACUUAAAGUUCCAAAUACUAUUUCAAUUCCAUAUCAGGUAGGUGAUGAUGAAUUUGGCUACAUGUUUGCUGACAUUUUAAAACAAAACAAUGUUGACAACUCUGGCAUACGAUUUGAUCGAAUUGCAAGAACUGUGCUUGCAUUUGUUACUCUCAAAGCUGAUGGUGAACGUGAGUUCAUGUUUUUCCGUCAUCCAAGUGCUGAUAUGCGUUUUCAUGAGUCGGAACUCAAUACAAACCUCAUUAAGCAGGUUUUCUUUCUGGCUUAUUCUUUUUUGUUUCAAAUAGUCGAUGUGAAAGGAAUUGGUUUUAGUAGGAUUUGGAAAUUUCUGACCUCCAAACAAUAUUGACUGUGUAGGCAAACAUCUUUCACUAUGGUUCGAUUAGUUUGAUCGAGGAACCAUGCAAGUCAGUUCACUUGGCAGCAAUGAACAUUGCCAAGAAGUCUGGAAGCAUGCUCUCUUAUGGUCCAAAUUUAAGAUUGCCACUAUGGCCAUCGCCAGAGGCUGCUCGAAAAGGCAUAAUGAGCAUAUGGGAUCAAUCGGACAUUAUUAAGGUAUGGUUUCUUUUUAUCAUGAGACUCAUUUAUGAAAUGUUCGUGCUACUGCAUUCAUUUGCUGCUAACCUAAGAAAAUGCAGGUAAGCGAGGAUGAAAUUACAUUCUUAACUGGAGGUGAUGACCCUUAUGAUGAUAACAUGGUGAUGAAGAAGCUUUUUCAUCCUAAUCUUAAGCUUUUGGUUGUAACCGAGGGAUUAGAGGGUUGUAGAUAUUACACCAAGGUAUGAUUAUCUCUUCUUUGCUUUUCUUUGAAAAAAGAUUGGAUGUUAUGAAUUUCACUUAUAAUUCUCACAAUCCAAGUGGACUUUUUGUGGACCUAUAAAAUCCUCUAUGGAGCCAAUGCCCUCAACUAAAGAUUAUCCGAGUUCUAAUGAUGCACUGAUUAAAUAAGUGAUAUCAACCUAUAUAUCCUUUGCAGGCAUUUAAGAGCAGGGUUCCUGGCAUUAAAGAUAAACCUGUAGACACGAUAGGUGCUGGCGAUGCGUUUGUCAGUGGCUUAUUGAAUAGCCUAGCUUCUGAUUCAAAGCUAUUUCAGGUAGUUACAGUUGUUACAUUGGUUAAGAUACAUCAUUUACAGUAUCUUCUUUCCUAAUGGUUACUGAUAAAUUCCAUAUAACUAAACUUACCCCUGGAACAUUGUUAGUGCAAUUUAUAUGUUGUGUGUAUGUGUGUAUUAUUAUAUAUAUUGGGUUUUUGUUUCUUGAUUGUUAAAUAUGAAAUUAGGCAUAGGGUUCAAACUUUGGCGAGGGUACUUUUAGUUGUUUGAAACUUCUUUGGUUUUACUCGACUUGCAUUCUUUUUACAGUCAUCAAUAUAUUUUUUACAUUUCUUCCAUGCAGCAUGGAGUCACAAGAAGUAAUUGAUGCAGAACUCUCAGCUCGUGUUCUGCAGUUGAUAAAUGUCACUGAUAGUGGACUGCACAGUCAGGUACACUGAGCAUAGUAGCUCGGUUUUGAUGAUAUUUAUUUUUAAUAUAUAUAUGUAGUAUGAUUUUAAUGUUGAAAUCUUCAUUUUCCUUGUAUUAUAAUUUUAUAACUGUUGCCUGGACUUGUCAAAAUUUAUCACCUUUGUCGUCAGGAGGAUUUAGGAUGUAUUUCUGGGAUAGUCAAAAAUUAAGCCACUUUCAAUAAUUCAAUUAAAGUUCUAAAAUCUCCAAUGAUAAACAUAAGAAGCAACUAAACAGAGGUAUAUUACAGAGCCUAACCUAAAUUAUAGAGAUCAUACCUUGAAUCCAACUUUGUUGUCUAAGCAAGCAUGCCAAUCUGCUUUCAUUUCUUGCAAAGGAACUCGAUCAUGCGGACCGCAAUAAAGUAGUCAAAUUCAGACAUGCCACAUUUGGAAUAUUAGAAAUAAGACAAUUUUUCAUGUUACAAAAGGUUCCAAUUUUUAUGUUUGGAAAAUACCUCUUGGGCCCUGAUAUACAGAGUUCAACAUCCUCAAGUUUCAGUUCCAAGUAAGAAGAGUAUACUUUCUCAAUCUGAGGUUGAGUUCAGAGAAAAAUUCUCAGUAAGAAACUGAAUGCUGAACAUUUUUUAAUCAAACUAUAAAAGAAAGAACAUAUGGUGUAUAUUUACCUCGUUGUAGUUUACAAACAUCUUAUUAGUCCGUAAAUAGGAUUCUAUCACAGCAAUCUACAUUUUUGCAAUAAGCCAGUAAAUCAAGGGUCAAUAGAUCAAUUGAAACAAAGAUACACACCAAGGACUUACAGUCUCAUCACUUCUGCCAGUCAAUUGUAGACUCAUGAUUUUAAACUUAACCCUGCUCUUUUGAUCCAUCUGUUUUUCAUUGUUCUCAGGAGGCUCCACGAACUUGAAGACUAGUAAAUCCAUUCAAAAACAAAAAUAGAAAUUCAUAAGAAUGUUUCAAAAGAUAAAGAAAAAUAAACUAAACAAAUAUGUCUGCCAAGUGCCAAAGCAUGAUAAAAACCAGAAGUGAAGGGUAUGCAUAAGCGUGCAAAAAAACAUUUACCCGUUGCUAUGAUGCUCUCGCCGGGGGCUAGAAUGGCACCCGGAGGGCGCAUGAAAUAGCUCUUUGGUGCAGUUGUUUGAAACUAAACCAACAAAAACAAAAGGACUCUUUAUGAAAUUCAUCAAAGCAAUCGUUAUAGUAUAAAACAUUUAACAAAAAUAUACUUGCUUGUUGUUUUCAAUUCUGUCUCUAACUUAUAAAUCACUAACAUGCCAAACAAGGACAAUGAUGAAAACAAAAACAACAAAGGGAAACAGAAAUGGCAGAGCCGUGAUGAUUCGAUCCUUCGGCAUGAGGUUGAGUUUGAACGUAUAGUUUAGACGCUGAAGAAGAAGACGGAGUCGUUCUGGUAUUAUUCCCGGUUUGGCGAAAAGGCAGCUUAAAAAUUCCCCAGACUUUGCCAUCGGAGGGUGACUUUUGCUCGGUAUCUAUCGCCAUCUCUCUCGCAAGCACAUGUACGGCACCGUGUGCCGCGUCACGAAAAUUCUGAAACUGAAAAACCUUUGCUGGAAUUUGAGAGUUUAAGACGAAGAACAAACAAGAACUGACUUGGCUUCAGUUGGGAGAAACACAGAGUUGAAUAAGCUUCUGGGUUUCUUUCUUGGAUGUGGGAAAUUAGGGAUUUUAGGGGGGAAAGUUAGGGAUUUCGGGGGGAGGGGGAGGGAAUUUUAUAAAAUGACCCUAUUUUUUUUAAAAGUAAAUUUUAUUUUGUGGUAUUUUUUUAUAAAAACGCCGCUAUUGCUUAUUUAUUGCAGCGUUUUUCAUAAAAACGUUGUAAAAAAUUAUUUCAUUUGGAGUAAAACGACACUGUUUUGCUAUGCUAAAAAUCUUUUAUUUUGUCUGUUAAAAAUUAUUAGUUAAGUGAUUUUAUAAAACAUUUAUUAUUAUUUUUUAUAAAUUGAAUUUUUAUAAAAAAUCAAGUACUCUCAAAAUAAAUAUCGUAUAUUUUAAUAAGAAAAAAAAUGAUUAAAUGGCUGUAAUUAAUUAAGUUAGAAUUAUCCAAUGUAAGCAAUUAAUCUCUCACAUAUUUUAUAAUUUUUUAUAAUUUUUGUUAUAAACGCCGCCAAAGCUCGCAUAUUUUAUGAUUUUUUAUAUUCAAUUAUUGUAUAUUGCAUAUCAAUUUUAAAUUAAUAAUCUUUACAAUUUAUUAUUAUCUCUUUUACAAUUAUAUAAGAACUUAUUUAGUAUAUAAAUUAAAAAAUACUAAUUAAUCUAAACCUUAAACCUAACCCGACCCCGAAUCUCUAAACCCUAAAUCACUAACUCUUAACCCCAAACCCCAAAUCCAUAACCACUAACCCUUAAACCUUAUUUAAUAUAUAAAUUAAAAAACACUAAUUAAUCUAAAUCCUAAACCCUAACCCGACCCUGACUCCUUAAUCCUUAAACCCUAAACCCUAACCCGACCCCAAAUCCCUAACCCCUAAACAUUAUUUAAUAUAUAAAUUAAAACACACUAAUUAAUCUAAACCAUAACCUGACACUGAAUCCAUAAACCCUAAAUCUCUAAUUGAUCUUAACCUCUAACCCCUAACCCCUAACCCCACCGACUCUACUAGCUAAAUUGAAUCCCAACUUCACUUAAUUAUUUUCUAAAAUUCAAUAUUUAAUAAAUUUUAUUCGAAUUUCAAUAUUUAUAAUAUUUUCCUAUAACCCUUUCUCAGCCUAAAAAACCUAGCUAGUAUUAAUUUCUAGUGGGUAUUAGACCAAGUAACAACCUGAUUUGUCCAUUUUCAUUCAUUUUCAGUUCUUACUCUUGAGUAGGUACUAUUAGGUCAUUGUUGUGUUCAUGUUUGAUUAACUAAAUAUAAAAUUAUUUUUGGUAAUAAAAUUAUCAAUAUAUAAUAUUAUUUAUCAUGAUAUUUGGUGUUUUAUAUUACUUUCUUUGAUUUAUUUAAUCGAACUAUCAAAAUUUAUUAUUCUUAUAAAAAUUUAUUCUAUUUUUUAUUCUUUACAACACAACAAUUUAAGUUUUAUGAUAUUUUAUUUUACUCAUAAUUUAAUAUAUUUUUCUAGUAAAGUAGUUUAAAUAAACUGUGAUUGAAAAAUAAAAAUAAAUAGUUAGGAGUUAGGACGACUUCUCUUUAAUAAAAACAUUUUGUAUUAAACAAUAUUAUAUCAUUUAAAUGUAAAAUUGACCAAUAUAUAAUAAAUACAACGAAAUAUCAAUUUUUUCAACUUAUAAUAAAAAAUAUAAUUGAAACAUUACUUGAGAAUAUAUCAAAGAAUGAGAUAAUUGAAAUGGUUUUAGAUUUUAUUAUUAUUAGCGGCGCUUUUCCAAAAAUGCUGCUAAAGGUCGAGUAUUAGCGGCGAUUUUUCAAAAACGCUGCUAAAGGCCCGAGCAUUAGCGGUGCUUUUUCAAAAACGCCGCUAAAUGCCCCCAAAACUCAGAAAACGGUGUUGUUGGGCUUAGGCUUUUUGCAACGCUUUUCAAAAAACGCCGCUAAUGCUUAUUUUUAGUGGCGUUUUCCAAAAAGCGCCGCUAAUGCUCGACCUUUAGUGGCGUUUUUGUAAAAGCGCAGCUAAUACUUGAUUUUUAGUGGCGUUUUUUGUCCAAAUGCCGCUAAAAACGCCGCUAAAAGCUUGUUUUGGUGUAGUGAUAUAUAUUUUUAUUUUUAAAAUACACUACAUAUAUUUUUUACUUUUAAAAUACACUACAUAAUUUUUUUUAAAUACACUACAUAUAUAUUUUUAUUUUUAAAAUACACUACAUAUAUUUUUUUAUUUUUAAAAUACACUACAUAUAUAUUUUUAUUUUAAAAUACACUAAUACAGUGCAAUUUCCCUAUUCCCAUUUCCCCUUUUCCACCGAUCAAAGUCCCAAUCCACCUCCACUGAUCAAAGUCCCGAUCAGAGGUUAGAGGCAAAACAGUCUAUCGAAAAUAUUCUAACAGGCAAGAGAUUGUAAACAACAAAACCACGGCGGAUAUUGCCGAAAAUGUUCUUUUGGUAACAAUCGAAGGUCAAGAUGCGCGGCUUGUUUCCAUUGAUGUUUUGCAUCUGGUAAGGAAGAUCUUUGGUAUUUCUUGCUUUCUUUUUUGGGUUAAGAAUUUCUAGGUUUGAUCUGAGUUUAUGGAAUUACUAGGAUUUGUGUGGCUUUUGUCAUGCUCUAUAGAAAGAAAAAGCUUUCUGUUGUUUUGACAUGAAUAUGAAUGAAUUAGGAGGAUAAUGUCAAUGGAAUUAUCUCCAAUGGCAGCUUAGUGCAUCCGGAGAAAGAGCACAUGUGAAGGUACAAUUGGUAUUUGUAAGGAAUUAUCUCCAAGGGAAUUAUCUCCAAUGGCAGCUUUUGGAUGAGAUGAGAAGUUCUAGGAUUUUGCCUAACAGAGUUGUGUAUAAUACAUUGAUUUCAAGUUUUUGUAAAGAAGGUAAAACUGGUGAUGCUGAAAAAUUGGUGGAAAAAAUGAGAGAGGAUGGUUUGUUUCCUGAUGUUGUGAUAUUCAAUGCUAGAAUAUCAGCUCUUUGUAGUGCCGGUAAAGUUCUUGAAGCAUCAAGGAUUUUUAGGGAUAUGUAAAUAGAUGAAGCAUUGGGGCUACCUCGGCCUAAUGUUAUAACCUAUAAUCUAAUGCUUGAAGGGUUUUGCAAGUAAGGGAUGUUGGUGGAAGCAAAGGCCUUGGUUGAGUCCAUGGAGAAACUUGGUGAUUUGAUGAAUUUAGAUAGUUAUAAUAUUUGGUUGUUGGGGUUGCUAAGAAAUGCAAAGUUAGUAGAGGCUCAGUUGGUACUUAAAGAUAUGGUAGAUAAAGGUGUAGAACCUAAUAUUUACUCGUAUAACAUUGUGAUGGAUGGUCUAUGCAAGAAUAUGAUGCUUUCUGAUGCUAGAAUAGUGAUGGGUUUUAUUGUAAGGAGUGGUCUUUCCCCUAAUACAGUUAAUUAUAGCACUUUACUGCACGGCUACUGUCGUAAAGGGAAGUUAUCUGAAGCAAAUGCUAUUCUAAAUGAGAUGAUGAGAAAUGGUUGUGUCCCUAAUACUUAUACUUGUAAUAUUUUGUUGCAUAGCCUAUGGAAAGAGGGUAAAAUAUUAGAGGCAGAAGAGUUGUUGCAAAAGAUGAAUGAAAAAGGCUAUGGUGUGGAUAUUGUGACUUACAAUAUUGUAAUUGAUGGUUUGUGUAAAAGUGGGAAAUUGGACAAAGCUAUAGAAAUUGCACAUUAGAUGUGGACACAAGGAAGUGCUGCUCUAGGUAACCUUGGGAACUCAUUUAUUGGCCUAGUUGAUGAUGUUAGCCGUAGCAUGAGAUGUAUUCCUGAUAGUUACAUAUUCUAUCAUAAUUAGUGCUCUAUGCAAAGCAGGAAAGAUAGGUGAAGCUAAAAAGAAAUUCAGAGAGAUGAUGGGUAAAAACUUGCAACCCGAUGUGAUUAUUUUUGAUACUUUCAUCCAUAUUUUCUGUAAAGAAGGAAAGAUUUCAUCUGCAUUUCGAGUUCUCAAGGACAUGGAGAAAAAAGGAUGUAAUAAGAGCGUACAGACUUAUAAUUCAUUGAUACUUGGCUUAGGAAGUAAAAAUCAAAUAUUUGAAAUUUAUGGACUUGUCGAUGAGAUGAGAGAAAGAGGGAUUACUCCUAAUGUUUGCAUAUAUAAUAACAUUAUUCAGUCUUUGCAAAAAUGGGAAAAUCCAGGACACUACUUCUAUCUUGGAUGACAUGCUGCAAAUGGGUAUAAAUAUUAAUAUUUCUACCUUCAGGAUGUUAAUAGAAGCUUUCUGCAAGGCAAGUGAUUUUGGAGUAGCGAAGGAGUUAUUCGAGAUUGGUCUUAGUAUAUGUGGUCACAAAGAGUUUACAUAUAGUUUCUAGUACCCUCACGCACAAACAAAUGAACCCAGAUAGUUAUUUUUUUCUUAGCUAAGAACAAGAUGAGAAGGAAAAAUAGAAACUACUUUGAUACAAUUCAAACACAUAUAUAGAGUGGAAAAAGAAGGGUUUUGACUUACCAAGUGAUCAAAGUUAAGAACAAGAUUGAUAGGAUGAGUCGAAAAAUAGAGUUUCUUUGAGUCUACUUGUUGUUGGUGGUGUGUUUUUUUCGGGAGAACAAGAUUAAUGUUUUUCUUUGAGAGAAGUGGGAAAGGAGGAUAGUGGGGUUUUGUAGAAGUGUCAAUUGAAGAAGAGUUGAAGAGCAUGAGUUGAAGAGCGGAUGAAGUUUUCAGCAGAAUUUGGCUGCCAAAUCUGAAGAAAAAUAAGAAUAGGAAAGAAAUUAGUUUAACUUUCAAGGAUAAAAUGGUAAAAUAAUAAAUAAAAGUAAGAGUAUUUUUGUCUGUUAAAAAUACCAACGGCUCAGUUAAUUUCAAUUGCUGCUGAAAUCUCCAGCUGAUUUUCAGCUGACCAGCGUGGUGGAGAUGGCUUCUCAUUGGAUUGACAUGCUGAACCAAAUAGCAUAACAGUGAGGUUGGUACCAUAUUUUCCCCCCAACUGUACCUUACCGGCAUGCAAAGCCAGACCAAAAGAAGCCUUAGUCAAGCUCCAUAAACUUGGACUGAACAAUAAAUUUAACAAUAAUUCAAUAAAAAAUAAUUGGUGCAAGGUCCAUAAACUUGGACUAAAUUUAACAAUAAUUCAUAAAUUUAGUUGAAUUAGAUAAUGACUAAAUAUAAAUUAUAUUGUUUUAAAAGUUUUUUCUUAACCUUUUUACAUCUUUUCCAUAUAAAAAUAUAAAAAAUUAUACACCAUACAAAUUGAACCUAUAAUACAUAUUGUUUUCAAUAUUUUUAUUUUACUAUUUCAAUCAAAAUCUCAUUUAUUUUUUUAUAUUCAUUUUUAAUAAAUAUAGUUUUUAUAUAAUUUUAUUGUCAUCCAUGAUGUGAAUUUAAUAAAUUUUUAUAUAAAAUGUAAUUGAGUUUAUAUUACAAGUUAACUGAAAAUCAAUUAAAAUCAAUUAAAUUGAGAAAAAAAUUUAAAUAAAAAUUAUAUAUCAAAACAUUAUUUACCUUUUUCAAUACUUUUUUUCUCAAAAUGCUAGUCUAAUCAUUAGUGUUUAUUAUAUAUAUUUUGGUAUAAAAUUUAUUCGAACCUAAGUUAUCCGAGAAAAGUGAAUACUAGAUUAAUAUGCCACAAUUAUAUAUAUAUUAUGAAUAUCACAUAAUCUAAUAUUAUAUUUUGUUACACUUAUGAUGUGAGUAAAAGAAAAACGUAAUAUUAAAUUAUGUUUAUAAAAAAAAUUGAGUUAUAGAUAAAAUGGUAAAGCGUUUAUAAAUAAACUCUUCUUAAACUUUUGAUUUUUUUUAGAAGAGCUUGAGUUUAAUUUUUAAAUGUUUUAUUUAAAUAUUUCAUAUUAAAAUAGUAAAAGACAAACACAUCUAUAUAUUAAUCUUCAUUACUUUAUUAAAAAUAAUUUUUAAAUAAUUUCUAACUGAAAUGAUGUAUCCUUUUCUUCUAUAUGUAUAUGAAUCAAUAUUAUUAAAUUCUAAUCCAUUAUUGAUACCUCAAGGAAAAUCCCAAAUUAGAUUCCAAAUUGACGAGUUAAUGUAAGUUUAUCCAUGCAGUUAUGCACCCUUUGAAUAGGAAUUCAUUUUCUAAAAGGUCUUGACUUUCAUGUUUUGGUGAGUCUCCAAGAUCCUUUUGACGAUCUAUGUUGUUUAGAAAGAAUAUCAAUAUGAUCUGAUCGAUUGUGUAAAGCCUACGGUAACAACGAAAUCAAGGAAAGUAUACGAAAAAGACAAUUGACUCGUGAUAUGAACUCAAUCAUAAACAUUUUAUAUAGCAUAGAUAUAUAAUAUUUUUAGUUUAGUUUAGCUUUCACAAAUCAUUAAUUUCACUAUCUGAAUCAAAUUUUAAUAUUUAAAUCAAUUAAAAUUAAAUUUUCAUAUAUAUAAAUGUUCAUAACUUAUGUGAAAUUUAUGGAUUUGACUCUAUUUUAUUACUUUUUCAUCUAUUAAUAUUUAAUUUAUUUUUAAUCACCAUUCACAUUUAAUAAAUGAGUUCUACAUAUUUGAAUUAUGAUGGCCAUAUAUUGGAUAUUAAUGAAUGAGUAAAUAACGAACGCCUUAAGAAUUUUGUUGAACUUAGUAAAAGAAAGCUUUUCUAUAUGGGCUAAUAUAUCUUCAGGCCAAACUUGUUCCAUUUAGGGUCUCUCGGAUUAAAGUUUGAUGUUUAGGACUCUAAUAUGCCCCAAAUUUGUAAUUAUUAGAAUUAUUGGGUUAUUCAGUUUAAUUUUACAAAAUUGACCUCAAAAGACCCAUUUUUUUAAACUAAAAUAUUAAAAUAGGUUGUGUAACACCCCUUACUUGUGUUCCUUACCGAAACAGAGUAUGAGGUAUUACUAGAACUCAAACACUUAAUUUUUUUUAUAAAAAUUUCGGCAGCAUUUCUGCUUAUUUUUACAUAAAACCCCCUGCAGAUUUCCAAAGACAAUUUCAACCAACUUCAAUAUUUCCAACCAAUUACAGUUAUAUAUAUUCAGACAUAAUUUAUCCAUUAAUAAACACCUACCUAUUAAACCAAACAAUACUAUAUAUACAUAUUUAUACCACAUUACAUAAAUUCAUCUAUACAUGCCAUAUUUCAAAAGUGUUGAUUGCCAAAAUACCCAAAAAGUUGAUGAUAGUGUGGAUGAUUUCCUGACUUCGUCCAAGUUUCGAACUGGCUGAUGUCACUAUAAUCAAGAAAAUAAAUAAAAAUGAGUAAGCAUAUAGCUUAGUAAGUAAACAUAUGACAAAUAAAUAAAUUUCUCACAAGAUUACAAAAUAACAUAAUUUUUAUCACACAUAGAUUUCAAUGUUUGUUCAAUUUCCAGCAAACUAUUUUUCUGCGUCACUGUCACCAAUUUAUUUUUAUCUAGAGGUACAGGGCUCCAAAUUAAGUUCUGUAAAUUUUCUCAAAAACUAGACUCAUAUACCUUUCCACCAUAAAAUUUUCAUAAUUUUUUGUUUAGCAAAUUAGUACAUUUUAUUCUCUAAAUAUUUCCUUGUUUCACUGCUCGACAGUUCUGACCUCUCAUUACUAAAAUUUACUUAACUCUCUGUACAAAAUUCAAACAAUGUUAUUGUUUAUUUAUCUCAAAAAUAGACUCAUUAAGGAAUUCAAGCAUGUAAAUUUCAAGCCAUAAUUAUUUUUUUUUACAAUUUUUGGUGAUUUUCCAAAGUUGGAAUAGGGGAUUUCAAAAUCAAUCCAACCCUGUCUCAAUAAAAUUUAAAUAUCCCAAAAUAUACAGCUUCUUUGCUUGCUCUGUUUCUUUCAUAUGAAAAUAGACUCAUUUAGCUUCAAUUUCAUAUAUUAUUCAGCCUCUAAUUCAUUUUCCAUCAUUUAUGGUGAUUUUUCAAAUUUGUCCAACUGUUGUUAUACAAAACAUUUUUAUAUUUAAAUUUGCUCUUUUGAAGUUUUGGUAUUUCCUUCGUUGAUUAAGUGUCGAACCCAAUAUUCCUCACAUAACCUUGUCCACCAUAUAUAUAUUCACCUAUUCACCUUUCCAAUUUUCCAAUUUUCCCGUUGAACACUCGGAAUGUUAUCCGUUAUCAGUGGAUUCAACACUUAGCAACCACCAGUGAUUCGGGGAAUCAGCACUUAGCAACCCCUUUCACAUUCAAUGAUACGGUGGAAUCAGCACUUAGCAACCACCAAUGAAUCGGGGAAUCAACACUUAGCAACCCCUUUCACAUUCAAUGAUACGGUAGAAUCAGCACUUAGCAACCACCAAUGAAUCAGGGAAUCAGCACUUAGCAACCCCUUGGGGGAAUCAACACUUAGCAACCCCUUUCACAUUUAAAAUACGAUGGAAUCAGCCUUAGCAACCACCAAUGGAUUGGGGAAUCAGCACUUAGCAACCCCUUGGGGGAAUCAACACUUGGCAACCCCCUUCACAUUUAAAAUACGGUGGAAUCAGCACUUAGCAACCACCAAUGGAUCGGGGAAUCAGCACUUAGCAACCUCUUGGGGGAAUCAGCACUUAGCAACCCCCUUAAUAUUCAAUGUACUCUGGCCUAUUCCGAGUGUUCAACGGAAAACCGUGUUUUUCAACACUUUACCACCGUUCCUAACUUAACCACAUUUUUAGUAUCUAUACCAAGUAUUCAUUCUAUGUUCAAUUAAAUCUUAACAUAUAUUAGAUAAUAUCAAAAUAAUGCAUUAAUUCACAUGUUUACUUACCUCGAUGCAAAAUAUCAUAAUUUUGCAAUUUACUCCACUAUCUUCUCUUUUCCCCGUUUGAGGUAGUCUACUCGUCUUUCUUGAUCUAUAAUAUAAAAUUUAACUCAUUUAAUGUUCACAUUUAUUAAAAUAGUCCUCCACCCAACUUUUUGAAAAAAUACAAUUUUGCCCCCUAACUUUUGCAUAUUUACACUUUUGUCCCCAAGCUCGAAAAUUAAACUUCAUCUCUUAUUCUUAAGUUUUAUGACAUGUUGAACAUUUUUCCCUUCUAUGGCAACAUCAAAUUCCCACUCUAACACACACUUUUGAACAUUAGGUAUUUUUACCGAUUAUGUCAAUUUACCCGUUUUCGUUUAAAAUCGCUUAACAAAAGUUGUUUAACAUAAUUUCUAGCUUCAUAUUCUACCUUAAAACAGCAAAAUAAACACUUUUCACCUAUGGGUAUUUUUUUCAAAAUAUAAACCCUAGGUUAAAUUAUUGCUAGAAUAAGCUAAAUUAAGUUACCGGGACUCAAAAACGUAAAGAACAUUAAAAACGGGGCUUGGAAUCACUUACUAUUAAGCUUGGAAGCUUAAAAACCCUAAAUAUCGCUUCCCCCAUUGCUGAUUUUGUUCACCAUGAAGAAGAUGAGCAUAUUUUGCCAUCUUUUUCCCAUUUAAUUCUAUUUAAUUACCAAAUGACUAAAAUGCCCUUACUUAAAAAAAUCUAUUUCACUAAUUCUAUGCCCAUUUUUGUCCAUCAACUAACUAAUGGUCUAAUUACCACAUAAAGACCUCCAAUUUAAAAUUUCAUAACAAUUAGACACCUCUAAGAUGUAGAACUCAACUUUUGCACUUUUUACAAUUUAGUCCUUUUGACUAAAUUGAGUGCCCAAACAUCGAAAUUUUCGAAUGAAAUUUUUACCAAAAUUUUCCAUGAAAUUGUAGACCAUAAAAAUAUAAUAAUAAUAUUUUCCCUUGUCAGAUUUGUUGUCUCGAAACCACUGUUCCGACUAGGCCCAGAAUCGGGCUGUUACAGGUUGUCAAAUCCAUUGUAAAGUGAUAUUAAAGUAUGAGAUAAAAAGAUGAGGGCAAAUACUGAAGGUCCCUGGGAUGGGUAGGCAGUGGUUUUAAAAGAUAGUUGUUUUAGGGUGCGAUUGACCAAAUGAUGUUUAUGAUAGGCAGUGGAAGAUGGAGGAGUUGUUGAAGUGAUUUGAGGCCUUCAAAAGAGGGAAAACGUCAAACAUUUUACAUUGUGGAGGCUCCAACCAAUAUCAUAGCUAGCUACAAUAUUAGUGCAGAUAUUUAAAUAAAAUUAAAAAAGCACCCAAGUCAAUAAAAGUUGUGGUAAGGAGAAAAAUAACAUGCCGGCUUUUGGGGUUUAUAACAUAUCCCUUCUAAGCUCUCUUCAACUACAUUCUUAUCCUCAUUAUCGUCAAACUACAUCAAUAACAAAAUAUAAAAUUUAUAUCUAUUUCUUUUUUUUUGAGAGGUCUAAAAAACUAUUACCGAUUGAGUUUUAAUCCGACUGGUAUGAGCAUUGUUGCCAAUGCAGGAGGACGUGAGUUCGAGUGCAUUGAAGCGCAUUAUCCUCCUAUUUAUGAGUUAGGGAGAGGCUAUGGAUAAUUCUAGGUAUUGUAUCAAAAAGAAUAAAAAUGAUUAGAAAGAAUAGAUAUGAUUAGAACCUAUAAUGUGAUUGUUAAAAAACAACUAUUUAAGGCUUAACACCAGUCGUAGGGGUGAAGGACAAGCUCCAUGCCUAAAAUCACUUGCAAAAGCAAAACUACAUGCAUAAGCAAGACAAACAAAAAUAGAUUAAGAAGCCAACGAAGAUCCACCCACUUUCCAAGAGAAACCGUUGAUGGCCAGUGGAGUUUCAAUAACGAUAGACACCGUCAUCUAUCAAUCACAACUUUUGAAAACGACAAAAAUACCCACAAAAUAUAUUUGCAAACUAAAAGGAGAGAAGGUACAUUGAGUGGAUGAGGAGAAGAAAAUAAUAGAGAGUUGGUGGGAGGGACAAAAAAGGCGGGUGGCAUCCGGCCUAGAUGUUAGUAUCGCCGCUAAGCAAAACAAAAGAGAAUAAGCAAACAACUGUUUUUUUAAAAAAAAAAUUAAGGUUUUUAACUAUGUAUGAUUAACUUAUUUUUAAUCUAACAUAUAUGAACCAAUUUAUUAUUUUUCUAGUUUUAAUCCGUAAAACAAUUUCAAUUAAUGAAAAUGUAUUACAUAUCUAUCUUUUUCAUAUAUAAUCAAUAACAUGGUCAUUAACCUUCGAACAACUAUUGGUCAUUGUUUGGUGCUGACUAGCGUCAUCAAGUGUGAUCAACAUUGAUUGGUAAAUUAAAAAUUUACUUUAAAAUUGUAUAUAUUUUAAGUUUUUUUUUGUUUUUUUAAAUAUAUAUUUUUAUUACUUGAAUUUAUAUAAUUUAAAUAUUAAUGUGAAAACGAGUGUGCAUCAAAAGGUGAAAUUGUUACAUAAUCCAAUAAAUGGAUAUUUAUAGUUAAUUAAUUACUAUUGUAGUCAUAAUUUAUUUGCAUUGCUUAAUGCUUAUUCACAUCAGGUUUCUGAAUUAAAUCCAAACAACUUCUACCCUUUUAAACCUCUCAUAAAAAAUAAUAAUGCAAUAGUAAUAUCAUUUACUAAUUUUAUUUAAAGUUUGAUAUAAUUAUUUUAUGUACCAAAAAAGUAUCCUAACAUUAAUUAUGUUCUUAUCUAAAGUUUACCAAACAAAGUAACAAAAGUAAUAUAGAGUAAAUUAAAUGGUUUGGCUUUUUCAUGUUAUAACUAAUUCAUUAAUGUUAUAAUGUUUCAUUGAAUUGGGAUGAGUUUACUCAUCUUCACCAAAUAUGACACAAGUUUUUUUUAUUUCUCCAAUUUCUUUUGUUGACUUGGUGUGAAUUUAUGAGAAAUUAUCUCUUGAUAAAUGAUUUUUUUUAUUUUAAUAUAGGCUUCUCAAAAUUAUUUUUCUAAAUAUAUUUUUUUAAUUAUCUGAUCAUUUGGUGAUGAUAAAAAGAUAAUACUAUGACUUUGACACUCACAGUAGUCAAGAUCCUGAUGACCACUUUUCAACAUUCCCUCGAGCCCUUUGUUAGCCAUGAAAGUUGGCUCCCAUAGGUGUCACCUUUAGAUCAAAUUAAGAUAAUAGAGUAGUUUAUGAACAAAUCAAUUUGCAUGGAAAUAUUAUUUCGGUUGAUGAUGGAGUUGUAUUCAAUCAAACACAACCUUUGACAUGACUUUUAAGAGUGGCACUUUUUUAGACAUCAUAACAAAAAGGUGCUAAGGAAAAUCUAUGUUGGAAGUACUAAGUGCAUAGUUAGUAUAGAGUAUAGAUUUCUAAGGUCCAAUAGAACAAGGUGUAAAUACAUUACAAUGGAUCUCAACGAUAAUGAGGAUGUAGAGAUGAUGGUGUUUGGGCACUAGGAAAGUGGUGAUGUUAUUGUUAGUAAAGGUUUUCAACUCAAGGAAAUUCUUUAAGGUAUCGAAACUUAGUGGAAGCAAACACAAAAGCGAGGAAGCAGCGAACGAGCAGAAAAGUCACAAGAAAAUAAUGCACACAAGAAAAAUUUAUCAAAUAAAUUAAUUAAAAUUGGAGAGGAGAGAUAAGCAAUUGAGACUCCUUUUUUGACCAAAGUGACGGGAAAAUAAAAGAAAAAGAAAAUAAUUUUUUAUCAAAACAUGCUAUUUAUUUGUAGAGUUUAAGGGUAAAUUUGACCAAAAUGAUAAAAAAGAAUGGUAAAAUUAUUGUAAAAGUAAUGGAAAAAAAAAUAUAAUACAAUAGACUAAAUGUUAAUUUUCCUCGACGCAUAAUAAUAAAUAUAUAUAGUUGAAAUGUUAUUGAAGAAUAUAUCAAAGAGCUUGAGAAUUUGAUUAACUAGUUAUUAUUAUUAUUUAUUAUUUCCUUUUUGUUUAAGUAAAGUGAAUUCAAUUUAUUAAAAAUAAGGUUAAAAUUGUUAAAAUUGUUAGAUUACCAAGAGAAUAUAAAAUUAUCAAAAGAAAUUCUUUAAGGUAUCGAAACUUAGUGGAAGCAAACAAAAAAGUGAGGAAGCAAUGAACGAAUAAAAUAGACACAAGAAAACAAUGCACAUAAGAAAAAUUAAUCAAAAUUGGAAAGGAGAUAUAAGCAAUUUUUAAUCAAAGUGACGAGAAAAGAAAUGAAAUGAAAAGAAAAGAAAAAGAAUUUUUUUUAUCAAAACAUACUAUUUAUUUGUAGAGUUUAAGGGAAAAUUUGACCAAAAUGAUAAAAAGAAAGGUAAAGCACACAACAGUCACUUAACUUUGGUUUCAAUAACAAAACAGUUACUAAGCAUUCAACUCAGUCACUAAACUUCAGAAAAACAACAAACCAGUCACCCUAACCAUUUUCCGUUACAGACAUAACAGAGUUGUCAUUUUUCAUCCUUCUCCCCCCUCUCAUUUCCCUUUUGCUACCACUGUUCUCCCAUACCUUUCCCUCUUUCCCACCAUCCCUCCCCCUACUUCGAUUCUCUCCCUCUCCCCCACCAUCCCUCCCCCUACUUUGACCCUCUCCCUCUCCCCCACCAUCUAUUUCCUUUCUCUAACCCUCUCCCUCUACCCCACCGUCCCUUUCCCUCUACCAACCCUACUCCAAUUUCCAACAAGCUUCAACCAUCUUAAUUCAAUCCAUAAUCGACUGGCAUAUUCUUAAUUUUGUGGUUGUUUUGUCUUGCUAUUAUUGCUCUCAUCUUCAUUACACCGUUGCUCCAAAAUCCCUUGCUUCUAUCGACCAAAUUACUUUUAAUUAUUUGUUGCAAAUUGCCAAUUGAAAUGCUCCCAAAAUAGUUGUUGCCCACCAUUUAUACCAACUUCCAUUUGACCCAAUUUCAAUCACCAAAUAGCCUCUAAAGAGUCGAAUAAAAAGCCUUCAAUGUGCUUUAAAGAAGUACUUCGUUGACUUGCUUAUUUGCUCUCUAAUUCACUACCGAUCGAACAAGUAUUUGUUGCCUAUUGCACUGACCAUUGCUUCAAAAAGGCUACCAGUUAGCCAAAUGCUUGAACUUGUUGUUGGAUAUUUCUUUUUCCUGUAAGAAAAUUUUAGGAGAGGGUUAGCAGAGGGAAAGGGACAGUGGGGAGAGGGAAAAGGUUAGAGUAGGAGGAGGGGCGAUGAAGGAGAGGGAGAGAAUUAAAGUAGGGGGAGGGAUGGGAGAGUGGUGGUAAGGGGAGGGAGACAAGAGGGGGGAAAAAGGGACAGAAAAUGAUAGCUCCGUUACAUUUGUAACAAAAAAUGGUUAUGGUGACUGGUUUGUUAUUUUUCUAAAGUUCAGUGACUGAGUUAAAAGUUUAGUGACUAUUUUAUUAUUGGAUAAAAGUUGAGUGACUGUUAAUGUAGUUUAACAUAAAAAUAAUGGUAAAGUUGUUGUAAAAGUAAUGAACAAAAUAUAAUACAAUAGACUAAACGUUAAUUUUUCUCGACAGAUAAUAAAUUUAUAGUUGAAAUGUUAUUUGAAGAAUAUAUCAAAGAGCUUGAGAAUUUGAUUAACUAGUUAUUAUUUUUAUUAUUAUUUCCUUUUUGUUUAAGUAAAGUGAAUUAAAUUCAUUUAAAAUAAGGUUAAAAUUAUUAAAAAUGUCACAUUACUAAGAGAAAGUAAAUUUUUUUAAGGAAUUUGUGUUAUUAAGAUUACCGAGAUAUUUUGAAACAUUGGCAUUAUUAAGAAUUUGAGAUUACAAAUUCUCAAGAUACUUUUUAAAAUCUAAAUAUGAGAAUCAUAUAUUGAAACCUCUCAUUUCCUUUAAAGGGGUUAUAUUCCUUUAACUAGACACAUUCUAAGUACUAUAUUAUGGUACCGUAACACCCCUAACCCAUCUCUGUCGCUAGAUUAAGGUUAUGGAGCAUUACCGUUCAAAUCGAAACAAUUAACAUCACAUAGAAACAAUUUACCAAUUUAAAACAUUAACAUUCCAUUUUAACAUUUAUUCAAUGCAUAAAAAAACCUUCCCAUACCUUAAACCGAGCCUAUAGGGCCUUAAAAAUAGUUUGGGAACAAUCAGAGACUAUUUUGAAUCGAAAUAGGAGAACAUGAAAAAUUUUGAAAAUUUUGGAAACAGAGGUCACACAGCCGUGUGAUAAAGCCCAGGCCGUGUGACUCAAAACAUGACCAUGUGACCAACUGUGUAACAUUUGAACUAUAGGACACAUGACCGUGUCCCAGCCCGUGUGGGCAUUCAAAAUAGUAUCACACAAUUGUGUUGUAAGCCGUUUGCCAAAUCGUGUGUGCAUUAGAAGUAAGGUCACACGGUUGUGUUGCCAGGCCGUAUAACUCUUUGUGACCGUGUUGAGCAACCUACACCUAAAAAUCAAUAAGACACACGGCUGUGUGACAGCUCGUGUCCUAGGCCAUAUGCACCAAAUAUGCAUUCCAAAAUAAGCCCAAAACAAUAUCAUUUCAUAAGUAUCAAGACACAACCAAAAACAACCAUUUUCAUGCCUUUAAAACUCAUUCAAACAAACAUAUAACAUACCAAAAAUCCAACCUAAGUACCUAACCAAUCUGCCCUCGUUGACACCAUAAUUCAAAUUCCAAAUGAAACUCAUAUAUCACACCAAGCUACUUUGCAUAUAACCCAUAAUAUUCAACCAUAAACACAUACCAAACUUAUCAUUCAUGUCUACCACAAACAUAUUGUAACAUCAUGUUGACGUGGACGCGAUUUGCCGGAAAAUGGACCAUUCCGGUAAAUAAUUAAAUAAUGAGCCCAUUUCGGUAAUUUAAAAAAAGGGCUUUUUUGUGUAAAUUGCCCUUCUAAAUUGAUUUCCAGAAUAUAACAGUUUUUACCCACAAAAAUUUUUGGAAAAAAAUUCAUUUGAGUGGGUAAACGUUGUUCGAUUGGUUUGAAAUUUUAUAUGCAUGUUUGUGGCACUGUGAUAGAAUAUUAAAAAAAUAUUUCCCGCAAAAAAAUCAGUAGAAAAGGUAAAAAAAUAGAAAAAGAUGAAAUCAAAUAAAAAUUAAAAAAAUAUUCAGCGGGUUUAAAUUAGUGGUAAAACUUCCAGAUCAAAUAUACAAUAUUUAAGGACAUUCCCGUUUAAAUUUCGUGAUUUUUGGAGAUCGGGAACACCUUGAACGAAGUUGUCAAGUUACUCCGCAGUUUUUUCAGGUUUUCAGGUAUUUGCAAUUUUUAUUGAUUCUUACCUGUAGGAUUUCAUUUGUUUUGCUUUUAUUCUUCCUUUACACUAUCUAACACCUUCUUGUUUCUUGUGUUAUUAGGAUUUAAAAGUGUGCACAAUUCUUUCUCGGUGCAACACAAAUCAAUUGGUGUCUCGUCACUUUUUUGGAUUCCUAGUGCAAUUAGGAUAAUUUGGUAGUUACGGUUCUUACACUUUCUAAUUGAUUGAUAUAGACUCUACUAAAGAACUCACAAUACUGAAUUCUACCUUAUUGAGAAUUUGAUUUUUUUUUCUUUUUGAGUGAUUAACGGUGAGGUUUGAUAAUUUUUUUGGAGUGUUGAGUGUUUGUUUUGCAUGUAUUCUAAAAGGAAAAAAAAUAAGAUGCAUAGAAUGGGUCAAGUCGAUGAUGACCAUAAUGAUGUCCAUGAAAAAUUUAAAAAGCUCCAACAACAGUUAGACAAACGGGCUGCUGCAAUCACACAAACAAAUGCCAUACUUCAAACAUUGAGUGCUACUAUCAAUGAGAUGCGAUUGGACCUAGUAGAGAAAAGAGCCCAACGAGGACAACUUAAUUCAAGUGAAAGGGCAAAAAUGAGAGUGCUAAGAAGAUGAACAUCCAACGAAUAUUCGAGAAGAGAUUCAUAUCAUGAUUCUUAUUCAACGAGAAAUUCAAGACGAUGCAAAGCAAGUUUCGAGCAUGAAGUUUUCCAAGGUGACGAACUAGAAAUCACAAGUAAUCCUUCGUAUGCCCAAAGGAACUUGUCCACUGAGAAUCAAUUUCAAAAAGGUGAUCAUUGUUCAUAAGCAAGUCAUUCCGUACAUACCCAAUGAGAGUCUUUUCGUUCUGAUUCAUUUGUAACAUCUUAAUCUUGUAAUGAAAGGAAGACAGAAAAAGAAAUCAAAAAAGAAAAAGAGAAUGAAAAAGAGCAAAAAGAGAUUGAGAGUGAAAAGGAAAUAGACAAGAGAAUUGAAAAAGAAAUUGAAGAUAGAAGAAAAAAUGAGUUAGAAAAAGAAACAAAAGAAAAAGACGAGGAAAGGGUAGUGAGGAAUGUUUCCACUAACCAAGAUAUGAAUUUUUCUUGUGUUGCUACUUUUUAGGUUCUCGAAAGACCGAAAGAUAACUUUCAACUUCAAUACCUCUCAAAUGAAAGACGCUUUCAUACGAUCAACAUAGGCAAAGAUGAAAUCACACAACAUGAGCCCGAAGGUAAGUGAGGUAAGGAAAUUUUAGCAACCGAGUCCCAUGCAGAUUUGAAAAUUAUUGAUAAAAAUUUUGGUGACUUAGUUCUUAAAAGAUCCCCUCAUUUUGAUCCGAUUAAUUGUUAUUCUUUGAUUGUGGUUGAUAAAGUCAUUACGAAAGGAAGCGUGAGUUGUUAUUCUUUUGAUUUGCCAAGUGUAAAAUCCGCAAAUUUGUGCAAAUCUGUUUUGGUGAAUAAAAAAAAGUUUUGAAUAUAUGUUGGUAUGUAUGCGAAAAUCCUCAUGGUUUAACUUGAUUGGUUUAAUGAAAUCUUUGUUACACUUUGGCACGACUAAUCAAAAUCAAGUUUUUAAACCCGGAAUCUAUUUUGGUAUAUUUUGUUGGAAAAUCAAGCAUCAUCUAUUGUGUGCAAAUACUUUCUAUUGUUUUGAUACUUGGUUUUUGAAUAAGGUAACGAAAUUUGAAAAAAAAAAUUCAAUUUAUAUUCGUGCCUUAAACAGUUUCUAUGGUUAUACAUGAAGUUUGAGUUCCAUUUGACAAAGGUUAACUCAACAACGGAGCUUCGACUACUCUAAGCCCCCGAUGAGCGACGGUUUGUAUUAAAUGGAAAAGGUAAAAGCGACCCUUAUUCUUCUGCUUAUAAAGGUAGGAUGCUUGAAAAUUUUGAAACACCUUUGUACUCCUGGAUAGUGACAAAUAUCGUGUUGAUGAUUUAAUUUUUGUAAAACACUUAGGUCGAAACGUGCUUGACUGUCCUAUUUUAUUUAUUGAUGAUCUAUUUGUUUUGAUAGUUGAUAAAAAGAUUAUUUUUUUUGAUAAUUUUUAUGAUGCAUGUGUGAGUGAAUCUAUAGUCCGUCGAUUAAUGCAUGGUAUGAUUGUGCAACUCUGUGAACCGUGUGAACCUUUUCAAAUACCUACUUGUGACGAUUAUGUUUACCAUUUGAUUUAUUACUCGCGAUUUAUUCAUGGUUUGUGGAAACAAUUUGAGAUGAUUGAAUGCCUUAAAACAUUUCCAUCUUUGUUUCGAGUAUUUGAUGAGGCAUUGAUGAGUAAAUUAGCUUGUUUGCAUAGUAAUCUGAAUCUGUCCAUUCGCAUGCGUUAUACUUGUUUUGUUAUGCUUAUGAUUGGACUACAAGUUUGUUUGCAUUGCUAUUUACUAACUCAUGGCUAUUCUUUUCAGUGGACUAAAUUACCAUUAGUCCCAUUCGAUCGAGGAAAGUUGAGUAAGAGGAACUAUGUUCGAGUUAACCAACGCAUCGAUUGGAGGACAAGUCACUUCGAAGAAGAGGGAUGAUACGACCCUACCCCAAAAACGUCAUUGGUUCAGUUCAUCAAGCGCCAUUCGAAAACUUUCGCAAGUUGAUCUAGCUUGUUCCAGCUCCAUGGAGUUCAAUUCGAGCUGAUUCUAGCUCGUUGAGCUUAAUUCACUUUUAUUUAAUUUCAUGCAUUUUUAAUUUGCUAGAAUAAAUUAAAUGAGUUAGUUUAUUAAAUUUAGUUUAGCUCAAAUAAGUGUUAGAAUUAAUUUUAGUUCACCUUAAAUAAGUGUUAGUAAUUAAUUUGUUUAAAUCUGGACAAAUUUGAUUAUUUGUGUUUAAUCUAAACUUAUCUCCAUUUGAUUUUUUCAGAUUCGAGGACAAAUCUUUUUGAGGAAUGGGGGAAUGGUACGAGUUACAAAGGCCCAACUCAAUUUCAAGAACGUGAUGGGCUCAAACUACCACAAGGCCCAAUAACGAGGUCAAAGGCCAAGCAGAUGCGUACGAAACUAAAUGGAACCAUUCAAGACUUCAUUAGCAAGGCCUUAGAUGUGUAUACGAAGGAAAAAGAAAAUCAAGAUUCACUUUCUUGUUUUCAAGAAAAUCAAGAAACCGAAUCUUGGUCCAAUUUUGCUGUUUUGAGCGAUUUUAAGAAUCAAUAAAAUCAAGAUUUCUAAUCUUGGAAAUCUUGGUCCAAGAAACCGAAUCUUAUAGCCAAGGCGCAUUGGAUCUCAGUUACGAGCAUCAACGAACCAAUUUCAGUAAAGAAUGGAUUACAAGCCCAUGUUCUUGAAAACACGGUCCAAUAAGAUGUUCCAAGCCCAAUCCAAAAAUUUAAAUUAGACUUAGUUGAAAAUCAGACCAAAUUGUCAAAGUGGCCCAAUUUGUAAAAUUUUAAUUCUUUAAAUACUUAGUUUUAAUUUUUAGACUUUAUAAAUAAAUUUCUAUGUAAAAAUAUAGCCCAAAGAGGCCCAUUAAAGGCCUUGGAUGAAAUUCCCUUGAAAAUCAAUAAUUAGGUUUUUUUUAAUUUUCCUAGUAGGGUUAGGAAAAUAGUUAGAAGGCCUGUAUAUAUGGCAUGGCUAGCCACCCUUAGAGAACACAUUAAUUAUAUUUUGAAAUCAGAUUUUUUUGAGUGAAAAUUCUUUUUGGGUUUUCUCCAAGAAUUUUCUCUUGAGUUUUCUUUGGAAGUAGUUUUAAUAAUCUUUUUGAUUGUGGGAGCCAUCUUCAGGCUUCUUCUUACCAUUGUUCUUCAUUGGAGGGGAGAUUAGAGCCGUUUGAAGGGAGUUAUGAAAUCUUUCUCGAUUUCAAGGCUUCUUAGGACGUUAUCUUUAUUUUUCUUGAUGUUCAAUCUUUUAAUUUUCUGCUUGUGUCGAUUUCAUUAUCUAACUUGUUUAAACUCUCUUGUUGCGUCUCUAGCCCCGUUCAACCUUCAAGAAUCUAUUCGGCAUCAACCUUGGACAAGAAGAAACGAUUUGAUUUCACAAAACCCCUCUUUAUUGCUGUCCAAACCCUCGAUCUAGUUGAUUUCGUGAUCUGCUGAGUUUUUUUUUGAAAUUAACUUGCUGUUUUGUGUUCUUCUUUUCAAAUUCGGCUGUUUAGAACCUAUCUUGAAUUCAAUUCCGUGUUCUUGGCUUCCAAGAUUAGUUAUAAGUGUUUUUAAUUCUUGGCUGAUCUUUUAUUGAUUUGGGUAUUUUCGUUUCAUAUGUAAUUGAUUCUAAGCCAAAUUUUCUGUUUCGUUUCAGAUCUAAGCGUCUAAAGCUUUCGUAAGAUUUUCCUGUGACUUGACAACUCGAUCUUGGUCCACACGUAACCCUCUAAUAGAAAGGCAUAACUAACCAUUCAUACAAUCCAAAUUUUGUUUUAAAGGCUGUUUUCCAUUCAUCCCCUUCCCUCAUUCGAAUUUGAUGAUAACCGCUUUUUAAAUCAAUUUUCGUAAAUAUAAUUGAACCAUGUAAUUCAUCAAGCAUAUCAUCAAGGCGAGGAAUUGGAUGUCUAUACUUUACCGUUAUUUUGUUGAUUGGAUGGCAAUCAACACACAUUCUAUACGUACCAUCUUUCUUUGGUACCAAUAAGACAGGAACGACACAAGGGCCUAGGCUCUCAUGAAUGUACCCUUUGUCUAGUAACUCUUCAACUUGCCUUUGCAAUUCCUUUGUCUCCUCGGGAUUACUUCUAUAGGCUGGUCGAUUUGGGAUUGAAGCUCCGGGUACUAAGUCAAUUUGAUGUUCUAUCCCACGUAAAGGUGGUAAAUCUUUAGGGGUCUCACUAAAAACAUCCUGCAAAAGACACUGAAACACACUAGGCAAAUUUUCGUUAAUGUUAGAUAUAGAUAAAUAAUUUUGCCUAAACCUCACAAGGAUAUAAGGCUAUUUAUUAAGUAGGGCUCUCCGCACAUCUUUUUUUGUUGCCAUCAAAAUUUUCACUCUAGUUUUACCACUUGCGAAUUCACUCACCUUUGGGCCAUUUAAAUUUUGACUUUUUUCACUACUAGCCUCUUUUCUCUCUGUCUUUUGUAUUUGUCCUUUCUCCCUCACCCCCUUACAAAAUUUCAUCAUCUUUAAUCGAUCUUUAUAUACAUCAUUGGGAUUUAAAGGAGAAAAAGUGAAUUUUCGGCCUUUAAACACAAGGGAGUAUCUAUUGAGCUUACCUUGGUGUGUAACAUCACGAUCAAAUUGCCAAGGUCGUCCAAUGAGCAAGUGUGCCGCAUGCAUUGGGACCACAUCACACCAUACCUCAUCUUCAUAAUUCCCGAGCUUAAAAGUGACCAAGGACUUUUUUGUAACUUUAACUUCCGAGCAUUCAUUAAGCCACUGAAGGUGAUAUGGCUUAGGGUGCUUGAUACAAGGUAACUUUAAGGAAUCUACCAAAUACUGCUAAUUACAUUCGAACAACUCCCACUAUCAAUAAUAAGUGAACAUAAGUUACCUUUUAUAAAACACCGAGAAUGGAAAAUAUUGGUCCUUUGGUUAUCAACAUCAUCUCUCAUUUGGAUGUUAAGGGUGCGGCGGACUACAAGGCAUCAAAAGUUGGCAAAGCCCCCUUCUUUUGGUGGUUCAACCAACUCUUCUCCAUUAUCACUAUCAUCCACAAGUUCGGGCAUUUUUGGAUCUGUUUUAUGGGAGUCGGAAGUAUACUCACCAUUAUCUUUCAUAAGAAGUAAUCUCAUGUUAGGGCAUUCCUACUAUAAUGACCACGCCCUUUGCACUUGAAACAUUCAAUCACAUGAGACCUCUUCAUAUUCGGAUCGCUUAAAUUGGGUUGCUUAGAAGGUGUUUGCAUUUUAAUGGGAGCCCCUUUCUUACAAUCUGAUUGCUUACUUCCAUUACUAAAAGAAGACUUAUUAGUAAAAAAAGGUGAUUUCGAACUUUUAAAAUCAGAAUUGGAAGUGUUACCUCUAUAAUAUUGUGAAGUAGAGAAGGAACUAACCCUUUGUUCCUUUAAUUGCUGCUCAAUCUUAAUGGCUUUAUGAACUGCUUCUUCCAAAUCAAUGUAUGUCUGUAGCCUUAAUGUAUUAGCUAUUGGCCUAUUCAAACCAUCAAUAAACCGAACCAUAGUUGUUUCCUCAUCCUCCUCCACAUUAGCUCUCUAAAUGAGCAUUUCCAUCUCCUUAAAGUAUUCAUCUACCGUCUUACUACCUUGAACAAGUCGUCAAAGCUUCGUUUUCACCUCUCUAUAGUAAUGAGGCGGAACAGAUCUCUUACGCAAGACCUGUUUUAACUCAUCCCAUGUCCUAAUGUCACCUUCAUAAUUCCUAUGACGAUUUACCCCAAGUUGAGUCCACCAACUUAAUGCAUAAUUUGAAAAUUCCAGUGUUGCUAAAGACACCUUUUCAUCAUCCGGACAUUUAUAAUAGCGAAACAUGAGUUCAAUUUUAGCUUCCCAUUCACAAUAAGCUUUUGAAUCAUUCUUACCUCGAAAUUGAGGAAUUGUGAAUUUCGGUUUUGCCAAGGAGGGUUGCCCACGAUCAUGAAGAUUAUAGUCAGUUCUAGGGACACGACUAGGAGCGCACCUAUGAGCAGGAGGCUGAUUAUCCACAUCUUCUUUAAUUGGGCCCCGAUACUGAAGUUCUUGAUUCAAUCGCAUCUCAUUGAUAGUAGCAGUCAAUGUUUGAAGUGUAGCAUUUAUUUAUGUGAUUGCAGCAGCUUGUCUGUCUAACUGUUGUUCGACGUUUGUAAAUUUGUCAUGGACAUCAAUAUGGUCAUCAUCGACUUGAUCCAUUCUAUGCAUCUUAUUUUUUUCCUUUUGGAAUACCUGCAAAACAAACACUCAACAAUCCAAAUUUUUUUUUAUCAAACCUCACCGUUAAUCACUCAAAAAUAAAAAAAUAAAAUUCUCAAAGAGGUAGAAUUCAGUCUUGUGAGUUCUUUAGUAGAGUCUAUAUCAAUCAAUUAGAAAGUGUAUGAACCGUAACUAUCAAAGAAUCCUAAUUUGCACUAGGAGUGACGAUACACUAAUUGAUUUGUGUCGCAUCGAGGAAGAAUUGUGCACACUUUUAAAUCCUACUAACACAAGAAACAAGAAGGUGUUAGAUAGUGUAAAGGAAGAAUAAAAGAAAACAAAUGAAAUCCUACAGCUAAGAAUCAAUAAAAAUUACUGAUACCCGAAAACCUGAAAAACUGCGGAUUAACUAGACAACUUCGUUCGAGGUGUUCCCGAUCUCCAAAAAUCACAAAAUUUAAAUUGGAAUGUCCUUAAAUAUUGUAUAUUUGAUCUGGAAAGGUUCGACACUAAAAUCAACCCGCUGAAUAUUUUUUUAAUUUUUAUUUAAUUUCGUAUUUUUCUAUUUUUUUGACUUUUUCGACUGAUUUUUUUAUGGGAAAUAUUUUUUUAAUAUUCUAUCACAGUGUCACAAACAUGCAUAUAAAAUUUCAGACCAAUCGAACAACGUUUACCCACUCAAAUGAAUUUUUUUCCAAAAAUUUUCUAGGUAAAAAACUACUAUAUUCUGGAAAUCAGUAUAUAAAUCAACCAAGAACACCCAAAACGCCCAAAAUCUGAUACCAAAUGAUAGAGAGUUGCGCACGGACCAAGAUCGAGUUUUCAAGUCACGGGAAAAUCCUAUGAAAGCUUUAGACACUUUGAUCUGAAACGAAACAGAAAAAAAUAAAUCUUAAAAUUCCAGAUCUAAAACAAAAACCCCAAAACAAUAAAGAAAUAGCCAAGAAACCAAAAAAAACUUGUGAAUAGCUAUUCUUGGAAGCCAAGAACAUGAAAUUGAAUUCAAGAGAGACUCCCAACAGCCGAAUCUAAAAAGAAUAACACAAAACAGAAUCAAAUCAAACUCAGCAGAUCAUAGAAUCAAAUUGAAUUAGAUCUAGGGUUUGGGCGGCAAGAAAAGAGGAAUUUGUGAAUCAAAAACAUUUCUUGUUGACCAAGGAUGGUGCCGAACAAAUUCUUGAAGGUUGAGAGUGCUGGAAACACAACAAGAAAGUUUAAACAAGAUAGUUAAUGAAAUCGACACAAGCAGAAAAUUAGGAAGAAUGAAUGAUAGAGGGUUGCGUGUGGACCAAGAUUGAGUUGUCAAGUAACGAAAAAAUCCUACGAAAGCUUUAGACGCUUAGAUCUGAAACGAAUGAGAACAAGUAAAUCUUAAAAUUCCAGAUCUGAAACAAAAACCCCAAAACAAUAAAGGAUCAGCCAAGAAACCAAAAACACUUGUGAAUAUCUAUUCUUGGAAGCCAAGAACACGGAAUUGAAUUCAAGAUAGGUUCCAAACAGCCGAGUCUGAAAAGAAGAACACAAAACAACAAGUUAAUUUCGAAAAAAAACUCAGUAGACCACGAAAUCAACAAGAUCUAGGGUUUGGACGGCAAUAAAGAGGGGUUUUGUGAAAUCAAAACGUUUCUUGUUGUCCAAGGUUGAUGCCGAACAGAUUCUUGAAGGUUGAACGGGGCUGGAAACGCAACAAGAGAGUUUAAACAAGUUAGAUAAUGAAAUCGACACAAGCAGAAAAUUAAAAGAUUGAACAGCAAGAAAAAUAAAGAUAACAUCCUAAGAAGCCUUGAAAUCGAGAAAGAUUUUACAACUCCCUUCAAACGGCUCUAAUCUCCCCUCCAAUAAAGAACAAUGGCCAGAAGAAGGCUGAAGAAGGCUCCCACUAUAAAAAAAUAUUGUUAAAACUCCUUCCAAAGAAAACUCAAGAGAAAAAUCUUGGAGAAAACCCAAAGAGAAUUUUCACUCAACAAAAAUCUGAUUUCAAAAUAUAAUCAAUGUGUUCUAUGGGUGGCUGGCCAAGCCAUAUAUAUAGGCCUUCUAACUGUUUUCCUAACCCUAAUAGGAAAACUAAAAAAAAAAAACCUAAUUAUUUAUUUUCAAGAGAAUUUCGUCCAAGUCUAAAAAUUAAAACUAAGUAUUUAAAGAAUUAAAAUUUUACAAAUUGGGCCACUUUGACAAUUUGGCCUAAUUUUUAACUAAAUCUGAUUCAAAUUUCAGGAUUGGGCUUGGAACAUCUUAUUGGGCCUUGUCGUUAAGAACUUGGGCUUGUAAUCUGUUCUCUCCCGAAAUUGGCUUGUUAAUGCUCGUAACUGAGAUCCAAUGCGCCUUAGUUGCAAGAUUCGGUUUCUUGGACAAAGAUUUCCAAGAUUUGAAAUCUUGAUUUUCUUGAUUCUUGAAAUUGCUCAAAACAACAAAAUUGGACCAAGAAUCGGUUUCUUGAUUUUCUUGCAAACAAGAAAGUGAAUCUUGAUUUUCUUUUUUCUUCGUAUACGCAUCUAAAGCCUUUGUGACUCGUAUCAUUCCCCCUUCUUCAAAAAGAUUCGUCCUCGAAUCUGAAAAAUCAAAUGGAGAUAAGUCAGCCACAUUGAAAGUAGAACUUGUAGUCUAAUCAUAAGCAUAACAAAACAAGUAUAACGCAUGCGAAUGGACAAAUUCAGAUUACCAUGCAAACAAGCUAAUUUACUCACCAAUGCCUUGUCAAAUAUUCGAAACAAAGAUGGACAUGUUUUAAGGCGUUCAAUCAUCUCAAAUUGUUUCCACAAACCAUGAAUAAGUCGCGAGUAAUAAAUCAAAUAGUAAAAAUAAUCAUCACAAGCGGGAUUUGAAAAGGUUCACAAGGUUCACAGAGUUGCGCAAUCAUACCAUGCAUUAAUCAACGGUCUAUAGAAUCACUCACACAUGCAUUAUCAAAAACAAGAAUCUUUUUAUCAACCAUCAAAACAGAUAGAUCAUCAAUAAAUAAAAUAGAACAGUCAAGCACGUUUCGAUCUAAGUGUUUUACAAAAAUUAAAUCAUCAACACGAUCUCUGUCACUAUCUUAGGAGUACAAAAGUGUUUCAAAAGUUUCAAGCAUCUUACCUUUAUAAGUAGAAGAAUAAGGGUUAAUCUUACCUUUUCCAUUUAAUACAAACCUUCGCUCAUCGGGGGCAUAGUGUAGUCGAAGCUCCGUUGUUGAGUUAACCUUUGUCAAAUGGAACUCAAACUUCAUGUAUAACCACAGAAACUGUUUAAGGCACGAAUAUAAAUUGAAAACAAAUUUGGCAAAUUUCGUUACCUUAUUCAAAAACCAAGUAUCAAAACAAUAGAAAGUAUUUGCCUGAUUUUCCAACAAAAUAUACCAAAAUAGAUUCUGGGUUUAAAAACUUGAUUUUGAUUAGCCGUGCCAAAGUGUAACAAAUAUUUCAUUAAACCAAUCAAGUUAAACCAUGAGGAUUUUCGCAUACAUACCAACAUAUAUUCAAAAAUUUUUUUAUUCACCAAAAUAGAUUUGCACAAAUUCGCAGAUUUUACACUUGGCAAAUCAAGAGAAUAACAACUCACGCUUCCUUUCGUAAUGACUUUAUCAAGCACAAUCAAAGAAUAACAAUUAAUCGGAUCAAAAUGAGGGGAUCUUUUAAGAACUAAGUCACCAAAAGUUUUAUCAAUAAUUUUCAAAUCUGAUGCAAGAAAAAGUAAAGAAAAAGUCCUAAGAAGCCUUGAAAUUGAGAAAGAUUUCACAACUCCCUUCAAACGGCUCUAAUCUCCCCUCCAAUGAAGAACAAUGGCAAGAAGAAGGCUGAAGAUGGCUCCCACAAUCAAAAAGAUUGUUAAAACUACUUCCAAAGAAAACUCAAGAGAAAAUUCUUGGAGAAAACCCAAAGAGAAUUUUCACUCAACAAAAAUCUGAUUUCAAAGUAUAAUCCAUGUGUUCUCUAAUGUGGGUGGCCGACCAUGCCUUAUUAUAGGCCUUUAACUAUUUCCUAGCCCUAUUAGGAAAACUAGAAAAAUAACCUAAUUAUUAAUUUCAAGGAAAAAUUCGGCCAAGGCUUUUAAUGGGCUACUUGGGCUGAAUUUUUUUACAUUGAAAUUUAAUCAUAAAUUCUAAAAUUUAAACUAAAAAAAUAAAAAAAUAAAAUUUUACAAAUUGGGCCACUUUGACAAUUUGGCCUGAUUUUCAACUAAGUCUAGUUUGAAUUUCUUGAUUGGGCUUGGAACAUCUUAUUGAGCUUGUAAUCCGUUCUCUCCCGAAAUUUGCUAAGAUUCGGUUUCUUGGACCAAGAUUUCCAAGAUUUAAAAUCUUGAUUUUCUUGAUUCUUGAACUCUUUCAAAUUAGCAAAAUUGGACCAAGAUUCGAUUUCUUGAUUUUCUUGAAAACAAGAAAGUGAAUCUUGAUUUUCUUUUUCCUUCGUAUACGCAUCUAAGGCCUUGCUAAUGAAGUCUUGAAUGAUUCCAUUUAGUUUCGUACACAUUUGCCUAGCCCUUGACUUCGUUAUUGGGCCUUGUGAAAAUUUGAGCCCAUCACGUUCUUGAGCUUGGGAUGGGCCUCAGUGACUUGUAUCAUUUGGUUUGCUGAAUUUUUGAAUUAACUUACUGUUUUGUGUUCAAUUGUCAAACUCGGCUAAUUGGAUUCUUUCUUGAAGUUCAAUUUCGUGUUCUUGGCUUCCAAGAAUCCCCUCUUAAUAAGUGUUUUGAGUUUUGGCUGAUUCUUUAUUGUUUUGCGAUUUUUGUUUCAGAUCUGGAAUUUUAAGAUUUAAUUUUUUUUGUUUCGUUUCAGAUCAAAGCGUCUAAAGCUUUCGUAGGAUUUUCCCGUGACUUGACAACUCGAUCUUGGUCUGCGCGCAACCCUCUAUCACAUUAUUCAACCAUUGCAACUUGUAGGGAUUGGGAUGCUUUGUCGUCUUCAGUCCUAACUUUUCAACCAUCACGGAACUAGCAACAUUAUGCAACUACCACCAUUGAUAAUUACAACACAUACCUUUUAAUUGACGAGACAUCUUGUAUGAAAGAUGUUCUCUCGCUACUGUUCUUCUUGAGUCGGUUGAGUGUUCAAACUUCUCUUGAUAACAAGUGCUUCACUGAUUGCAAAUGUCUGUUCAUUGCCAUCAUCUUCAUCGGCAUUUACUGUAGGGAGUUCUGGCUCUUCUUCUUCUGUCUCAGACUCAAUCUCGCCACUCUCUAAUAGUAUCAUGGUCCUCCGAUUUGGACAUUGACUGACAAUAAUUCCUCUACCACAACACUUAAAGCACAAAAUGUCUCUCGAAUGUUCUGGUUGCAUUUGUUGUUUCCCAUGCCCAACAUCAACAACUGGAGCCUUGGGUUUGCUCGUUUCACCCUUUUCUUUGAUUUGGAAUGGUGUUUGUUUCCUGAAAUUUUUAGGAGUACCCAAAGGAUUGGAAAAUGAUUUAAAUGGAGUAUUACCUCUAUUAGAAGACUUUCUACGUUGCUGUCUUUCAAUUUUAAUUGCCAUAUGCACCAUGUCCUCCAACUCAACAUAAUGCUGCAACUCAACAACGUUAGAAAUUUCAGAGUUUAAACCUGUAAGGAAUCAUGCCAUAGUAGCCUCUCGAUCCUCAACAAUGUUGGCUCGCAUCAUGGACACCUCUAUCUCCUUGUAGUAGUCUUCUACACUCCUAUUUCCCUGUUUUAUCGAUUGCAAUUUCUGGAAUAGAUCACGAUGAUAGUGAGAAGGAACAAAUCUAUUGCGCAUGAUUUGCUUCAUUUCUGCCCAAGUUCUCACGGGACCUUCACCUGAUACGCCCCGACCCCGUUGAUUAAUCUGAGUCGUAUAGUUGCCCGAUCAUUGAUUAAUCUGUUCGAUACCCUCAUUGAGCCAUUGUACCUUGUAGGGACUCGGGUGUUUAGUAGUUGACAAGGAAAGUUUCUCCACCAAGAGCGUGCUUGCUACAUUUGUACAGCUACCUCCAUCGAUCACCAAACUACAGACCUUGCCUUGAACAUGGCAACGAGUAUGAAACAAGUUUUCACGUUGCGGUUCACUCCCGGUGCUUUGUGGACUUAGGCUCCUUUUAACAACGAGCAUCUCUCCCUCCACCGCGUAUUGUAUCUCUCCUUCUUCAUCGGUAGGGAUAUCAACUUUGUUUUCUCUUCGACCUUCCUUGCCCUCAGAUUCAAUGUCAACGUUGGAAAGCAUGAUCAUCGUGUUACGAUUCAGACAUUGGCUCGCUAUAUGCCCUCUCCCUUAGCACUUAAAACACUUAAUAUCGCGGGAUCAAGUUUGAUUACUUUCAAUAGCCUUCCGUUUGCUUGAUUCGGCCAAAGACUUGGUAGACUUCACAGGCACCGUGGGUUCUUUCACUUGAUUUUCAGAGGUAUCCUUGUUUGAGCCUUGAUUCCACUUUGGUGCAGUCGAAGUUGAAUAGCCCCGAACAACACCUUUUCUUUUGAGUUGCUUCUCGACUUUGAUCGCCAUAUGCACCAUGUCGACGAUCUCUACAUAGUGUUACAACUCAAUGAUGUUGGCUAUUUCUCGAUUAAGUUCGGCCAAAAAUCAUGCCAUAGUCGCCUCUCGAUCUUCCUCCACACCCGUACCUAUCAUAGCAAUAUUCAUUUCUUUAAAAUAAUCCUCCACACUCCUCGUUCCUUAUGUAAGAUUUUAGAGUUUUUGGUACAACUCCCGAUAGUAGUACGAAGGGAUGAAACGUCGUCGCAUUACAGCCUUCAUCUUGGCCCAUGUUUGGAUAGGCUCGAUAGUGUAGUCGGAGAACUCGAUAGCGGCCAACUUAACUUUCUUGGCCUCAAAAUAGUUAUGACAUUCAAAUAUAAGCUCGAUCUUUUUCUCCCACUCAAGGUAAGCUUCAGGGUCCUGUCGGCCUUGGAAUGAAGGGAUUGACAACUUAAUGCUUUUAAGAUCAUCAUCGAACCUCUUUCGGUCUCGUUGGCCUCGGUUGCGUGGACCUCUCCUUCAGACACUCGCAAUUGACCCUUGAUCACUUUCAGCUUCACUUGGGUCAUAAAGAUUAUCUUGGUUGAUUUUCGGUUGGCCAAGUUCUCUUCGUGGUCCUUGGGGAGUUCGUUCUUGUCGAGUCCUCUCCUCGACUCGUUCCAAACGCUCGUUGCAUGAUUCCAUCUCGUUUCGGACCAUGCGUUGGAAUUCUCGUAACAUGGCUUGUUGAGCCAAAUCCGGUACUCCACCUCCUCCAUGUGCAACAUUUUGAACGGUUCACUCGAAAAGAAAAAUAAUUGUCACUCCCACUCGUGUUUAACACUUAAUUUUGGCUUUUACCUCCCCUCUAUUGUGCUCACAUACUCAAGCAUUUUUCCACUCGUAUCUUCUCUUGUGAUUUCGUAUAAAACUCUGUAAGACUAGAUCUUCUAGUUUAGGGGGUCGAUUUCAAGAGAUUUGCAAGGGUAAAUAUAUAAAGGAUGUAGGUGGGCUAAAAGAACGAUUUUUGGUUAACAGAUGUGGCGUUAGGAUGAAAAGUGCUAGAAAUAAGAAAUCGUUGAUCGGGAAUGACCAAAAGAUGAGUUUACCACUUUCAACAAACCUUUGUUUUUUCGAAUUUCUCUUUUUUUUUAUAAUAAACUUUAAUACAAUAUGAUGAUUUACAAGUAAAAUAAAUACAACUUUUUUUUGUAUGAUUUUUUUAACAAUUUUUUGACAAAUCUACUUACUCCGGCUCUUCUCGAAUGUCCGUUCCUCUUUUUCUAAAUAGCUCUGAUACCAAAUAAUCGCCCUGACCUCGUUGAUUAAUCUGAGUCGUAUAGUUGCCCGAUCAUUAAAACAAAGAAGAAUCGUUUGAGUUGGAUUGAUGUCAGAUAUUAGGGUAAAUGUGGUUUAAGGGUAUCAAGGAUAGGCUUAAGAAGAACAUGGCUAAUCGAAUGGUUGAGGCUUGGUUGUGGAUGGAAAAAGAAAACUCGAUAUUUGGAAUUAAAACGAAAACUUAGAACAAGAAUGAACCAACACUUCGAUUGAAGGUUGACCCGAAACUUAUAGGUUCUAAAUUUGUUUAUGAGAAAGGAUAGGGAAACCUCGACCUACUAUCUAAAAGAGAUAGGAACCUUGGUAUAAUUUAGGUUGAACGCCACACGAUUUCGUGAUAAGUUCUAUUGAACAAAAACGGGUUGACGCCACUAACUAGUUAGAUAAGUCAACGAAGUUUUUGGACGAAAUGAAAGAGAAGAAUUCUCUCAACAAAUUGACAGCAAUUCAUUAAGGUUCAAAAGUCCUUUUACAAAGUAAUUUCAACACUAUUUAUAGGCAAAGACUAAGCUAGCCGAAUAGCCACAUGCAUCUUUAAAAACUAAGCAAAUGAAUCUAUUUAAUUAGGCUAACAAGAUUCAGCUGAAUAUGAGCUUGAAUGGGCAACUUCUAGAAUGAAAAAUGAACUUGGAAGCUUGGAGAGGUGCAUGGCAGUAGUUUGGUUCGUUUAAUAGACUUAAAUAAGCUCAUUUAUAUUGCAACUAUUGCUGGAAAGUGACCAGCAAUUAAGGAGUUACUGAUCAACCUUUUUGAGGUGUGAAAGCUCUGAACCAAAUAGUCAUUAUGUGUGAACAUUUGCCCAGCAAUGUGAAAAGAAUUAAAUUCGGAUGAAUGUGCAGCUUGGGAGUAGGAAACAACAGUUCCUUUGGCCGAAUGGUCACCUAGGAGACUUCAAACAGUAGCCAAAUUUAAUUUCCCAAACAUGCAUGUACCGUCCCCUGCAUGUACCUUCUUUUAAUUCCUUCAUGCAACAAAGACGUCCAAGUGUGUUGUACCUGCAGCAAAUUCAUUCAAUAAAUCAAAUGCAUUUUAGGCACAUUAAUUUGGCAGCAAUUGACACCAAAAUUCUGCAUAUUAAAUUCUGCAGCCCUUGGAACAUAAUUAAAACAUGUUUGAAUUUGGACAACAUAAAUUUGGCUGGACUUAGACAUCAUUAAAGCUUGGAAUAAAAUUAGACACAUGAAUAACAUGUAAUAAAUUAAAACACAUUUAUCACAAAAUUUAGUAUGUCCAGAUUUUAUUAAAUUACUUAGCUAAUUAACUAUUAAACUAAUUCAGCAACUAAAUUUAUUUAUUCUAGCAAAUUUAAUGAAAAUUAAAGGUGAGCUCCUCGAGCUAAAUUUGAGCUAAUUGAAGCUCAUAGAGUUGGGAUUGAGCUACAUUCAGCUUGCAAAAACGACGAGCCUCGCUUAUAGGCUGAACCAAUGGCUGUUCUCGGGGUGGGAUCGUAUCAUCACUGGUACGUCUUCGACUUAUCAAUAAUUGAUCCCACCAGAUCAAGGCAUAGUCUGUGAAUUCCAUCACAGCCAAACGAACCUUCUUCUGUUAUGAGUAAUUAUAACACUCGAAAACAUGUUCUACCCAGCUUUCCCAACAAGAUAUGCAUCAAGAUCUGUUCAUCCCUGAAAAGAAGGUAUAACAACUUUUAUGUUAGAAAUAUUAUCAUCAACUGCGCGUCCUAGUCGUUGAUUCACCCUUGGUGAAAGUUCGAUCUUGUGAUGUGAUCCAGCCCGAUUGAUUGAGUCGGGUUCACUUAAGAUGCCCGAUCAUCGACGAGAAGCUCGUUCAAAUUUGUAGAUAGAUGGAGUUUGAAUGUUUUAUAAGCGGAAGGUAGGCAAAAUGGGUUCAAAGGAUGGGUUUUGGUUUGAUGAAAGAUAGGUUCGGUUUAACAAAGAAUUAAGUUACAAAGAUGAUAAAUAAAUGGAAAUGGAUAAAGAACUCAAACUUUAAGAAUGAUUCAAUACUAAAAAGUAUUGCCCCGAGUCUUAUAUUGCUUAAGGUGAAUUUUGAUGAAGGAUAGAAGCGGACCUUGACCCGUUACCUAUAUGGAGGUAAGAACCAAAGGUAUAGGAAGAUGGUUGAACGCCACACCGAUUCGGUGAUAAGUUCAAUGGAGUUCGGAUUGACACCACUAGCAAGCUAGAUAAGUCUCUUCAAGACUCGAACGAAAGAAGAGAGGAGGUAACCUCACAAGAACAAAAGUUCUAUUAAGUUUAAUUGAUCAAAUUCUGUAACCUUUUACAAUAAACAAGUAAGUUAUUUAUAAGCCUAAAAUGCCUAUUGAUAUUCGGCAUCUAUGUUGUUCACACAGGUAUUUAACAUGUUCACACAAAUAGCAUUAAAAUUCAGUUCAUGCUUGAAGAUGGUACAUGAAUUGGCCGAACCAUCAUGAUGCUUCACUUGAUGCAUCCAUGCAUCCUUAGCCUUGAAGAAUCUUCAUAAUUCCAUGAAUGUGCAGCUCUUUAAUGAUCCUACAUCUCCCUUGGCUGCAUGAGGCAUUAAUGUGCCUAAAAUACUUGAAUGGUCAUCUUGAAAAUGCAUGAAUCAUGCAUGAAACGUCCCAUGUAUUUUCCCCCAUAAAUAUGAUCCAUGAAUCUUCAAAUACAUGAACUUUCAGCAACUCCCUCUUGCAUGAACGUCCCAAAUGCAUGUGCUCCUUUAAAUGCCAUCCAUUGAACCUCAAUUGUGCAUGCACACUCCCAUACAUUGCACCAAUCCGUUCAUGAACCUGCAGCAAAUUAAAUCAGCAAGUUAAAUGCAUUUCAAACACAUUAAAUUAGCAGCAUAUGAACUCAAUAAUUUGCACAUUAAAUUUGGCCAUACAUAUUAACAAUUUCAGACAUAUUUAAAACAUCAUAAUUAAUUAAGUAUUUAAGUUAGAUAUAAUUAAAACACUUAAUUAAUUAUUUGUCCAGAUUUAAAAAAUUAAUUAACUUAAAAUAAACAACUAAUUCAACUAAAGACAAAUUAAAUGGUUUAUUUCAGGAACUUUCCAAAAUUUGAUUCACAAUUCGAACAAAUAAACCGAUACCAGGGUCAAAAAUAGAAAUUGUUCUUACCUUUUUUCUCGAUAGAAACAAACCUAAAUCACAAAACAGUCCAAAGGCAUAAUCUCGAAGAUUAGAAUUACAGAAUCCAAGCCCUUUUAACAAGAACAAAGAAUAAUAAUCUCCGGGGUCAAAAACAAAAUUUUCUCUUGCCAUUUCAAUUUGAUUUAGCAAUUUCAUGACAGACUUCAUAGAAAGAACACUAAACAUCUCAAAAUGAUUAUCAUGCAAAACAUGUUCAGAUCUUUUAGACCAUAGUUGAGAACAACCUCUGAAAACAAAAUUUGGAUUUUGACUUAACAAACCAACAUGAUUCACAUGUCUCAUUUUCAAACUUAAAGACAAAGCAUCAUACAAACAAAGAUUGUUUACACAUUCAUUCAAACAAAAUUUACGAUACUUGCUUUCUUUCAUGGAUGAUUCAUAAUAAGAAACUCCAGGAUUAAAGACAUGAUUUUGACUACUCGAUCCAAAUGGCAAAAAGAGUCCUUUUAUCUCCAACAAUUUACACAAAUUAAACAACGAGGGUGUUAGCAUACUCAAAUUCAAACAAGCAAACCCUUUAAAUUUCAUUCGAAAAGAUUUAUGAAAACAUGGAAAUUUCACACCAUAAAUUAGAUAAUCCACAUGAUCAACACAACCAAGCAAAUGAUAUGUCGACUUUUGAUCACUCAAUUCUAGAUUUUGUUGGUGCUGAUUUAUUCGUUCUUCAUCAAAAAUCUUGCCAAUACCAUACUCAACAAUACAUUUCCAUUCCUUUUCAAUGGAAUCAGAUAAAAUGAAAAAUUUAUACGGACUUUCAUCUUGCGCAUCCAAAACAUGCAUUCCAUUGCAAGUUAAAGAUAAACAACCAAUACCAUCAAAAUGAUAUUUUUCAAAAGCAAGAAUCUUCUUAUCAUUAGACAAAACAAAUGGAUCAUCAUCAAUCAAAGAAUGACAAAUAGCCACGUCAAAGUUCAGAUUCUUUCUAAAGACCAAAUCAUCAACAAUGUGUCCAUCAACAAUCGAGUAAGGCAGAAGUGCUUUAAAAUUUUCAACAUUCAUACCUUGCUUACCUUUUGGCAUAGGCGAACCAGGAUCGUUGAGAACAUGACCUUUUUUAGCCAAAGUGAACCUUCUCUCCUUCGAGAGGUAUUGGAGUUGAAAAUUAUCGUCACUUGGCCUUCCGGAGACCUGAAAAGAGGAAACAAAACAAGACAAAUUCUCAUGUGGUUUAGUAAAUAAAUUCCUCACUUUUUCUUGCUCUUUUGCCUCCUUUUCUCUCGUUUGUUUUUCUAACUCAUUGUCUUUUCUUUCUUUUUCAAUUUUCUCUUUUUCCUCACACUUUUGUUCAAUCUCAAUUUCUUUUUCGAUUUCUUUCUCUUUUUCACAUCCUUUUUCAAUCUCAAUUUCUUUUUCCAUGACACUCGUUUCUUUUACACUCUCGUUUCUUUCUUCAAUCUCAUUCUCUUUUUCAAUUUCUUGUUCCUUUUCUUUCAUUUAUUUUUUUCGUCUCUCGAUUUCAUUCCAUAUAUGCUCAUUUUCUCUCAUCAACAUUUCUUGUCUUUCCUUUCUUCUUAUUUCUUUUUCUUUUUGCCUCGCUCUUUCAUUAUAGGAUGGAGAUGUUACAAAUGAAUCAGCACAAAAUGACUCUCGUUGGGUAUAAUUGGAAUGACUUUCAUACAAAAAAUGAUCACCUCUUCGAGAUUGAUUCUUGGCGGACGAAUACCUCGGUGCAUACGAAGGACUACUUGUGAUUUCUCAUUCGUCACCUCGGAAAGCUUCAAACUCAAAACUUGCUUUGCUUCGUCUUGAGUUCCUCGUUGAAUAGGAAUCAUGGUAUGAAUCUCUUCCCAAAAAAUCAAUGGAUGUGUGCCUUCGUGAUGAUCUUGUCUCCGUCUCUUCACCCGGUGAGUUUGGCUUCCAUCGGGCUCUUUCCUCCACUCGAUCCAAUUGAUCAUGCAAUUUAUCAAAUUUUGAUUUCACCAUUCUACGCAUCUCUUGCAUCAAAUAUUGGAAUUCUGAUUCGGGAAAUGUUUCUCGAGACAUGAUUAAGUAAUGACAAGAAGAUGUUAGAAAAAAAUAAUAAAGAAAAUAAAUACCUUACCACAAACCUCACAAAUUCGCUCGAAAAGGAAAUAAUGAUUUUCACUCGCACUCGUGUUUACAUUCAAAUUUUGGCUUUUUCUUUGAUGUAAUUUCACUCGUGCCUUUUUCCACUCAACCUCUUCUCACAAUUUCGUGAUUUGUCUCGGUAGACUUAAUUUGCUGCUUGAGGGUCGGUUUCAAAUUGGUUUACAAAGGAAAUAACGUCAGGUGUAGGGUAGGCUAAACAAAGAACAAAUUUUGUUUAAAGUGUGGCGUUAGAAUGGGUAAAUAAUGGUAGGAAGGGAAACUUGAUAAUCGGAGUAAAUAAGAUAAGAAAAUAAAAACUGGCAAGACUUUUCACUUUUUUUUAACUUGAUUUUUUUUGCUCACCUUUUUUUUUUCUUUUUUUUCGAUUUUUUUGAAUUUUUUUUUGAAUUUCUUCUCUUUUUUUUAAAUCCAAUACAAUAGUAAACAAAAUACAAGGAAGAGAAAAAAAAUUAAAUUCCAACUCAAAUUUUUUUUGAUUUUUUUUACGUUACUAACCUACUCCGAGCUUGAUACGAAUGUCGGCACUGCUCGUUUUAGUAGCUCUGAUACCAAAUGAUGUGAUCUGGCCCGAUUGAUUGAGUCGGGUUCACUUAAGAUGCCCGAUCGUCGACGAGAAGCUUGUUCAAAUUUGUAGAUAGAUGGAGUUUGAAUGUUUUAUAAGCGGAAGGUAGGCAAAAUGGGUUCAAAGGAUGGGUUUUGGUUUGAUGAAAGAUAGGUUCGGUUUAACAAAGAAUUAAGUUACAAAGAUGAUAAAUAAAUGGAAAUGGAUAAAGAACUCAAACUUUAAGAAUGAUUCAAUACUAAAAAGUAUUGCCCCGAGUCUUAUAUUGCUUAAGGUGAAUUUUGAUGAAGGAUAGAAGCGGACCUUGACCCGUUACCUAUAUGGAGGUAAGAACCAAAGGUAUAGGAAGAUGGUUGAACGCCACACCGAUUCGGUGAUAAGUUCAAUGGAGUUCGGAUUGACACCACUAGCAAGCUAGAUAAGUCUCUUCGAGACUCGAACGAAAGAAGAGAGGAGGUAACCUCACAAGAACAAAAGUUCUAUUAAGUUUAAUUGAUCAAAUUCUGUAACCUUUUACAAUAAACAAGUAAGCUAUUUAUAAGCCUAAAAUGCCUAUUGAUAUUCGGCAUCUAUGUUGUUCACACAGGUAUUUAACAUGUUCACACAAAUAGCAUUAAAAUUCAGUUCAUGCUUGAAGAUGGUACAUGAAUUGGCCGAACCAUCAUGAUGCUUCACUUGAUGCAUCCAUGCAUCCUUAGCCUUGAAGAAUCUUCAUAAUUCCAUGAAUGUGCAGCUCUUUAAUGAUCCUACAUCUCCCUUGGCUGCAUGAGGCAUUAAUGUGCCUAAAAUACUUGAAUGGUCAUCUUGAAAAUGCAUGAAUCAUGCAUGAAACGUCCCAUGUAUUUUCCCCCAUAAAUAUGAUCCAUGAAUCUUCAAAUACAUGAACUUUCAGCAACUCCCUCUUGCAUGAACGUCCCAAAUGCAUGUGCUCCUUUAAAUGCCAUCCAUUGAACCUCAAUUGUGCAUGCACACUCCCAUACAUUGCACCAAUCCGUUCAUGAACCUGCAGCAAAUUAAAUCAGCAAGUUAAAUGCAUUUCAAACACAUUAAAUUAGCAGCAUAUGAACUCAAUAAUUUGCACAUUAAAUUUGGCCAUACAUAUUAACAAUUUCAGACAUAUUUAAAACAUCAUAAUUAAUUAAGUAUUUAAGUUAGAUAUAAUUAAAACACUUAAUUAAUUAUUUGUCCAGAUUUAAAAAAUUAAUUAACUUAAAAUAAACAACUAAUUCAACUAAAGACAAAUUAAAUGGUUUAUUUCAGGAAAAUAAAAGCAAGCUAAAGAAAGCUAAAAAUAAGCUUAUUGGGUUAAGAUUGAGCUGAAUUGAGCUUGAAUGAGUUGACUUGAGCUCGAGUGAGCUGGAAACAAGCUAAACAGAGCUCAAUGAGAAGGAAUUGAACUAAUUCAGCUUGCAUGGAUUUGCAAACAAUGCUUAGGGAGCUAGUCCAAAAGUGUGCCCAAGGCGUGGCCGUAUCAUCUUGUCCAAACGAGAAUGUAUAGGCUCUAAUGCAUUUUCUAAUAGACGUUGCAAAGUGCGAGUAAGAGCCUGCAUUUGCAAAUCUAGUGGCUGAUUUUCAUCACGAAUACGAUCUUCCGAUCCUGACAUACUUAAACAACACAAAGGAUACUGAUAAAAAGUUAUGUAAAACAAAAAUAAUAAAAGUCCUCACAGCACACUGACAAAACCUCUCGGUUUUCACUCCAAAGAACAGUGCACUCAAAAUACACUCAUCGCUCGUAUUUCACUUGAGAGAAUGCUUGAAUGGCUAUUUUUCUCUCCCUUUCUAUUCUCACAACGAUCAAUGCCUUUUUUUUCAUUCGAUCACUCACAAUAAGUUCUUUAGGGAACUAACCCCAUCCUUCUGACUUGUUAACUGUGUCAAACUUACAAGAGAAAGGGAAAAGAAAAGAAAAUAAAGGUUAAAGAAACAAACAGUUAAAGAGAGAUAUAGGUCUAGAAAAGAAAAGAAAAAAAAUGAAGAAACGAGGAGGAUGACAACAAGAAAGAAAACUCAACAACUUACUACAAAAGAAAUGCUUACAACGAUCCUAUCACCGAAUCAAACAAGAAAAGUUGUUUCGGAUGAUUUUCACGUAUUUCAAGGUGUAAUUUGAGCAUCUUUCAACAUGUCACACACAAUUCAACACUGUUCUUUUGUAAUUUUCACAAAAUUUCAAAAACUUAUUUUAUUAUAUAUAUUUUUUGAAUUUUUUUCUUUUUUUCUUUUAAACUUUGAUAUUCAAAUUUUUUUAACUUUGAUAAAUAUAUAUUUUUAUUUUGUUUGUUUUACAGAACGUGCUAAAAUCCAACCUAAGCUCUGAUUACCACUUGAUAUGGCGUUACUUAUAGAAACAACGAACCUUGAAGGAUUGCAGAUCUAGGAUUAUAACAAACAUCCUUUCUGCAGCAUAAACAACACACAAACAAAACAAAAGAAAAGGAACAAAAUUCAACAAAAACAAAAAAAAUAAAAUUGGAGACGAAAAACUCGAAAGAACUUGCACAAUAGACUAUGCAAACCCGAAUCAAAUAUGUUUCACGUCGAAGGACUUGGACCCUCUAGAUAGCAAUCUAGGAACUGUAAGUAUCAAGGAAGUUUUGACACAACAAACUAAGUCUGAAAUGUCAAAGAAAGUUCAAUGAAGAACCGAAAUUGAGAGAAAGUUCUCACAAAUAUUUGUUUAAUAAAAGUCAUCUAACCAGAUUACAUUGUUUGAACAUCUAUUUAUAAGUAUAAGGAAGGGGUUGUCGAAUUUGAACUUGUGGCUAUAAACAAAGAAUUCAAAUUUGAAUAUGAAUGAGUUAUAUCCUCUCUUGGCACCAUCAAAUACCAACCACACAUUUAAUAUGUGUGAAAUGUUUGAAAUUCAAACAUUUGAACUCUUGUUCUUAUCCAAAACGUUUGAAAUUCAAACAUUUGAACUCUUGUUCUUAUCCCUUUGAAUUUGGUGUCAUAUGUAGAGAAGAGGGCUGAUUUCGGCCACACAUGCACACACAUGUGUCAAGGCUAGUACGUGUGUGAUUUACAUGCUGGGAUGCCACCUAGGCUGCCACAUGUGUAUGGGACACUCCCCGACACAUAGGACACCUUCCAGCUACUUCUGGACUUGUCAGCUAUAGUUGAGCUGGUGGAGCUGAAAUUGAGCUAGCUAGAAAUGUACUGAGCUAAAAUGAGCUAGAAACAAACUUUCAGAACUAUUUCGAGCUGAGAAGAGCUGCACGCACAUAUGUGAGCUUCAACCGAGCUAGAAAUGAGGUCUUAAGCUGCUGUCCAUUAUUGUACCUAUAUCAAAACAUAUCAAACUUCCAUCAAAGUUUUGUAAAUUUAAUGGAAAACACAAUUACAAGCUGGAACACUUGCAAUUCUUAUUCUUUAACACACUUACAAUUUAGAAACAAAUUAGAAACAAUACAAAUACUAUCAACCCAAUUGCAGAAACGUACACAGCAUAACAUAUACAUACUUAAACGCAUGGACUAGGAAUAUAACCGAGAAAUGUCACAUAUCACCAUGCAACAUGUUAUAAAGCCUAUGUUCUAAGGCAAGAACAUGAUCGAAUGAAUCUAGAAUCGUAGCACAAGGAACAAGACUUCCUUGAAUUUAUUUACCUUAGAACAGGUAAUAGGUCCUAAUGGUAAGACCUCCUGAUCGGUUUUCUUUGUUGUCAUAAAUGUGCUCACAUCAGUUGUGCAUACCAAAUUGUUCCAUGCGAGACUUAUUGAUUCAUGAGGCCCAUAGUGGGGGUUUAAUGAGACAUUUUGAAGUGACCAAAACACUAGACAUCUUGCAAGAACACUUCCAUUGGCCACAUAUGAAGAAGGAUGUCGAAAAGGUAUGUUCUAAGUGCAUCACAUGUAAACAAGAAAAAUCUAAGGUAAUGCCUCACGGCAUUCCUACUUCACCAUGGAUAGACUUAUCCAUGGAUUUUAUUCUAGGUUUGCCACAAACUAAGAAAGGAAGAGAUAGUAUAUUUGUUGUUGUUGAUAGGUUUUCCAAGAUGGCACAUUUUUUUCCUUGUCACAAAAUAGAUGAUGCUACACAUAUGGCAGACUUAUUUUUUAAAGGUGUGGUAAGACUUCAUGGCAUCCCUAAAACAAUUUUUUCCGACAGAGAUGUCAAAUUCCUUUGCCAAUUUUGGAAGGUAUUGUGGGGCAAGCUUGGUACAAAAUUACUGUAUUCAACUACAUCUCAGCCCCAAACCGAUGGCCAAACUGAGGUAGUCAAUCGAAUUUUAGGAGCCUUAUUACGAUUUGUUGUGGGAAAGAACAUUAAAAAUUGGGAAGAAUGUUUGCCAUUUGUUGAAUUUGCAUAUAAUAGAUCUAUUCAUUCUACAACUGGCUAUUCACCAUUUGAACUUGUUUAUGGUUUUAACCCACUAACAGUACUUGACCUUGCGCCAUUACCACUAGAACAAAUUGUUAAUUUAGAUGGCGAACAGAAAGCUGAGCUGGUGAAAUCCUUACACGAGAAGGCUAGGCAACGAAUAGCCAAAAUAAAUGACAUCAACACUAACAAAGCAAAUAAGGGGCGUAAAUGAGUUGUCCUUGAACCCAGAGAUUGGGUUUGGGUCCAUAUGAGGAAAGAACGAUUUCCUACAAAAAGAAAGACCAAGUUGGACCCAAGAGGCGAUGGGCCUUUCCAAGUACUCGAGCAGAUCAAUGAUAAUGCAUACAAAAUUGACCUACCCGGUGAGUACAAUGUAAGUUCUACUUUCAAUGUGGCUGACUUAUCUCCAUUUGAAUUUUCAGAUUCGAGCCCGAAUCUUUUUGAGGAAGGGGGAAUGAUACGAGUCAUAAAGGGCCAACUCAAGCUCAAGAACAUGGUGGGCUCAAAUUAUCACAAGGCACAAUAACGAGGUCAAAGGCUAGGCAAAUGCGUAUGAAACUAGAUGGAACCGUUCAAGAAUUCAUUAGCAAGGCCUUAGAUGUGUACACAAAGGAAAAAGAAAAUCAAGAUUUACUUUCUUGUUUUCAAGAAAAUCAAGAAAUCAAAUCUUGGUCCAAUUUUGCUGUUUUGAGCGAUUUCAAAAAUCAAGAAAAUCAAGAUUUCAAUUCUUGGAAAUCUUAGCCCAAGAAACUGAAUCUUGCAGCUAAAGCGCAUUGGAUCUCAGUUACGAGCAUCAAUGAACCAAUUUCGGGAGAGAACGGAUUACAAGCCCAAGUUCUUGAAGAUACAACCCAAUAAGUUGUUCCAUGCCCAACCAAGAAGUUUAAAUUAGACUUAGUUGAAAAUUAGGCCAAAUUGUCAAAGUGGCCCAAUUUGUAAAAUUUUAAUUCUUUAAAUACUUAGUUUUAAUUUUUAGACUUUAUGAAUAAAUUUCUAUGUAAAAAUUUAGUCCAAGAGGCCCAUUUAAAGGCCUUGGACGAAAUUCCCCUUGAAAGUCAACAAUUAAGGUUUUUUUUAGUUUUCCUAGUAGGGCUAGGAAAGUAGUUAGAAGACCUAUAUAUAUGGUUUGGCCAGCCACCCUUAAACACAUUAGAUUGAAAUCAGAUUUUUUUUGUUGAGUGAAAAUUCUCUUUGAGUUUCUCCAAGAAUUCUCUCUUGAGUUUUCUUUAGAAGUAGUUUUAACAAUCUUUUUGAUUGUAGGAGCCAUCUUCAACCUUCUUCUUUCUGUGUUUUUACAUUGGAGGGUAGAUUGGAGCAGUUUGAAGGGAGUUGUGAAAUCUUUCUUGAUUUCAAGGCUUCUUAGGACUUUCUUUAUCUUUCUUGCUGUUUGUUCUUCUUUAAUUAAUUCUAUUUGUGUCGAUUUGUUGAUUAACUUGGUUUAAUUGUUCUUGUUGUGUUUCAGUCAUUCCCAGCUUCAAGGAUCUGUUUUUCAACAUUCUUUGUGAUGUGAGCACAUUUACGCCAACAAAGCAAACUGAUCCAGAGGUUUUACCAUUAGGACCUAUUACCCGUUCUAAGGCAAAGAAAUUCAGGGAAGUCUUGUUCCUUACUUGUGCUACGAUUCCAGAUUCAUUCGAUCAUGUUCAUGCCUUAGAACAUAGGCUUUAUAACAUGUUGCAUGCUGAUAUGUGACAUAUCUCGGUUAUAUUACUAGUUCAUGCGUUUAAGUAUGUAUAUGUUAUGCUAAGUAUGUUUCUGCAAUUGGGUUGAUAGUAUUUGUAUUGUUUCUAAGUUGUUUCUAAAUUGUAAGUGUGUUAAAGAAUAAGAAUUGCAACUGUUCCAGCUUUUAAUUGUGUUUUCCAUUAAAUUUACAAAAAUUUGAUGGAAGGUUUGAUAUGUUUUGAUAUAGGUACAAUAAUGGAUAGUAGCUUAAGACCUCAUUUCUAGCUUGGUUGAAGCUCACAUAUGUGCGUACAGCUCCUCUCAGCUCGAAAUAGUUCUGAAAGUUUGUUUCCAGCUCAUUUCAGCUCAGUACAUUUCUAGCUAGCUCAAUUUCAGCUCCACCAGCUCAACUCUAGCUGACAAGACCAGAAGUAGCUGGAAGGUGUCCACGUGUCGGGGAGUGUCCCACACACAUGUGGCAGCCUAGGUGGCAUCCCAGCAUGUAAAUCACACACGUAACAGCCUUGACAUAUGUGUGUGCAUGUGUGGCCGAAAUCAGCCCUCUUCUCUACAUAUGACACCAAAUUCAAAGGGAUAAGAACAAGAGUUCAAAUGUUUGAAUUUCAAACAUUUCACACAUAUUAAAUGUGUGGUUGGUAUUUGAUGGCGCCAAGAGAGGAUAUAACUCAUUCAUAUUCAAAUUUGAAUUCUUUAUUUAAAGCGACAAGUUCAAAUUCGACAACCCCUUCCUUAUACUUAUAAAUAGAUGUUCAAACAAUGUAAUCUGGUCAGAUGAUUUUUAUUAAACAAAUAUUUGUGAGAAUUUUCUCUCAAUUUCGGUUCUUCAUUGAACUUUCUUUGACAUUUCAGACUUAGUUUGUUGUGUCAAAACUUUCGUGAUACUUAGGGUUCCUAGAUUGCUAUCUAGAGGGUCCAAGUCCUUCGACGUGAAACAUAUUCGAUUCGGGUUUGUAUAGUCUAUUGUGCAGGCUCUUUCGAGUUUUUUGUCUCCAAUUUUAUUUUGUUUUUUUUUGUUGAAUUUUGUUCCCUUUCUUUUGUUUUGUUUGUGUGUUGUUUAUGCUGCAGAAAGGAUGUUUGCUAUAAUCCUAGAUCCGCAAUCCUUCAAGGUUCGUUGUUUCGAUAAGCAACGCCAUAUCACUUUGGUAUCAAGAAACGUCCUUUAUUCAUAAUUUUCCAACUUUCUUGCUGCCUAAGUAUCCUACUUCUACUUCAAUUAGGUUCUUGGUCUUUUUGAGUUUAAUUUCUAUUUUUUUCAGCUAAGUGUCUAUAGCUUUCGUUGGACUUUCCCAUGACUUGACAAGCUCGAUCUUGGUCUGCGCACAAACCUCUAUCACAUGUAGUUGAAUACAGUAAUUUCGUACCAAGCUUACCCCACAGUACCUUCCAAAAGUGGCUAAGGAAUUUGACAUCUCUGUCGAAAACAAUUGUUUUAAGGAUGCCAUGAAGUCUUACCACAUCUUUAAAAAAUAAGUCUGCCACAUGUGUAGCAUCAUCUGUUUUGUGACAAGGAAUAAAAUGUGUCAUCUUGGAAAACCUGUCAACAACAACAAAUAUACUAUCUCUUCCUUUCUUCGUUCGUGGCAAACCUAGAAUAAAAUCCAUAAAUAAGUCUACCUAUGGUGAAGUAGGAAUCGGCAAAGGAGUGUAAAGGAAGUGAGACAUUACCUUAGAUUUUGCUUGUUUACAUGUGAUGCACUUAGAACAUACCUUUUCGACAUCCUUCUUCAUAUGUGGCCAAUAGAAGUGUUCUUGCAAGAUGUCUAGUGUUUUGGUCACUCCAAAAUGUCCCAUUAAACCCCCAUUAUGGGUGAUACGAACCGGCUCAGUGAUGUGAAUCGAGUUGUUUAUGUGCCUAAUCAUUAAAAUGAAAAGUAUCGUCCGAUUUAAAAUAAAGGGUUAAAUUCAGCUAAAUAUGGUAUUUAGUUUCCAAAAUAGGAUCAAGAUGGCUAAGUAAGAUAUGUAAUGGAUUCGUUUAAGUGAAGAGGCUAAAGGUUAUUGAAGAUGGAUUUGCGGAUGGCUCGAAUGGCUUUAAGGUCAAGAAGGAACCAGUACUAAAAUGGAGUACUAACCCGAUUCUUAUAAGACACCUAAUGGUGGUGGAUAGGACCUUGACCCGCUAACUAUAUGAAUUAGGAACCAGAGGUAUCAAAUGGUUGAACACCACACUUGGGAUUGAGUGAUAAGUUCGAAGAAACAAGGAAGAUGCCACUAGCAAGCUAGAUAAGUCUACUUGAGUCUAAAAUGAAAUAAGAGAGUUGAAAAACUCACAAAAUGUAUAAACAUUAAUCAAAGGUUCAAAAGUUCCUUUACAAAUGAAAAAGUAAAAUAUUUAUAGCCUUUUACAAGCUAGCCAAAUAGUCAAGCUUAAAGGCUAAAAAAAGCUAAUAAAUUUCCAGAAUUAAUUCACUAAAAUGUCUUAGAGAAAUUCGGCUGAAUAGGAGCUUCAUUGACAAGCUUAAGAAUUAAGUAAAUGAAUCUUGCAAGAUGAAUGCACCGGUAGGCUAAGGGCCAUGUCUAGGUUUGGCCAAGCCCUUAAAUGUCUCAUUGAAUUGGCACCUUUUGGCUGAAUAGUUGGGAGCAUUAAGGAAAGUCUUUGAGAAGCCAAGUAAGUGUGAAAAGUCAGCUAUGAAGGGUCAUUUGUGUGUGAAAGCUCAAAGCCGAACGGUCUCUAGAUGUGGAAAGAACCUUCAGCCGAAUUAAACAAUUGGUGACCUUUGCAAUGCACGAUGGGCUACUUAGGGAAUAGUGGCCAACAAUCUGUAACUUAAAUGCAAGUCCUCUUUAAAUGUUGCUCAUUCACUCUCUCAAUUGGGUGGCAAAUUGAUGACAUUGUAGAGACCCAAAAAAAGGCAUUUGGGAAAGAGAGAAACAACAACUGACUCAACCACAAUUCAAUGACCAUUGAUCUCCACGAAAAAGGGCUCAUAGGAAAUAGGAAUCAGCAACAACUUCUUUAAAUGACGUCCAUGCAUGGAAGGAGAAUCCGGCAGCUCCUUUAUGGCCAUCCCACGCAUGACUUCUUAAACUCUCCCUCAUUUAAUUGCCGUCCAAACACAAGGCUGCACAAUUAAUUCCAGAAAAUUUAAUGAGCUCAAGACACAAUAAAUUUCUGUAGCAACCACUUCUUUUAAUGCCGUCCAUGUACCUGCACCCAUCAACCAUUAAUUCACGUUAAGACAACAUUAAGUGGUUAACUAGACAUAUUUAAUUCGCAGCAUUAAAUUUGGCUGCACAAGACAACUUAAAUGGACAGAUUCAGCUGGACAAAUUAAUUAUCUACAAAUAUUAAUUUUGUCCUUAACUUGACACAUUAAAACAUGCAUUCAUUAAGAUCACAUUUAAACUGUGAUUUAAUUUGUUUAGAAUUUAAACACAUUAAACACAAAAUUAUUGGAGCUGAACUUAAAUUAUUUUAACUAACUUAAUCAAGUAAAAUUUAUUCCAGCAAACUAAAAGUAUAAAAUUAAAUAAAUUGAAGUUCAAGCUCAAUGAGCUAGAAUCAGCUCGAAUUGAGCUCCAUGGAGCUGGAACAAGCUAGUUCAGCUUGCAAAAGUUUACGAAUGGCGCCUGAUGAGCUGCACCAAGGACGUUUUUCGGGCAGGGUUGUAUCAUUCCCCUUUCUUCGAAGCGACUUGUCCUCAAGUCGAUGCGUUGGUUUACUCGAACAUAGCUCCUCUUACUCGACAUUUAUCGAUCGAACAGGGCAAAUGGCGAUUGAGUCAACUGAAAAAAAUAGCCAUAAGUUAGAAAAUAGAAAUGCAAGCAAGCUCGUAGUCCAAUCAUAAGCAUAUCAAAACAAGUAUAACGCAUGCGAAUGGACAGGUUCAAAACAACAUGUUAACAAUCAUGAAAACAAAUUAAUUUGCUCGCCAAUGCCUCGUCAAGUAUUUGAAACAAAAAUGGACAUAUUUUAAGGCAUUCAAACAUCUCAAAUUGUUUCCACAAGUCAUAACCAGAACGUGAAUAAUGAAUCAAAUGCUAGACAUAAUCGUCACAAGCAGGUAUUUGAAAUGAUUCACAAGGUUCACGGAGUUGCAUAAUCAUACCGUGCAUUAGACGAUUGACUAUAGAUUCAUUCACACAUGCAUCAUAAAAAUGAUCAGAAACAAGGAUCUUAUUAUCAACAACCAAAACAGAUAGAUCAUCAUCAAGCAAAAUGGAACAACUAAGCACAACACGAUCUAAGUGUUUUACAAAAGUUAAAUCUUCAACACGAUUUUUAACACCAUCCAAGGAGAACAGAGAAGUUCCAAGACUUUCAAAUGUCUUACCUUUAUGAGCAGAAAAAUAAAGAUCCUUUUUACCUCACUUGAUCAAUACAAACCUUUGCUCCUCGAGGAUUAGUGUAGUCGAAGCUUCGUGGCUGAAUUAACAUUUGUCAAACGGAACACAAACUUUAUGUACAACCACAAAAAUUAUUUAAGGCACGAAUAAAAAUUGAAAACAAAAUUUUCAAAUGUCGUUACCUUAUUUAAAAACCAAGUAUCAAAACUAUAGAAAUUAUUCGCACAAAAUUUAAGAUGCUUGAUUUUUCCACAAAUCGAACCAAAACAAAUUCCGGGUUUAAACACACGAGUUUGAUUACUUAUGCUCGAAUACAAUGAAAAAUUUUCGCUGAGCAACAAUUCACAAUUGUUAAACGAAAAAGAAUUAAGCAUCGAUAUAUUCAAACAAUCAAACCUCGCAAAAAUUUUUUGAACAAUCAAAGGUAUCCACAAAAUUUCAUCGCAUUGAUUGAAAGAAUUCAUGUAGCAAUCAAAACCAAUCAGAUUAAGCAGUUUACAUGAAUACUUUUUAUCACAUAUGACAAACACGUUUUGUUGCCUUAAAGUUGGGCCAAUGUUAUCAGCAACCAAAUUAACUUGCAUCUCGAGGUUAUUUGAAUCGAUAUGGAAAAAAUGAUGGGAAGAAAAUUCCAAGACACUAAUCAGAUCAAACUCAACAAACUGAUUCAACUCAUAGCAACUAUACAGAGCAUCAUAAUGAAUUUCAUUAAGAUUAACAAUAUGAACACUUUUAUCAAUCGACAUCAACAAAUUCCAAUCAGAUUGAAUCUCAAAAGAUACCUUACCUUGCUUACCUUGAAGGGUUGGGAGAAUGAUAUCUUGCAAUUGGACGUGAUGUGAAUCAAUAGGAAACAAUUGAUGAUUAGAGCAUUGCAAGACACUUUUCAAAGUAGCAUCGACAUUUCAAUUCAAAGUUAAACAACAAACCAAACGUUUGAAUGGACUUUCUCUAAGACCAACAAAAUGAACGAAUUUGUCAAAAGAAACCAAACCAUAAUCAGAUUGAAUAUCACAAGGUUUCUUACCCGACUUACCUUCAAAAUUUUGAAAGGUAGUCACAUCAUCCAACUUACCUUUUUCAAUUAAUUGAAAACGUCGUGUGUCGGAAAGAUAAUGAAGUUGGAACCAGACCGUGGGUGGAAUUUUGCAAACCUGAAACGAAGAAGAAUCAAAAGGCAAACUCAAACGGGGGUUAGCAAAAAUAUUCCUUACUUUUUCUUGUUUGCUUUCUUCACUAAUUUCUUUUGCAAACUCAUUUUCUUUUUCACUCGAUUUCUUUUCAAGCUCUCUUUCAAUUUCUUUUUCCACUCUUUCUUUUCUUCUUUUUCAAUCUCUUUUUCAAUCUCUUUUUUCUUUUCACUCUCUUUUGUUUUUGAAAUCUCAUUUUCAUAUUUUUCUUUUCAUUUCUUUCGUUUUCAUUUUCUUUGUUCUUUUCUUGCUCAUGUUCUUUUACAAUCAAAAUUUUCAAUUUGAUUUGGUCAUCAUGGACUUGUUUUGGUGUGAGCAGCGCUAAGGUGAUUUUCCUUCCUUGAUUCUAGAAGGAAUACCUAUUGGUACGAUCAUCGUGAGCGACCUUGCGAUCCAAUUGCCAUGGUUCUCCUAGUAGCAAAUGGCAGGCUUGAAUAGGCACCACAUCGCAAACAACUUCGUCUUGGUAUCUACCGAUGGAAAAGGCAACACACACUUGUUGAGUAACCUCAAAUUUGCCUUUGUCGUUAAACCACCGUAGCUUAUAAGGUUAGGGAUGCUUGGUAACGGGUAAGCCAAGUUUUUCCACCAUUCUAGUGCUGGCCAUAUUUGAACUACUUUCACCAUUAACAAUGAUGCAACAAAUUUUAUUGUGGACAUGGCAUCGAGUGUGAAAUAGAUUCUCACGUUGCGGUUCGUUCUCUAAUCGUUGAAGACUUGAACUCAUUUUGACGUCAAUGAUAGCACGUGUCAAAUCUUCUUUAUCUUUGUCGGAGGGUACUUGGAGUUCUAUGUGACACCCCUAAAGUGACCCUAGUCGGAAAGCGGUUUCAGGACCGCUAAACUGAGUCACCAAAUUAUUUGAAUGUGAUAUUUAUUGUCUAAAAUAUGUGAUUAUGAAGGUGUGAAAGUUUUAGGCUUCGAUUUAGUAAAUUGCAUGUGAAUUUAGUCAAAAGGACUUAUGGGUGACAUUUUUGAAAUGUGAUAGGCUAAUCUACAAGGACCUAAUAGUGCAUGUAAUCAAAAGGAGGACUUGCAUGUCAAUUUUCCCCCCCUAAUAUGUAGUGGCCGGCCAUGAGCAUGGGUGGACAAGAUGUUAUGGCUAAAAACAUGUCAUAAACAUGUUGGGGUAGUGCAUUAUGUAAGGAUUAAUAAAAUAAAGAGCAUGGGUGGACAAGAUGUUAUGGCUAAAAACAUGUCAUAAACAUGUUGGGGUAGUGCAUUAUGUAAGGAUUAAUAAAAUAAAGGGCAUGGGCAAUAAAAUAUUAGUGUUAGUAGGAUGAGAAACGAAAAAAAAGAAAAGAAAGGAUGUGUGUGAUUGCCCCCCAUUGCCGUGAGUGAUGAAAACAAAGAAAAAAAAAGAAAAGUGUCCAUCCUUUAACAUUUCUUUUGGCCGAAAAUUCUAAGGAGGAAGGAAGAAGAAGAGGAUUUUCUUGCUUCAUGUUCGGUUGGUUGGUGUUUAGGAGGAGGAAAUGUUGAAGAGAUUCGGCCAUGCUUGUAGCUAGGUUAAGGUAAGUUUGAUGUUGUUCCAUGAGAUUCAUGCAUAUUUUUGAUGUUAGUUUGAGUUCUACCUAGCCUAUGGUUUAAAUCUUGCUAUGUGAUGAAGAUGAUACUCGGCCAUGGGUGUUGUUUUCUUGGUUGGUGUUUGUUUCAUGCUAAAUCUAGAUGAACAAUGGGGGUUGUCAUUUAGGUUAAGAUCAAAGAAAUUAAUCUUUUUAAAACUUUGAACUAAUAAUGCCCAUAUGUGUGAUAGCCGAACAUAGACUUUGUUUAAAGUCUUGGUCAAAGGCCGGUUAAGUGUUUUGGAAAUGAUUAAGCUACGUGUUUGAUCUUUUUGGUUCGGCAUAGUACAUAAAAUGUUGCUAGAUGGAGAAAAAAAUUCGGCCAGCAAGAGGUGUGCUAAGGCCGAAUAUAAUUUUGUAUAUUAAUGAGUAAUGCAUGUGUUGAAUUGAUGGAAUGGAGAGGAUGUUUUAAUAGUGCAUAUAUGUGUAUUAGCCAAGUUUUGAACUUGAAACAAAAUGGUAUUUGGUCAAUACAAGUGACCAUACUUGUAGAAUGUAUUAAGUAUGCAAUCGGCCUCAACAUAGACAUGCAUGUUCGGCCACACGAAUGAAUGCAUAGAUUGAUGUUGUACAUUCGGCUAUAGGUAAGCAUAAUGAUGAUCCUAUCUUGACUUAGACAAUCGGCUCAAGGAGAAUUUGUUAAGUGCUUAGUUAAUUGAUAUUAGGUUAAUGAUGUGUGUAUUUGGUCAUAAAGGUGCACAUGAGGAAAUGUUUGAUUAAUUGUACUAAAUUGCUUAAUGUGAUUAAAAAUGCGUAUGACCAUUUUGUAUUUGAGCUAAAGGUGGCCAUAUGACCUAUCAAAUUCAUUGUCAUAUUCGGCCAUAAGCUAGCAUAAUGAGACUUUAAUAAGUUAAAUUUGUUUGAAUUAGCUCAAGAGCUUAGAGGACCAAAGUUGGAUAAAGGAAAGGAAAAAGUGAUCGAAUAGCCGCCGAAAUCGUUCGACAACAUCCGAGGUAAGUUUUAAGUGAUUAAACGUUGAGUGAAUUCAAUCAUAAUAGGACAUAAUGAGUUGAUUUAAUAAGAUAUGAUGUGGCCAUGAUAUGUCUUAAACUCAAAUGGUAAGUUCAUAAGUGUUUGGACUUGGAAAUUUAAGAGCAAAUUGUAAUAAUUUGCUUUGGACAGCAGCAGUAACGUGAUUUUAGAAAAUCACUAUAAAUUGUUGGUGUGGAAUUAUAGGCUGCAUAAAAUAUGUAAUCAAGGCUUAAUGAGUCUAGUUUCAAAUGAAAUCAAAUACAACACAUUUUGAAUUCUGUAAAAUGAGAAAUUUGAUUUGUAGUGAAGAGUGGUCAGAUUAGUCAAACAGUGAAACAGGGGAAACUUUAAGAAAAAUCUGGUAUUGAUUGGCCAAACCUAAAAUUCUGGAAAUUUUAUGGAUGGAAGAUAUACGAGUCUAUAUUCAGGAAAAAUUAACGGAAAGUGAUUUGGAGUUUUGUAGCUCCAGUUAUAAAUAAUUUAGUGACUAUUGCUCAGGAAAAACAGCUUGUGCUGAAUUUGAGAUUAUGUUGUAAACCUUGAUAAACUUGUUUUAGUUGCUCAUAAGCAAUUGAUUAAACCCAUACGUGAAUUCUAAAUUGUGAUAUUGGAAAAUGAUAGAUGUAGAUUCAGCCAAGACAGUGUGUAUACGUGAAAGUAUAUGUGGUAUGUGAAGUAUAUUUGGAUAAUUGUGAUGUGAAUACAUGAAAAUUUAUAUUUUGAUUUAGGAUUUUAUGUGAUGGAUGUGAACAUGCGUAUGUGUGAUAAGGCCGAAUGGCCAAUGUGAUGAAUGUGAACCCGUAUAUAUAUGUGUGAUAAGGCCGAAUGGCCAAUGCGAUGAAUGUGAACAUGCGUAUGUGUGAUAAGGCCGAAUGGCCAAUGUGAUGAAUGUGAACCUUUAUAUAUAUGCGUGAUAAGGCCGAAUGGCCAAUGUGAUGAAUGUGAACAUGCGUAUGUGUGAUAAGGCCGAAUGGCCAAUGUGAUGAAUGUGAACAUGCGUAUGUGUGAUAAGGCCGAAUGGCCAAUGUGAUGAAUGUGAACAUGCAUAUAUGAGAUAAGGCCUAAUGGCCAAUGUGAUGAAUGUGAACAUGAAUAUAUGUGGUAAGGCCGAAUGGCUAAUGCGAAACGUGUAUGAGAUGGAUAUGUGGUAAAGCCAAAUGGCUAAUGUGAGAUAUGUACGAGAUGUGUAUAUAUAUAUUGUGGCCAAAUGACAAACGGUGAAAGGUGUGUAUUAUUAGAUUUUUGGAUGAGGCAAAUGAAUUACAAAUAUGACAGUCGAUGUGAAUGUUGUAACAUGUGAUUAAAUGUACAUGAAACUUGGAAAUAUAUUCCGGGUAAGACCCGAUGACUACGUGUGGAGAUUAUGUCCGGGUAAGACCCGAUGACUACGUGUGGAGAUUAUGUCCGGGUAAGACCCGAUGACUACGUGUGGAGAUUUUGUCCGGGUAAGACCCGAUAACUUCAUGUGGAGAUUCCGUCUGAGCUAAAGGUCUCGCCGAUAAUCCGAGUAGAGGUUAGAGCUAUAAGACUUCGUAAUAAGAAUUGCAUAUAAAUAUAUUCAAUGCGAAAGGUUAAACAGGUAUGUACUCCAAGUUUAUAUGUCAGCUUGAUUUGAACUAAAUCAUAAGGUAGUGAUGUGAUGCAUAUGAGAGCAAUCUAUGAGACUAUUCCUAUGAUUAUGUGACUUCGGAUCAGUGUGAGAGGAUAUGUGAAAUCAUACAAUAUAUCUAUGUCACAUGAGCUCACUUUUAUGUGAAAGUUUAUCUACCUAUUGUAUAUGAUGAGAUGUGCAUAUUCGGUAAAGGGAUGGUAUGCCUGAAGGAAGAGUGAAAUAAAAAUAUGAACAACUAUGUUAUAAUUUGAUUGUUAUCUAUUGUCACUGCUUAAAACUUACUAAGCAUUGUAAUGCUUACUCCGUUUACUUUGUUUUCUCUAUUUUAUAGAUCUCAUUUGGAAGCUACAGGCUCGGGGAUCAUCAGCAACUAGUCACACUAUCACUAUCCAUUGUUUGGUACUGCUACGUUUUGGAUUAUCUUAUGGCAUGUAUAGAAUAGACUAGUGGUGGAAGAAUAUUUUUGGUUAAUGUAUAUAAGCCAUGCGAAAAUGGCAUCUUUUGAAUGUUUACUUAGAGAAGUUUAAAUUUUAUCCCUGGCUGUGCUUAGUACUUAUUUAAAUGAAUGAUCUUUAUUUCAAGAAAAAGUUCAAAAUUUUACUGUUCUGACAUGAGUUACAAGUCCGGUAAUGCCCCUUACCUAUUCCGGCGACGGUUACGAGAUAGGGGUGUUACAUUCUACUUUUUUUAUUUUUCAAAAUUCAGACCGCAUUAUCCUUUGCAUUUCUCGCUUCCACAUUUGGAAUUCAAAUUCAGAAAAUUCUUCAGAAAUGCUUCAACAAAAUGUUAGAAAAUAAAAAGAUAGAAUAAAUAGUAAAUAAUCCUCACCAAUUCAAAAUCCUCACCAAUCUCUCAAAAAGAAAAUAAUAGAUGGCUCUCCACUCAUGUUUUACUCUUAUUUUGGCUUUUAUCUUGAUGUAUUUUCACUCAUGCCUUUUACCACUCUAUUCACUUCUCGAACUUCGUAAUUGACUCGUUCAGACUUACAAGCAGGCCUAGAGGGUCGGAUUCAAAUAGGUUUACAAAGAAAGUCCAUGUAAGGUGAUAGGUAGGUUGAAAGAAAGGAGAAUUUGCCUUAGGUGUGGCGUGAAAGGAUGGAAUACAAUCUUAAAGGUAUUUUGCUCAUCAGAAACAGAAAUUGCAACUUCAACACUUUCCUUUUUCUUUCCAAAAUUUCUCUUUUUUUUUUUCGAAUUUCUUCUUCUCUUUUUUUGAUUUUUUAUACUUCAAUACAUUAAUAUGCUGGAUACAAAUAAAUUACAACUUAAUUUUUUUGAAUUUUUUUCAACCUUUUUUAAAAAAAAAUUUUCAACUUACUUAUUUCGGCAUUUCACGAACCUCCGUACUCCUCAAUUUUAUCUAGCUCUGAUACCAAAUGAUGCAAACCGACUCUGUGAUGUGAGUCGAGUCGUUUAUGUGCCUGAUCGUUAAAAUGAAAAGUAUCACCCGAUUUAAAAUAAAGGGUUAAAUUCGGCUAAAUGUGGUAUUUGGUUUCUUAAAUAGGAUCAAGAUGGCUAAGUAAGAUAUGUAAUGGAUUCGGUUAAGUGAAGAGGCUAAAGGUUAUUGAAGAUGGAUUUGCUGAUGGCUCGAAUAGCUUUAAGGUCAAGAAGGAACCAGUACUAAAAUGAAGUACUAACCCGAUUCUUAUAAGACACUUAAUGGUGGUGGAUAGGACCUUGACACGCUAACUAUAUGAGUUAGGAACCAGAGGUAUCAAAUGGUUGAACGCCACACUCGGGAUUGAGUGAUAAUUUUGAAGAAACAAGGAAGAUGCCACUAGCAAGCUAGAUAAGUCUACUUGAGUCUAAAAUGAAAUAACAGAGUUGAAAAACUCACAAAAUGUAUAAACAUUAAUCAAAGGUUAAAAAGUUCCUUUACAAAUGAAAAAGUAAAAUAUUUAUAGCCUUUUACAAGCUAGCCAAAUAGUCAAGCUUAAAGGCUAAGAAAAGCUAAUAAAUUUCCAGAAUUAAUUCACUAAAAUGUCUUAGAGAAAUUCGGCUGAACGGGAGCUUCAUUGGCAAGCUUAAGAAUUAAGUAAAUGAAUCUUGCUAGAUGAAUGCACCGGUAGGCUAAGGGCUAUGUCUAGGUUCGGCCAAGCCCUUAAAUGUCUCAUUGAAUUGGCACCUUUUGGCUGAAUAGUUGGGAGCAUUAAGGAGAGUCUUUGACAAGCCAAGUAAGUGUGAAAAGUCGGCUAUGAAGGGUCAUUUGUGUGUGAAAGCUCAAAGCCGAACGGUCUCUAGAUGUGGAAAGAACCUUCAAGGAUGUUUGCUAUAAUCCUAGAUCCGCAAUCCUUCAAGGUUCGUUGUUUCGAUAAGCAACGCCAUAUCAUUUUGGUAUCAAGAAACGUCCUUUAUUCAUAAUUUUCCAACUUUCUUGCUGCCUAAGUAUCCUACUUCUACUUCAAUUAGGUUCUUGGUCUUUUUGAGUUUAAUUUCUAUUUUUUUUUCAGCUAAGUGUCUAUAGCUUUCGUUGGACUUUCCCAUGACUUGACAAGCUCGAUCUUGGUCUGCGUGCAAACCUCUAUCACAUGUAGUUGAAUACAGUAAUUUCAUACCAAGCUUACCCCACAGUACCUUCCAAAAGUGGCUAAGGAAUUUGACAUCUCUGUCAAAAACGAUUGUUUUAAGGAUGCCAUGAAGUCUUACCAUAUCUUUAAAAAAUAAGUCUGCCACAUGUGUAGCAUCAUCUGUUUUGUGACAAGGAAUAAAAUGUGUCAUCUUGGAAAACCUGUCAACAACAACAAAUAUACUAUCUCUUCCUUUCUUCGUUCGUGGCAAACCUAGAAUAAAAUCCAUAAAUAAGUCUACCUAUGGUGAAGUAGGAAUCGGCAAAGGAGUGUAAAGGAAGUGAGACAUUACCUUAGAUUUUGCUUGUUUACAUGUGAUGCACUUAAAACAUACCUUUUCGACAUCCUUCUUCAUAUGUGGCCAAUAGAAGUGUUCUUGCAAGAUGUCUAGUGUUUUGGUCACUCCAAAAUGUCCCAUUAAACCCCCAUUAUGGGUGAUACGAACCGGCUCGGUGAUGUGAAUCGAGUCGUUUAUGUGCCUAAUCAUUAAAAUGAAAAGUAUCGUCCGAUUUAAAAUAAAGGGUUAAAUUCAGCUAAAUAUGGUAUUUAGUUUCCAAAAUAGGAUCAAGAUGGCUAAGUAAGAUAUGUAAUGGAUUCGGUUAAGUGAAGAGGCUAAAGGUUAUUGAAGAUGGAUUUGCGGAUGGCUCGAAUGGCUUUAAGGUCAAGAAGGAACCAGUACUAAAAUGGAGUACUAACCCGAUUCUUAUAAGACACCUAAUGGUGGUGGAUAGGACCUUGACCCGCUAACUAUAUGAAUUAGGAACCAGAGGUAUCAAAUGGUUGAACACCACACUUGGGAUUGAGUGAUAAGUGCGAAGAAACAAGGAAGAUGCCACUAGCAAGCUAGAUAAGUCUACUUGAGUCUAAAAUGAAAUAAGAGAGUUGAAAAACUCACAAAAUGUAUAAACAUUAAUCAAAGGUUCAAAAGUUCCUUUACAAAUGAAAAAGUAAAAUAUUUAUAGCCUUUUACAAGCUAGCCAAAUAGUCAAGCUUAAAGGCUAAAAAAAGCUAAUAAAUUUCCAGAAUUAAUUCACUAAAAUGUCUUAGAGAAAUUCGGCUGAAUAGGAGCUUCAUUGACAAGCUUAAGAAUUAAGUAAAUGAAUCUUGCAAGAUGAAUGCACCGGUAGGCUAAGGGCCAUGUCUAGGUUUGGCCAAGCCCUUAAAUGUCUCAUUGAAUUGGCACCUUUUGGCUGAAUAGUUGGGAGCAUUAAGGAAAGUCUUUGAGAAGCCAAGUAAGUGUGAAAAGUCAGCUAUGAAGGGUCAUUUGUGUGUGAAAGCUCAAAGCCGAACGGUCUCUAGAUGUGGAAAGAACCUUCAGCCGAAUUAAACAAUUGGUGACCUUUGCAAUGCACGAUGGGCUACUUAGGGAAUAGUGGCCAACAAUCUGUAACUUAAAUGCAAGUCCUCUUUAAAUGUUGCUCAUUCACUCUCUCAAUUGGGUGGCAAAUUGAUGACAUUGUAGAGACCCAAAAAAAGGCAUUUGGGAAAGAGAGAAACAACAACUGACUCAACCAUAAUUCAAUGACCAUUGAUCUCCACGAAAAAGGGCUCAUAGGAAAUAAGAAUCAGCAACAACUUCUUUAAAUGACGUCCAUGCAUGGAAGGAGAAUCCGGCAGCUCCUUUAUGGCCAUCCCACGCAUGACUUCUUAAACUCUCCCUCAUUUAAUUGCCGUCCAAACACAAGGCUGCACAAUUAAUUCCAGAAAAUUUAAUGAGCUCAAGACACAAUAAAUUUCUGUAGCAACCACUUCUUUUAAUGCCGUCCAUGUACCUGCACCCAUCAACCAUUAAUUCACGUUAAGACAACAUUAAGUGGUUAACUAGACAUAUUUAAUUCGCAGCAUUAAAUUUGGCUGCACAAGACAACUUAAAUGGACAGAUUCAGCUGGACAAAUUAAUUAUCUACAAAUAUUAAUUUUGUCCUUAACUUGACACAUUAAAACAUGCAUUCAUUAAGAUCACAUUUAAACUGUGAUUUAAUUUGUUUAGAAUUUAAACACAUUAAACACGAAAUUAUUGGAGCUGAACUUAAAUUAUUUUAACUAACUUAAUCAAGUAAAAUUUAUUCCAGCAAACUAAAAGUAUAAAAUUAAAUAAAUUGAAGUUCAAGCUCAAUGAGCUAGAAUCAGCUCGAAUUGAGCUCCAUGGAGCUGGAACAAGCUAGUUCAGCUUGCAAAAGUUUACGAAUGGCACCUGAUGAGCUGCACCAAGGACGUUUUUGGGGCAGGUUCGUAUCAAUGGGCCUCAUGAAUCAAUAAGUCUCGCAUGGAACAAUUUGGUAUGCACAACCUGAUAGAGGGUUGCGCGCAGAUCAAGAUCGAGUUGUCAAGUCACGGGAAAUUCCUACAAAAGCUUUAGACGCUUAGAUCUGAAACGAAACUGAAAAUUCGGCUUAGAAUCAAUUAGAUCUGAAACGAAAAUACCCAAAUCAAUAAAAGAUCUGCCAAGAAUUAGAAAAACUUAUGAAUAGCUAAUCUUGGAUGCCAAGAACACGGAAUUGAAUUCAAGAUAGGUUCCAAACUGCCGACUCUGAAAAGAAGAACACAAAGCAGCAAGUUAAUUUUAAAAAAAACUCAGCAGAUCACGAAAUCAACUAGAUCCAGGGUUUGGACGGUAAUAAAGAGGGGUUUUGUGAAAUCAAAACGUUUCUUGUUUUCCAUGGUUGAUGCUGAAUAGAUCCUUGAAGGUUGAACGGGGCUGGAGAUUCAAAAAGAGAGUUUAAACAAGUUAGAUAAUGAAAUCAACACAAGCAGAAAAUUAAAAGAUUGAACAGCAAGAAGAAUAAAGAUAGCGUCCUAAGAAGUCUUGAAAUCGAGAAUGAUUUCACAACUCCCUUCAAACGGCUCUAAUCUCCCCUCCAAUGAAGAACAAUGGCAAGAAGAAGGUUGAAGAUGGCUCCCACAAUCAAAAAGAUCGUUAAAACUCCUUCUAAAGAAAACUCAAAGAACUCAAAGAGAAUUUUCACUCAACAAAACAAAUCUGAUUUCAAUGUAUUCCUCAAGUGUAAUGUAAUGUGUGUGGCCGGCCAAGCCUUACAUAUAUAGGCCUCUAUUACUUUCCUAACCCUAUUAGGAAAAACUAAAAAAACCCUAAUUAUUUGAUUAAAGGAAAAUUUGGCCAAGGCUAUUUAAAUGGACCUAUUGGACUAAAUGUUUACAUAGAAAUUAAUUUAUGAAGUCUAAAAUUUAAACUAAGUAUUUAAAGAGUUAAAACUUAACAAAUUGGGCCACUUUGACAAUUUGGCCUGAUUUUCAACUAAAUCUGAUUUAAAUUUUUGGAUUGGGCUUGGAACAUCUUAUUGGGCCCUGUCUUUAAGAAGUUGGGCUUGUAAUCUGUUCUCUCUUGAAAUUUGCUUGUUAAUGCUCGUAACUGAGAUCCAAUGUGCCUUAGUUGCAAGAUUCGAUUUCUUGGACCAAGAUUUCCAAGAUUUGAAAUCUUGAUUUUCUUGAUUCUUGAAAUCGCUCAAAACAGCAAAAUUGGACCAAGAUUCGGUUUCUUGAUUUUCUUGAAAACAAGAAAGUGAAUCUUGAUUUUCUUUUUCCUUUGUAUACGCAUCUAAGGCCUUUGUGACUCGUAUCAUUCCCCCUUCCUCAAAAAGAUUCGUCCUCCAAUCUGAAAAAUCAAAUGGAGAUAAGUCAGCCACAUUGAAAGUAGAACUUGUAGUCCAAUCAUAAGCAUAACAAAACAAGUAUAAUGCAUGCGAAUGGACAGAUUCAGAUUACCAUGCAAACAAGCUAAUUUACACGCCAAUGCCUCGUCAAAUAUUCAAAACAAAGAUGAAAAUGUUUUAAGGCAUUAAAUCAUCUCAAAUUGUUUCCACAAACCAUGAAUAAAUCGCGAGUAAUAAAUCAAAUGGUAAACGUAAUCAUCACAAGUAGGUAUUUGAAAAGGUUCACAUGGUUCACAGAGUUGCACAAUCAUACCAUGCAUUAAUCGACGGUCUAUAGAUUCACUCACACAUGCAUUAUCAAAAACAAGAAUCUUUUUAUCAACCACCAAAACAGAUAGAUCAUCAAUAAAUAAAAUAGGAAAGUCAAGCACGUUUCGAUCUAAGUGUUUUACAAAAAUUAAAUCAUCAACACGAUCUUUGUCACUAUCCGAGGAGUACAAAAGUAUUUCAAAAGUAUCAAGAAUCUUACCUUUAUAAGCAGAAGAAUAAGGGUCAAUCUUACCUUUUCCAUUUAAUACAAACCUUCGCUCAUCGGGGGCAUAGUGUAGUCGAAGCUCCAUUGUUGAGUUAACCUUUGUCAAAUGGAACUCAAACUUCAUUGACAACCACAGAAAUUGUUUAAGGCACAAAUAUAUAUUGAAAAAAAUUUGGAAAAUUUCGUUACCUUAUUCAAAAACCAAGUAUCAAAACAAUAGAAAGUAUUUGCACACAAUAGAUGAUGCUUGAUUUUCCAACAAAAUAUACCAAAAUAGAUUCUGGGUUUAAAAACUUGAUUUUGAUUAGUCAUGCCAAAGUGUAACAAAGAUUUCAUUAAAUCAAUCAAGUUAAACCAUGAGGAUUUUCGUAUACAUACCAACAUAUAUUCAAAACUUUUUUUAUUCACCAAAACAGAUUUGCACAAAUUCGCAGAUUUUACACUUGGCAAAUCAAGAGAAUAACAACUCACGCUUCCUUUCGUAAUGACUUUAUCAACCACAAUCAAGGAAUAACAAUUAAUCAGAUCAAAAUAAGGGGAUCUUUUAAGAACUAAGUCACCAAAAGUUUUAUCAAUAAUUUUCAAAUUUGCACGGGACUUGGUUGCUAAAAUUUCCUUACCUCGCUUACCUUCAGGCUUAUGUAGUGUGAUUUCAUCUUUGCCUAUGUUGAUCGUAUGAAAGCGUCUUUCAUUUGAGAGGUAUUGAAGUUGAAAGUUAUCUUUCGGUCUUUCGGGAACCUGAAAAGUAGCAACACAAGAAAAAUUCAUAUCUUGGUUAGUGGAAACAUUCCUCACUACCCUUUCCUCGUCUUUUUCUUUUGUUUCUUUUUCUAACUCAUUUUUUCUUCUUUCUUCAAUUUAUUUUUCAAUUCUCUUAUUUGUUUCCUUUUCACUCUCAAUCUCUUUUUGCUCUUUUUCAUUCUCUUUUUCUUUCUUGAUUUCUUUUUCUGUCUUCCUUUCAUUACAAGAUAGAGAUGUUACAAAUGAAUCAGAACGAAAAGACUCUCCUUGGGUACGUACGGAAUGACUUGCAUCUGAAUAAUGAUCACCUUUUCGAAAUUGAUUCUCAGUGGACGAGUUCCUUGGGGCAUACGAAGGAUUACUUGUGAUUUCUUGUUCGUCACCUUGGAAAACUUCACGCUUGAAACUUGCUUUGCAUCAUCUUGAAUUUCUCGUUGAAUAAGAAUCAUGAUAUGAAUCUCUUCUCAAAUAUUCAUUGGAUGAUCAUCCUCUUAGCACUCUCAUUUUUUCCCAUUCACUUGAAUUAAGUUGUCCUCGUUGGGCUCUUUUCUCCACUAGGUUCAAUCGCAUCUCAUUGAUAGUAGCACUCAAUGUUUGAAGUAUGGCAUUUGUUUGUGUGAUUGUAGCAGCCCGUUUGUCUAACUGUUGUUGGAUCUUUUUAAAUUUGUCAUGGACAUCGUUAUGGUCAUCAUCAAAUUGACCCAUUCUAUGUAUCUUUUCUUUUUCUUUUGGAAUACCUGCAAAACAAACACUCAACACUCCAAAAUUUUUUUUUUAUCAAACCUCACCAUUAAUCACUCAAAAAGAAAAAAAUCAAAUUCUUAAUGAGGUAGAAUUCAGUCUUGUGAGUUCUUUAGUAGAUUCUAUAUCAAUCAAUUAGAAAGUGUAAGAACCGUAACUACCAAUUUAUCCUAAUUGCAGUAGGAAUCCAAAAAAAGUGACGAGACACCAAUUGAUUUGUGUUGCACCGAGGAAGAAUUGUGCACACUUUUAAAUCCUACUAACACAAGAAACAACAAGGUGUUAGAUAGUGUAAAGGAAGAAUAAAAGCAAAACAAAUGAAAUCCUACAGCUAAGAAUCAAUAAAAAUUGUUGAUACCCAAAAACCUGAAAAAUUGCGGAGUAACUUGACAAACUUCGUUUGAGGUGUUCCCGAUCUCCAAAAAUCACGAAAUUUAAACAGGAAUGUCCUUAAAUAUUGUAUAUUUGAUCUGGAAAGUUUUGGCACUAAACUCAACCCGCUGAAUAUUUUUUUAAUUUUUAUUUGAUUUCGUCUUUUUUAAUUUUUUUGACUUUUCUACUGAUAAACACCGCAAACAAAUUAAGCACAACAUUGUCAUUUUAUGUUGAGUUUUAGUGGCAUUAGUGGUGAUUUUUGAAAAAUGUUGUUAUAGAUCGAGCAUUAGCGACGUUUCUUUAAAAACGCCAUUAUAGAUCGAUCAUUAGCGGCGCUUUUUGAAAAACGCCGCAAAAAAUUCAGUAAGACUUGUUUUAUGGUGAGCUUUAGUGGCAUUAGUGAUGCUUUUUGUAAAACGCCGCUAUAGAUCGAGCUUUAGCGGUGCUUUAUCAAAAACGUUACAAAAAUACAUUUUAUCUGUCUAUUUAUUAUUUAACUAUUUUAUUUUUAUUAAUUAAAAUACAAUUUAUUUUAAUUGAAUAUUUAAAUUCUUCAAAAAAAUAAUGACACGUAGAAAAAAUUUAAAAGUAAAAACAUAGAAAAAUAUUUGUUAAAAAUGAAAAAAAUUAAAAUACUAUUAUUUAAAGUAACUUUAAAGUUUUUUGGGUACAUGACUGAUUGUUUUUUAAUUUAUAUAUUAAAUAAUUUCUUAUAUAAUCGUAAAAGAGAUAGUGUUAAUUUUAAAAUAUUGAAUUAAUUAUCAUUAUAUUUUAGGGUUUAUGAUUUAUGGUUUAAGGGUUAGGAGUUACUAUUUUAAGGUUUAUGGAUUAUGGGUUUAGGGAUUAUGGAUUAUGGAUUAUGGUUUAAAGGUUGGGGUUUAAGGGUUAAGGGUUAGGGGUUUAGGUUUUAUGGUUUAUGUUUUAUGAUUUAGGGUUUAAGGGAUAGGGGUUAGGGAUUUAAGGUUUAGAUUAAUUAAUGUUUUUUAAUUUAUAUAUUAAAUAAUUUAUUAUAUAAUUUUAAAAGAGAUAAUAUUAAUUUUAAUAUAUUAAAAUUAUGAUUAUAGUUUAAGUUAUUUAAGAGAUAAUAGAUAAACUUUAUAUACAUUAAAUGGUUUAGGAUUUAAGGUUUACUUGAGAUUUGUUAAAUAACGAAAUUUUAUACAAUAAAUUAAUACUUUUAUAUUUAAAAAUAUUUAAUCUAAACCAUUUGAUAUAUUUAGUUAUUAGAUUUAAAAAAAACAUUGAUAAAUAAUAAAAAAAGUAACAGACUGAUAUGGAUAGGUAACUAUCUAUUUUGGAUAGGACCAAAUUAUAACAAAAUAAAAAUGAAAUACAAAAACUAAAAUCAUUCCACAUCGAACAUCUAGCAAAAUAGUUAUAUUUUAGUUAGGAAGAAAUAUCUCUAAUAAAAUGGAGAUUAGAUCGAAAAAGAAUAAUAUAAAAUUAUGAUUAACGUCUCAAUCUUUAAUAGAAAUUUGAUAUGUGAGAGAUUGAUUGCUUACAUUGGAUAAUUCUAACUUAAUAAUUUGAUAUGCUGAUGUCUUUCCAUGUGUGUAUGAACAUGUAGAUGUGGAGCUAUGCUUUAAUUUUCCUUAGAAACUAGAUGAAAUUUCUUUGAUUUUCUUUUAGGUCUGUUUAAGAAUGUAUACUUAUUCUUGCCUUUUUUUCCCCCUCUUCACCCUGAGUGUCUAUUUAAGUAAUAUUAGUAUGAAUUUUGUUGAGGAUGCAUUCUUCCUUAUCUUAUAGCACAAGUAUAUGCAUUUUGUCGGUAAAGAUGGAAAUGGUUUUUUUUGGUAGUUUAUAGUAGAGGACUUGAUCCAUUCAUUACUUUGUGGUAAAUGCUGAAACCAUUUUGAUUUAUGUUUUUUUAUCUUUGAAUGAUGUUAUUAGUGUUGUAUACAGAGUUAGUGUUUAUUUUUUGUUUUUGGAUGGCAUAAAAAUGUUCUCUAAGUUAUUUAUUUUUGAAAAGAGAGAAAAAUAUUCUGGUAAAAGUGGCAGUUUAGCCUUUAACUUUUAAAAAGGUUGAAUCUAUUCAAUGCUUUUCUCUUCUCCUGCCCUUGACAGCACAUUCAUUUGACAGGAUAAUUUGGAAACCCUGUUGCAAGAGAAGGACAUUCAGGUUGAUCUUGUCUGUUGCUUGCAGAAUUUGCAGGUAUUUUGUGUAGUUUAAGUUGUGAACAUUGGGUUUUGAUUUGUCAUGUGAACAUCUAUGAUGAAUCUGAAGUGCAUUUCUAUUCUUCUAUUUGUAGUUAAGAUUUGAAACUGAAGACAAAGCAAGGAGACUUCUAAGUAAUGUGUCAUUUUUGUUGAAACCAGCGAGUUAUUUUUUCGGUAUUACUCCUGACUCAUCUACCAUAUGGUAUGAAAAAGUGAUUGGCAAAUACCGCUGUUUCUAGAUUUGUGUAUUUUCCUUUUUUCUUCUUCUGGUUACUGCUGCACCUGUUGAACUUAAAUCGGAGGCAACAUCGAGAGAAGCUGAGGUUCAAAGAAAAUAUGAAGAACUCCAGCUACAACUUAAAGAAGAGGCAGCAGCGAGGGAAGCAGAGCAAACCAGAAAGUACGAUGCACUCCAGCUACAGCUUCAGAAUAUGAUGAAGAUAUUUCAGCAGUUGCAAAAUCCGGCAUCUUAAACAUUUGUUUUCUUAUUGUAAGAAUAUUUUGAAUUAUAUUUCAAUUAUCAAUUUAUAUCAUAUAUCUUUUGUUGAACUUGAAGUAUCAUUUUAAUUUGCAAUUUUUGGUUGGAUUUCAUGCUACAGGAAAGGUUGUAUAUGGAUGAAAAUUGAAUGUUACAAAUCUGCCAAAGUUAGUGGCAUUUUUUCAUAAACGCUGCUAAAGAACGAUACUUUUAGCGGCGUUUGUGAUAAAAGCAUUGCUAAAGACCACUAAAGGUCAUGUUCUUUUGCGGCGUUUGUGGGUAAAGCGUUGCUAAAGGACAUGUUCUAUAGCAGCGUUUUUUUCACAUAAACACUACAAAAUUUAGCGGUGUUGUCUAUAGUGGCAUUUUUUACGGAGCUUGUAAAAGUGCCACAAAUAGUUUUAGCGGUGCUUAAGAGGUUGUAAUGCUUACCUUGCUUAUGUAUUGGAUACUAAAGUGUCUGAGUCGAAGCUUGAAUCAGUGCCAGUUGUUCGUGAGUAUCUUAAUGUGUUUUCAGAGAAAUUACCUGGAUUACCAUCGGUCAGAGAAGUUGAAUUUGCUAUAGAACUUGUUCUGGGAACAACACCAAUAUCGAUAGCACCGUACAGAAUGGCUCUUAAAGAGUUAAAAGAGUUGAAAGCACAAUUACAAAAGUUGACUGAUAGAGGAUUUGCUCGACCUAGCUUUUCACCUUGGGGUACACCAAUUAUGUUUGUUAAAAAAAAGGAUGGAUUGAUGAGAUUAUGCAUUGACUACCGUCAGCUUAACAAAGUUACAACAAAAAAUAAAUAUCCAUUGUCUUGUAUUGAUGAUUUGUUUGACCAGUUGAAAGGUGUCACAAUGUUCUCAAAGAUUGAUCUUCGUUCUGGAUAUUAUCAGUUACGAGUGAAAUAUUCGGAUGUACCAAAAAUAGCAUUCAGAACCAAGUAUAGACAUUAUGAAUUUCUUGUGAUGUCGUUUGGUUUAACAAAUGCACCUGCAGUAUUUAUGGACUUGAUGAACAGAAUUUUCAGACCGUAUUUACACAAUUUUGAUGUGGUAUUUAUUGAUGAUAUUCUGAUAUAUUCUUGAGAUGAGACUGAACAUGCCGAGCAUCUGAGAAUUAUUCUGCAAACUUUGCGAGAUAAACAAUUGUUUGCUAAAUUUAGCAAAUGUGAGUUUUGGCUUUGGGAAGUUGGUUUUUUGGGAUACAUAGUAUCGGUUGAAGGCAUCAGAGUUGAUCCGAAUAAAAUUGUAUAUAAAAAAUGUAUCUGAAGUUAGAAGUUUUCUGGGGUUACCUGGUUAUUACCGGAGAUUUGUAAAAGGGUUUUCGAUGAUAGCUACACUGAUGACAUAGCUAUUACAGAAAGAUGUGAAGUUUGAAUGGUCUGAUAAAUGUCAAUAAAGUUUUAAUCAGUUGAAAGCCCUGUUGACUGAAGCAUCAGUUCUGGUUCAGUUUGAAUCGGGUAACGCGUCAUUGAACGGAUUAGGCUGUGCUUUAAUGCAAGGUAAGGUAAUAGCUUAUGCUUCCAGACAAUUAAAGCCACAUGAAAAGAACUAUCCGACACAUGACUUAUAGCUGGAAAUUUUUGUAUUUCCGUUAAAAAUUUAGUAACACUAUUUGUUUGGUGAAAAAUGUCAUGUAUUUACCGAUCAUAAGAGUUUAAAAUAUCUGAUGUCACAGAAAAAUUUGAAUCUAAGACAAAAUAGAUGGCUCGAACUGUUAAAAGAUUAUGAGUUGGUUAUUGAUUAUCAUCCGGGAAAAGCAAAUGUAGUUGCGGAUGCUCUGAGUAGAAAGUCUUUAUUUUUCUUACGAGCGAUGAAUACCCGAUUGUCAUUGUCCGAUGAUGGCACAAAUUUAGCUGAGUUAAAAGCUAAACUGAUGUUUCUACAGCAGAUCUGCGAAGCUUAGAAAUGUGAGAUGAAUUGCGAGCUAAACGGGUAUAGUGUGAGUUAACUUCUAAUUUAGAAUUUCAGAUAAGACUCAAUGAUUGUUUAUUAUUUAGAGGUGAAUUUGUGUACCGAAGAAUCCAGAGCUUAUACAGAAAAUUUUGCUCGAAGCUCAUAGUGCUAGUAUGUCUGUUCAUCCCGAAAGUAAUAAGAUGUACAAUGAUUUGAAACAGAUGUACUGGUGGCCAGGAAUGAAAUGUGAUAUUUUAGAUUUUGUAUCUAAAUGUUUAAUAUGUCAGCAAGUUAAAGCUGAACAUCAGGUACCUUCAGGAUUGUUACAGCCAGUAACGAUACCAUAAUGGAAAUGGGAUAGAGUUACUAUGGAUUUUGUAUCGGGGUUACCCUUAUCUCUGAAAAAGAAAUAUGUUAUUUGGAUUAUCAUUGACCGUUUGACGAAGUUUGCACAUUUUAUUGCGGUACGUAUAGAUUUUUCACUUGACAGAUUAGCGGAGUUAUAUGUUUCAGAGAUUGUCAGACUACACGGAGUUCCAAUCUCCAUUAUCUCAGAUAGAGAUCCUCAGUUUACAUAACGAUCCUGGAAAAGUUACAAGAAGCUCUAGGUACACAAUUGCAUUUUAGCACUGCAUUUCACCCUCAGACUGAUGGUUAGUCCGAGCAUGUGAUUUAGAUUCUUGAAGAUAUGCAUUGUUGCUAUAUUUUAGAAUUUAAAGGCAAUUGGGAGAAACAUUUGUCGUUAGUCGAAUUCGCAUAUAAUGAUAGUUUUCAGACAAGUAUAAAAAUGGCACCAUAUGAGGCUCUGUAUGGUCACAAAUGCCGAACUUCGUUAUAUUGGACUGAGCUCAGUGAGAAAAAGAUACAUGGAGUUGAUUUGAUUCGUGAGACUGAGGAAAAAGUGAAAGUGAUCUAAGAUAGCUUAAAAGUAGCUUCGGAUCGUCAGAAAUCCUAUGCGAAUCUUAAACGUAAAUAAAUAGAGUUUCAAGUUAGUGACAGGGUGUUUUUGAAAGUUUCACCCUGGAAGAAAAUUCUUCGGUUAGGUCGUAAAGGAAAAUUGAUUCCACCAUUUAUUGGGUCAUAUGAGAUUAUUGAAUGAAUAAGACCUAUUGCAUACCGAUUAGAUUUACCGUCAAAAUUUGAAAGAAUCCAUAAUGUCUUUCACGUGUCUAUGUUAUGACAGUAUUGAUCUAAUCCUUCACAUGUUAUCUCUGCGAUAGAUGUCGAGAUUCAACCUGACAUGACAUACAGUGAAGAACCGAUUAAAAUUCUGGAACGAUAAGUGAAAGAAUUGAGAAAUAAAAAUGUAGCUUUAGUAAAAGUUCUUUGGAAACGACACAGAAUAGAAGAAGCUACCUGAGAACCUAAGGAAACUAUGAGAAAGCAACAUCCGAACCUUUUUACUGGUAAGAUUUUCGAGGACGAAAAUUUCUUUGGGGGUAGAGUCGUAAUAGCCUGUUUUUAGUGAAAUUGAAAUAGUGGUUUCGGGACCACAAAUCCAAAGUCGGAUGAAAAUUUAUUUUAAUAUUAUUUUAUUGUCUACAGUAUGAUAGAAAUAUUGUAUAAAAAUUUUGUUAAGAAAUUUUACCGUUUACAUGUCUAAUUUGAUAAAAAAAGAGACUAAAUUGCAUAAAGUGCAAAAGUUGAAUUCUAAUAGCUAAAGGUAUUAAAUAACUAUAGAAUUGUAAAUUGGAGGUCCUUAUAUAGUAAAUAGACCAUUUACAGUAGUUAGUGGAUAAGAAUGAUUAUUCAUCAUUGGAAAUUUAAUAAACUAUUAAGGUUAAUUUUCAAAAAUUAAUGAUAAAAUGAUGAUAAAUAAAUAAAAUAAAAUAAACUAUUAUCAUUUUCAUCAUCAUCCACCAAAAAUAAAAGAAAACCCUAGCCAUGGAAGUUUGAGUUUUAGCAAACUUAUUUUACUCAUUUAGGUAAGCAUUCUUGUCCUCUUUUUUAUGAUUUUUAUGUUUCUGAGAUUGUAAUAGCUUAAUCUAACCAGCUCAGGGAUUAAUUUGCAAAAUUGUUAAAGUUAGGGUUUUUCCAUGGAUGAGUAUACUUGAAUUUUGAAAUUUUGUGAUAGAAAAUGAAAUGUUAUUGUUAGAUAAACAACUUUUGUAAAGAUAAUUUUGAUGAAAUUAUCAAUUAGGGAUUAAAUUGAAAAGAUGAUAAAUUUGUGGUAAAAUUGUGAAUUUUAUGAAAUAUAUGUGCUACUAUUAAUAGGUAUAAAAAUUGGCUAAGCUUGAGUAAGGAUUAAAUUGUAAUAAAUUAAAAGUAUAGGGGCAUAAUAGUAAUUUUACCAAAAAUGUGCUGGACUAAAUUGAAUAUGAAUUAUAUUGAAUUGAGUUAAAUUCAUUCGUAUAGAUCUGGAUAGCCCUCGAACAUAGCUAGAUCGAGGUAAAGAGAAAAUAUCAGAUUAGCAGCCUUCGUAUCUGCGUACAUUUAUCGAGGUAAGUUUGUGUAAUUAAAUUGUACAUUAAUAUGUGUUUAAUUGAAUAUUGUUUGUGAAUUGUACAAUUGCCAUGAAUAAAUAUCGAUUGUAUAUCUGAUAAUUAUCGAGUCUUGUUUGAAUAGAAUGAAUUUGUAGGAUACAAAUGACAAUGUCAUUAGGGUUAACGAUUUGGUUGGGGUCCUACAUGUGUUGUGGACACACCACAGCUCUUAUGAGCUUCCCGAUAUUUAGCUUGCAUGAGCUUCCCAUUAUUCAGCUCGGACGAGCUUCCCGUUUACAGCUCGUAUGAGCAUAAAUGUACAUGAAUUGAAGGAUUACAGUUCAGUACACUUCGUGUGUACUACCCGUAUAUCCAACAAUAUUCUAAAUGGUUCAACGGACACAAUUCUGUUAUGAAAUUAUAUGAGUUCGAUAUGAACUAUUAACGGUAUAUACAUGAAAUAUGAUUAUUUGAUGAAUUCAACCAUGUGUGUUAGAUUUUAUAUGUGAUUUCCAUGGCUAAUAUGUUUGUGAUCAUGUGUUUAGGCUUUUGGCUAAAUUGAUUGUGAUAUGCUUUGUUUAGUUACCUAAUUUAUGAAUAUAAGGUAAGUUAAAUUUUGUAUUAUAUGAAUUUACUAAGCUUAAAUGCUUACUUUGUGUUAUUUUUCGUGUCUUAUAGUAAUUCAAAAGCUCGUACAGGUUGGAAGCUGAUCAGAGCUAUUUCACACUAUCCAUCGACUCUUGUGGUACUUUUAAUAAAUCAAUAUCGGAUAUAAUGGCAUGUAUAGGUUAUUUUGGUCAAUGUUAGUAUAUAAAUGUUUUGUUGAGACAAGUCAUUUGAAUGGCUUGUGUUGGUAUAUUUUAAUGUAUAUAUGUAAGUGACUUGUCAUGUUCGAUGUGUGAGUGAUAUGGUAGAAUAACAGAAAGUAAAAUGUGGCUUGGAAAUGGCCUAUUUUUUUUUGUCCACAUGGGCGGAGACACGGGCGUGUGUCUCAGCCGUGUGUGACACACGGCCAGGUGAACCGGCUGUGUGUCCCCUUUACCUUUAAAUUACGGAAGUCAGUAUACUCAACAUGGCCUAGGACACCAGCAUGUGACUUGGUCGUGUGACCCAAGUCAGAGAGUUACACGGGCAUGGACACAGGCUGGGACACGGUCGUGUGUCCCUAUUUUAAAUGCCCACACGACCUGAGACAUGGGCGUGUCUCCUGAUCGUGUAAAUCACACGGUCUGACCACACGGCUUUGUGUCCCCUGCAUCUUUAAAAAUUUUUCAUGUUUUCAGAAAAAUUCUUUGAGUACCCCAUCCAGUCCCGACUUGAUUCUUACUUGUAUUUUAGGUCUCGAUGGCUCAUAUAAGGGACAAUAUGAUUGAUUUAGAUUCAUUUCUGAUAUGAAUGUUAUAUCAUAUGAAAAGUCUGAUUAAUUGAUCCGUAAACUCUGGUAAUGCUCCGUAACCCUGUUCAGCAAUAGAUACGGGCUAGGGGUGUGACACCUUUGCAUUGUACACAAUUCAUUCAAUUCAUUAUUAUUCAACUUCUCUUUUGAGUUUAUAAAUUCUCUUUGAGUUUUCUUUUUAAGAAUUUCUCGAGUUUCUUUUAGAAGAGUUUUAACAAUCUUUUAAGAUUAUGGGGAUCAUCUUUAAACUUUUUCUUGCCAAGUUUUCUUUCUUGGAGGGGAAAUUAGAGCCGUUUGAAGUGGGUUAUGGAUUCUUCGUGUUUCUAAGGCUUCUACUUACCAAGUUCUAUCUUUCCAUCUAUCUUCUUUAUUUUCUUCCUUGUUAUUCUAAUCAUAGAUUUAUUAUUUUAUUUUAAUUAUCUUAGUUAUUUAUGUUAACUGUUUUAUGUAACUUGGAUUUGAUUACGUUUCAGGUUGUGUCAAAAAUACAAGUUUCUUUUCGAACGUAUAGAGCCUUAAGCCAAAUUUGCGACUUUGACAAACUUUAUGAUCCGCUUCCGCAUUCAUCAGUCUCAUUAUUUAUCAUUUGGUAUCAAUAGGUUAAAGCACAUUGCACAUUCCUUCCUCCGUGCAACAUAAUUCUUUUAAUGUUUAGUCGAUUUUGGACUCAUAGUGAUAUUAGGCAUUCCUACUAAUUCACAAUACUAAGAUUGGGAGGUUGAGAAGGGAUUAAGAGAUUCGAAAUGCUCAAGAUCAACAAUGUGACACUAUUCUAGACACGAUCAACAAAAAUUUAGAAUGUCUAAGUAUAAAAAUUGAGCGUCGGAAUUGUAAUUGGGAAGAUAAGAUUGAUAAGCCUCAUCUUCGUGCAAAUAGUGCUCGAUGUGUCUCUCGUGCAAAUGAUGAGACUUUGGUUAAUAAUGGUCGUAUGCAAAAUUUUUUUAGCUAAACCAAGGUUCAACAUUCCACAAUUUCGAGGGAAGUAUGAUCCCAAAGCAUAUUGUGAGUGGGAAUAAAAAAUUGAACUUAUGUUUCGUUACUGUAAAUGCUGGGAAGAGGGAAAAGUCCAAUUGGUGACACUUGAAUUUUCAGAUUAUGCGUUGAUUUAAUGGAUUCAACUUGGAAUUGAUCGUCAAAGAAACCACAAAAGGGCAAUUGAAACAUAGGACGAGUUGAAGCAUGUGAUGCAAAAGCAUUACGUUCCUUCUCAUUACUGUAGAGAGGUCUCAAUGAGACUUCAACGCCUUGUUCAAGGUAAUUGAUCUAUUGAUGAAUACUUUAAGGAGAUGGAGAUGCUUAUGCAAAGAGCAAAUAUACGAGAGGAUGAAAAAACUACCAUGGUGCAAUUUGUAGAUGGCUUGAAUGUUUCGAUAGUUAAUGCUCUUAAUCUUCAAACCUAUAUUGAUCUUGAGAAGAUGGUACACAAGGCAAUUGAGAUUGAGCAACGAUUUCAGCAAUAUCAAUCUCGUCAAUUUGCCGCAUCACACUAUUAUCAAGGUACAAGUUCUAAUUCUACUUUCAACAAUUUGAAACCUUCUUAUGCUAUUAAUAAGUUGCUGCCAAAACACGCUGAGACUAAACCUUUUGAUGGAAAAGUGGGCUCCUACAAAACAUUCUUCUACAUCUUUCAAGCAGCUCAAUUCUACUAAUUUUUCACCAAAACAACAAAGAGCUAGUGCCACUGAAUGUUUUACGUGUAAAAGGCAUGGACACUAUAGUCGUGAUUGUGCCAACACGAGACUUUUGUUGAUAAAAAAAGAUGGUAAACUUUGUGAACCCGAAAAAAAUGAUAAUGGGAAUUCUUUCCUUGAAUCUAUAAAGUUAGAUGAAAUAGAAAUGUCAUGUUCUCCAACUGAGAUAUAUUGUACUGAAUUGAAUAUUCAUAAUACUUGUGAAAGGGAUAUGGGAAGUGAGGAAAAAUCAUGUGAAAAGAUAGAGAAAAUAGACCUUUAGUGAUAAAAGUCUACUUAAUUGUCAAAAUUUAGUGAGUGAAAAUCCAUAUGAGGUAAAAUUGGAGAGUUCUCAAGUGGAAAAUGAAAAUGAAAAGCAAGAAAAUACCCAUACAAAAGCAAGGAAUGAUUAUCUUUUAACUGACUCUAACUUAAAUUUGUUUAGUGGUGUUUCUUUGUUACAUGAUUUCAAGGAUCCAUUGACGGACUCUCAAUUAUAUUACUCUACCAUCGAUAGACAAUUUUACUUGUGGGAAACAGGUAAGUUGAACAUUGAUAAUCCUCCACAGGUGUUAGAAGGUAAGAAAAGUAAUGAUACAUCAAAAAUUGAAAUAUGUAGGCAUACUUUGAAUGUUUUUUAUAAGUAUGCUACUAAUUUUAUUUUUUUUCUUACGACAUACUUUCUUAUUGGUCAAGUUUCAAUAAACAAUGGUUUGAAAGUUCAAUUGAUUUUAUGGGUUUAUCUAGGUAUUUAAAGUUUACUUUUGUUGCAUUCGACAGGUUUGUUAAAAAACCUCAUGCAUUUGAUCUUGCAACAAAAUUUUCUACCUUAAACUCUAAAUAUGAAUUUUUACAUAAUAAUAUUAAACUACUUGAUUUUAUAAUUAUGUGAAAUUCUUGACUCAUCGUUGGAAAUUCUUAUGGAUGACCAUGUAUAUUAAACGAAAGUUACAAGUUAUUUUUUACUUGAACACUCAUGUGCCUAAUAUUUCUUUGUCUAGUGUUAAUGGUUUGUUUUUUAAGGAGAGAUACUUGAUCCACGCUGAUUUAGGAUAUCAAAAUCAUAUCUUUGAUCCUGAAGAUAGUUUUAGCGCACAAGAAAGCUUAGGUAAGUAUUUUAUUCAUUUUAUUUAUUCUAAUCCCUUUUCUUUCUAUGCAGCUAAAGAUUCGGUGGUGAAUCGUCUUGAGGAAAGGGGAAUGAUACGAGUCUCAAGGCACAAUUUUAGACCCAUGAAUGUGAUUGGACUCACACUAACUCAAGGCUCAACAACAGUGUCAAAGGCUAAGCAAAUCAAAUCAGGAUUUGAUCAAAGACAAGAUUCGAUGACGAAUCUUUUUGAGGAAAGGGAGAAUGAUACAUACACAGAUGGGGUGAAAUUUAUGAAAUCUCAAUCACCAAAGCUGCUAAUUUUCAAGCUUGGGAAAUCAAUAGACUUGCGAUGACUUUUUGGAUGGGAUCCUGGUAUUUAUGGGAUGAGAUGUCUCAUGGCGUUUGAAAAUCUAUCUCUUAGCUUUGAAACGUAUUUUGAAUCACUCAAUUUUGAGUUCGGGAGCUCAAUUUAUGACUGUUUUAGUGAAGACUGCGUGAGCAGAAUUUCUGAAUGGGAUUAUAACGGGAAUUACGAAUUUUAGGUUUUUAAUUCAAGUUUAAAUCGUAUUAGGUUCGGCUUUAGGUUUAAUUUUUAUUAUAUAUGAUCCCAAUAUUGUAGUUAUCAACUCUAAUUAUUUUAUUAUUAUUUUAUUCCAAAUUUUUUAUAAUUAUUAAGUAUUUUAAGUUAUUUAGGAGUUUUAUGUUAACAAGAAAGUUUAGUUUAAAACUACUUCUUGUUUAGAUUAAAUUAGAGUUCUAGUAUACUUAAGAGUUUUAUUUAUAUUUAUUUAGCUAGCCUAUAUAUAGGCCUUUGCAUUGUACAGAAUUCAUUCAAUUCAUUAUUAUUCAACUUCUCUUUUGUGUUUAUAAAUUCUCUUUAAGUUUUCUUUUUAAGAAUUUCUCGAGUUUCUUUUAAAAGAGUUUUAACAAUUUUUUUAGAUUGUGGGGAUCAUCUUCAAACUUUUUCUUGCCAAGUUUUCUUUAUUGGAGGGGAAAUUAGAGCCACUUGAAGGGGGUUGUAGAUUCUUCGUGUUUCCAAGGCUUCUUAGGACAUCUACAUACCAUGUUCUAUCUUUCCAUCUAUCUUCUUUAUUUUCUUCCUUGUUAUUCUAACCAUAGAUUUAUUAUUCUAUUUUAAUUAUCUUAGUUAUUUAUUUUAAUUGUUUUAUGUAACUUGGAUUUGAUUGCGUUUCAGGUUGUGUUAAAAAUCCAAGUUUCUUUCCGAACGUCUAGAGCCCUAAGUCAAAUCCUUGACUUUGACAAACUUUACAGUUUGCUUUCGCAUUCAUCCGUCUCAUUCUUUAUCACUCAUCCCCACCAAAAAUAUUGUUGCCCCUAACUCUGUCACAGGUUAUAGUAACGAGCUCACCGCCUUUAGUGGAGAUGGAUAAAACAAAUUACUUGAUUAUACUGAAAGGCCCCUAUGUUUUUUGUCUUUAACUUAUGUAUGGGUUUUAUAGAGUAUCAUCCUUUGAUGAGGUGAAACUCAUUGUCAUGGUCGCACAACCACUGCCAACCGGGGCCUCAUUUAUGCUUUAUCUCUUGACAACAUAAUUUUUGUAAACUUGAAGCCCUAGUUACACUUCAGCUCGAGACCGUAUAAUCACCGUCAAUUGGGACCUUGAGUUGCAACACGAUCUGGUUUCUCAGGUGAUGACUCUAUACUCACAUGACAGAUGAAAUUUGUAGGUCACCGAGCUUCAUGAAAUCACCAUAAAUUCAAACAUACCUUAAAACUAUAACAAUGUCUAUUUCAUAUACAGACAAAAAUAAAUCUAUAAACUUCUAAUUUUCAACCGAAAAAAAAGAAAAAAUAAUUUUCAACAAAGUGAAUGUGACAUGUUUUCAUUUCUCUCCAAAAACAGCAUAUUCCGAUAAAUAUAAAAAAAACAACAUAAAUCCUUAAAUUUAAAAAAUUCAACAUAUAUGUUUAAGUCAGCCCCAUAUAUAUAUACUUCCACAUUUUCAUAUUCUAAUUUAUUCUUUUAAUUAAUUUGUAUUUAAUAUUUUUAUCUUAUAUAAUAUAUUAAUUUUAAUUAUUUUUCUAAAAUAAUUAAAUAAUAAGUUUUUUCUUUAUUAAUGUCAAACCCCCGUACCUGACCCGAUCGCCAGAUUAAGGCAUCGAAAUGUCACAUUUGUUGCUGGAUCAACUACAAUUAUUUACAUAUUGAUUUAGCUUUUUAUUCAAAUUUCUAUGCUCAUUACACAUUUAUAACAUGAUUUAUAAAUAACUCCGAGCUUUAUACAAGCUUAUGAAAGCUCUCUUAAUGUCCUAUAGUUGAUUAAGGACUAAAAUAUAAAAUUUCAAUCUUCCGAGUUGACGUCACAACUUCGAGGAUUCCACAUUGUGAAACCACUCACUGACUUAGCUCGUCGCGACAUGGUUUCUAUCUCCAUGACUCCCAUGAAUUUCUAUUCACAACUCCUAAAACAAUGUUCAUAUACCACAUUUCAAUUAAAUUCAAUCAUUUGUUUCCACUAAAAAUCUUUUAGGGAGGUUGUUUUAACCUAUGUACAUGUCAUAUUCUAUACCAUAAAAUUUAUUACAUACUUUUCUUCUAACCUUUGAUGAUGUGAUCAGAUAUGUUGAAGUCGCUACUUCGAACAACUUGAAUCUAGAGCUCUAAUCUGAUCUUCCACCUAUGCGUUUAAAACAAACAUUAAGCUUGUAAAAGCUUAGUAAGUACAUCAAGAAUUAAACUUACCAUUACCUUAAUUAAAUUUAAGGUGUCAAUACUUUAAAUAUAACAUAAUUUAAGAAUUUUAUUAUACCUAUUAAAAUUCAAGUAUAAAAUAUGUGAAAUUGUUAUAUUAGUAGUUGUAUGAUUAACUUAAAAAUAUUUGUGUUAUUAUUUAAUUUGAAAUUGAUUAAAGUAUAGUGAAGAUAUUCAUUUAAUUUAAUUUCAAAGUGAAUUAAUGUUGUGUAAUGAAAGUAUGAAAUAAGUGAUUAAAUUGUAAAGUGUACAAAAGUUAAUGUGUAGAAUAUAGUAUUAUGAAUAAAUGCUUAAUUGAAGUGGGUUGAUAGCGGUUAUGAAAUUUUAUAUUGAUAGACUAAAUUGUAAAAUACUAAAAAGUGUAUACUUCAAGGCUAAGUAAAUCCAAUAGCCAUAAUUAUCCAGCCAUAAUUCAUCCACACAUUUAAUGGUAUUUUGGUAAUUUUACUCAAUUUUUUACUAAAUGACCAUUUUACCCUUGGUCAAGUUUUAUAUUUCCAUUUAUUUCCUUUCUACUUUUGAAUAUUUUUACUUUUAGUCCUUUAAUUUUUGAAUUUACACUUUUAACCCUUCAACUUUUGAAUAUUCUCAUUUUCACCUCAUCAAUUUUUACUUUUUCACAAUUUAGUCAAUACCUCAGCAAAAUUUAACCUUAAUAUAAUCAUGACCAAAUAUAAUUUUGAUAACUUAAAUUCAUCACAAUUAAAAUUUACGUUCAAUGUUUUAAGCGAUUGAUAAUUAUUAAAAAGAAAACCUUUACUCAAAACAAAAGUAAAUCCGAUUCAUUAUACAAAUAAACUAGAACUAUAAAACUUUUAGAAGAUUAAAAUCCUUCUACAAGAUACAUUAACUUUAAAUAAUCAAAUUUUUUUCCAAAAAUUAUAGGUAGCAAAUGAAUACAUUGUUUUAUAUGCUUUAUCAAUGCUACAUAUGAAAGUUUCACUUGAAUAAAGCAUCCCUGUAUAACACAAAUUUAAAACUAAUUCAAAUUUAAUUUUUACUGACGAGUACAUAAAUUUAUUAUUUGUCACCUCUGAUCAUUUUUAAAAUUUUAAAAUACAGAAAUUAUAGUAACUAAAUUUGUACAGACCAACUAUGGUGAAAAAAAUUAUAGAUAAAAUUUAAAAAGCAAACGCGACUACCAACUCUAAGAUAGGAUCAGCGCAAUACUCCAUUUUUAAGAUUUUCAAAACCAUACGGAUAAUUGUACUGCUUAAAUUAUUAAUUCUCGAUUCAAUUAGUUAAUCCAAUUUAUCUAAAUAAAUUACUAAAAAAUUAUAAAAGAAUAAAACAAGAAAAAAACUGAUUUAAUCAAUUUCUUUUUAUCUCAAUUCAACUAAUUUAUACUGAUUUGUGAGUCAACCAAUCUAAUCCCUCAAACCAGACCAAUACUCCAACCAAGUUCCGGUCCAAUCCAGCCCGAUCCAACAACAUUGCAAUUUGGAACCCACUACUACAAUAUCAAUCUUAAUUGUACCUUCGUGGGGAAAAAAAGGGUGAGUUCCACCAGAAAUUACUGAGUGCAAUGCGUAAAUUCCCAUCCCAUGUAAUUUGGCCUAUCAAUUCACUGAAUGUAUAUGAGAAACCAAAACAGAAAGCUAUACAUACCAUCACAAAACUAUAUUUUUGUUAAUAUAUUUCAAGGUUAAAUACCUCCUCUUUUGCCCUAUUUUCAUCAGCAAUCCUCAAUGAACAUUAUAAUUUAGAUCAAAUUAGCUUGGCUUCCCAUCACCACUUUUCAAUACCCACCAGUUACCUUUAUACUCGCAAAAAUCACUCAUUACCUG
rnacentral:lncRNA from 1 species